rnacentral:lncRNA from 1 species
UGUCUCUCCAUAAUACGGAAAAAAGGGCAAGUUACAUGGUACAUGGGCUCAUCAUGUAGAAAGAUAGAAAGAUACAUAUAUGAUACAUGGUUCGCUCCCUACAUUUUACAUAUUUAGGCAUAGUUAUUGUUAGGAUAUUACAGUGAGAAAGUAAGUAUGUUAAUAUUUUUGUUGGCUACGCAUUAGUAAUAUGGUGGCUUGGCUAUCUUACAACUCAUAGCAGCUAUCAUUGGUUUUAACUCUUUUAUGCUUCUUAUGAUGCAGCAGUUAAAGGAGAAUGAUGAGAAGCCCCGUGGAAGAAAUUAGGUGGUGACGUAUGGCUGUGAUCAGUUUGAUGUUGGCCCUCUUCAUUGUCUUGUUCUUCAUCAUCUCCAGCAUCCCACAGAAAUUUAGCAUAUGAUGCAAGCACAUAACUGCACAAAAAAUUCAAUUUUCAACGUAAGACUUCUUCAGUGAGUAUGCUAUAUCACAAACGGGAAAGCACAAACAAACUUCUGAAUAUCUAGACAGUCCAAGUUCCAAAAGAUCCCAGUCACUAUAAUUAACAAAGUCAGCGCCUAAGUAACAAUCAAAGGUACAAUUUAAUCAAAUUCAACCAAUCAUCAGGGGCAGAUUUAACAGCUUGAUCAAAGUAACUCUCAGCUCUUGAAGCAUCUUUAUGAGCUUGCCAUAUUAGAUCCGCAUAGAGUGACAAGAUAUUACCAUCACCUGGGUUAGCCAAAAUUGCUCUUCCACAUAACUCCUCUGCUUUUGCAAAAUCUCCUCUGACCUGUCCAUUCGUAAUCAAAAAAAUCUCAGCAGAAUUCUUUUUUUUAAAAUAUAUAUAUAUAUAUCCACAAAACUAAUAACAUUACCUCUUUCAAGAACCUGGCAUAAUUUCCAAGCAACAAAGCGUUUCCAGGAUUUGCUUCUAUCAUCUUCUCAUUAUAAGCAUCAGUGCUACUACUCCCAUGAUUGUUAUUACUAUAAUUAUUAUUACUCCCAGAAAACCCCGACCCCCCACCCCCACCACCAACAUCUCCGCCGCCACGGCCGCCGCAUAUUUUCCCGCCAUUAUUUCCCAAACCGCCACCCAUGACCAUUGUUUGCACAUAACUACCACCAUCGUCUUCAACUUCACAGCCUUCUUUUUCAUCAUCAUCAUCAUCCUUCUUGUUCUUGUAAAAUGGAAAAUGAUCGCGCCCCUUAAUUUGUAGGGUUAAUCGCACAAUAACAUUGCAUUGAGUUCUUUUUUUUUUUUUUCCUUUGAAAUUAAUAGUACAUGAGAAUUAUGAAACAGAAAAUUAUGCAGAUUAAUUACGUAGUAAUUAAACAAAAAAAAGUUGUUACUUAGCAAUUAACUACGGACUAUGGCAAAUUACUUUUCGAUCAAUUGUUAACAGCUUCAAUCAUUUUAUUGAGAUAAAAAUAAUUAUCGAAUCCCAACCGAUAAAAUAUUGUAAUUCUUUUUUAACAUUAAAAAGUGGCACCAAACUACAAAGUGAAAUCAGAUGCUUUUUGAUUGGUUGUGGGAUCUUGACCCUUAUCAUGAAGUCUUAAUUUCACGGACAGCCAUCGUCCUCUAAAACUCAUUCGAGCGAAGAAGACAAGAUUGGGGGUAGCUUUCAUUAGUGGCUUUAUGAUUAGAUGCAACACCUUGGUAUUAAUUUAUUAUGAUCAUGCAAAUCUCAGUUGAGCAAAUUGUAUGAUUAAAUAAUUGAUUGAGCCACUAAUUUAUAAUAUAGCUGAUCGUAUUAUUAAUUUGGCUUUAUCUCAUCCAUCCAUUAAUUGCAAAUUAAGCUAGUGGUUGUAAUUUGUAAAGCAGCAGUGAAGGAGCUUUCACAGUUCACAUGCACUAUGUUGUGCAUCAAAUAGAUUCACGCUAAUAUUAAAAUAAUCAACUUGUAAACAAAAGAUAUAAAUUGUUGCAUUAGAGACGGAUAUCCUAGAUUUCAGGUCCGAUCAUAAUUGGCACAGAUUCUCUCAUAAUCUAAUUUUUUUCAAAGGUUUAAUUUUUUAUUUUUAUAAUCAAUUAGCAUCCAAAUACACUGAUGGGUAUAUGAGAUAAGGUUCUAACCUAAAUUAAGUAACAGUGUUACUUACUGAUGCAAUUCAAAGAAAAUGAAGGUUGAGUAAGAGUUCAUCUCACCCAAAAAAAAUUUCCAAGAAAGGAUAACGAAAGUCUGAAAACUCAAAAUGUGAACAGGGAAAGACAUCCAAGAAAGGACACACAAACACUGAAGUUGGUGGAAACUACCGUGAUAAAUUUGGUAUUUGGAGUCAAUCACAUGUAACGCACAUAGCUAAGAAACAAAGAAAGUGAAAGAAACUAGAAAGGACAAAACGCAACCACACAUGGAUUAACGUCGUUGUAAUUAAAGUCUUGGUUGCAGUCGCACAAUCAACUGCAUUACCUGCUUUUCCAACUUUCUCUUCCUUUUUUCUAUCUAGAGAAAGCGAAAGGAUUGGCUUCUAUUUCCUCAAAAUAGGGGAAAAGCCAAAGACCCCAGCUAUGCAGACGCAUUUGUUUCUGCAACACAAUUGAGGUCAGUUACCAUGUUUCCAAGUUUCUUUUAAAUCUUUUUGCUUUUGCUCCAUUUUGCUUAAAGAAAAGAUUUUUGACUCUUUGAUUCACGCAGCUUGUAAUUUGACUGAUUCUUUAUUUAGAGGGUCUGCAGAACAAUUGCUCUUCAUAUAUUUUAUCAGUCUUUUUAUGAUUUUUUUGUGAUUUAAUUUCAAUACACUUUGUUCUACGUCAAAGUUCUCCUGCAAAUGUUUAAAUUUUAAGAAAUAUAGCAAAAUCUGUAAUUUUUUUUUAUUAUUUUGAGCUAAUUUUUGGUUGUAAGUUGCUCUUGUGUUUAUUUGGGAAAGUUGAGUGCGUUUUUGCAGUUAAAGAAAUUAUGGGUUUAUUUAGAUACACGGGGGCCUUGUGUUUUUGUCUACUCCUUGUGUUCAAAACCUGCAUUGCUGGCUCCCAACGUAUUGGAAAGCUUUAUCCUGGGUUUGAAGCAACCCAGAUGGAGUGGAUCAAUAACAGCGGGCUAUUUCUAAUCUCUAAUAACUCGGUUUUUGGUUUUGGCUUUUAUACUGCCUUGGAUGUUCAAUUCUUUUUGCUGGUUGUUAUUCAUAUUAGUAGCGCAAAAGUAGUUUGGACUGCCAAUAGAGGCUUGUUGAUUAGAGAUUCUGAUAAGUUUGUGUUUGAGAAAAAUGGGAAUGCAUAUUUACAAAGAGGAAAUGGUGAAGCUUGGUCUGCAAAUACUUCAGGACAGAAAGUUGAAUGCAUGGAAUUGCAGGACUCAGGCAACUUGGUAUUGCCCGGGGUAAAUGGAAGUAUUCUUUGGCAGAGUUUUAGCCAUCCAACUGAUACCCUUUUACCUGGCCAAGAGUUUGUGGAAGGGAUGAGGCUUAAAAGUUUUCCCAAUAGCAAUAACAUGAGUGUUUAUCUUGAAUUCAAGUCGGGCGAUUUAGUCUUGUAUGCAGGGUAUCAAACUCCACAAACGUAUUGGUCCUUGGCUAACGACAGCCGGAAAACCAAUACCAGUGUAUCUGCCAAGGUCCAUUCUGCUUCUUUGGUGUCCAAUGCGUGGAAUUUUUAUGAUAUUAAAAAGGCAUUGCUUUGGCAAUUCAUCUUCUCAGAAAACAAUGAUGAGAAUGCUACCUGGGCUGCCAUUUUAGGCUCUAAUGGGGAAAUUACGUUUUCUAAUCUUCGUAACGGAAAGGCAGCUACUUCUGAGGCAAUCAAGAUCCCGCAAAUUUCUUGCAGCGUUCCUGAGCCUUGUAACCCGUAUUUUGUGUGCUAUUUUGACAAUUGGUGCCAGUGCCCUACUUCCCUCAGAUCUCAAUUGAACUGCAGACCUCCAGUUGCUUCAACAUGCAAUGUAUCCAUGAAUUCGGCAAAGCUUUUCUAUCUGGGUGAAAGGCUUGAUUAUUUUGCACUUGGGUUUGUAUCACCCUUUCCGAGAUAUGAUCUUAAUACAUGCAAAGAAGCUUGCCUACAUAACUGCUCCUGCUCUGUGCUGUUCUUUGAAAAUAGUACGAAGAAUUGCUUCUUGUUUGAUCAGAUAGGUAGUUUGCAACGCUCUCAGCAGGGUUCUACUGGUUAUGUUUCAUAUAUGAAAAUAUCAAGUGGAAAUGAGGUCUUAAACUCUAAAAGUCGAGAAAGUGAUGGAGGGAAACCCAUCGUACUAAUUGUUGUCAUAGUUGUUGCAACUAUACUUGUAAUUGCCAGUCUACUUUAUGCAGGACUCUGGCACCACAACAAAAGGAAGAGAUUAACAAAAUUUUCUCAAGAAGACUUGGAAGAGGAUAACUUUUUGGAAAAAAUUUCAGGUAUGCCUACUCGUUUCAGUUACGAUGAUCUUUGUAAAGCAACUAAAAACUUCUCGACAAAGCUCGGACAAGGAGGGUUUGGCUCAGUCUAUCUAGGCAUGCUACCAGAUGGUAUCCAAGUGGCAGUCAAAAAGCUGGAGAGCAUUGGGCAGGGGAAGAAGGAAUUUAGCGCUGAAGUCACAACAAUUGGGAAUGUACAUCAUCUUCAUCUGGUCAAACUCAAAGGCUUCUGCAUAGAGGGAGCUCACAGGCUUCUUGCUUAUGAGUACUUGGGAAACGGGUCUUUGGAUAAAUGGAUCUUCAAUAGUACUGAGGAAAGUCGGUUUUUGAGUUGGAAUACAAGAUUUAAUAUUGCAUUAGGCAUGGCAAAGGGAUUAGCUUAUCUUCAUGAGGAGUGUGAGGUAAAGAUUGUUCAUUGCGACAUAAAACCUGAGAAUGUUCUUCUCGAUGAUAAUUUCACCGCCAAAGUUUCAGAUUUUGGUUUGGCUAAGCUGAUGAACCGUGAAGAAAGCCUUGUAUACACGACACUGAGGGGUACACGGGGGUACCUUGCACCAGAAUGGAUAACAAACAAUCCUAUUUCAGAGAAGAGUGAUGUAUACAGCUACGGUAUGGUCUUGCUAGAGAUCAUUGGGGGCAGGAGGAGUUUUUCUGUGGGGGAUGAUUCAGAGAAAGCUCGAUUUCCUUCCUAUGCCUUCAAGAUGCUAGAAGAAGGUAACCAAAGAGAAAUCCUUGAUCCAAGGCUAGAUAUGGAUGAAAAUGAUGAGAGUAUUGCUACUGCAAUUAAAGUUGCAUUGUGGUGCAUACAAAAUGAGAUGCAGUUGAGACCACCGAUGACUAAAGUUGUCCAAAUGCUUGAAGGUCUCUGUCCGGUACCUCAGCCUCCAACCCCUUCUCAGUUGAAUUCAUGGGCUUACUCAAGUUUCUUUAAGUGGAGCAGUGAAGAGGGUACUUCUUCAGGAGUAGUUGAUGACAAUAGUAGUGCAUUUUUGUCAGAAAUUCAAUUAUCAGGCCCAAGAUGAUAGAAACAAUACUAUAGACAACAAAUGGAAGUAUCUUCACUCAACUGUGGAAGGUUCCAUAAAAGAAACUUUCUAGUUUUCUGAUCCUUUAUGUGCAAAUUCUUAAAUAUGCUUACAAGUUCUUACAAAUUAGCUUUAGUGAAUAUGAGCUUUUAGUCUUGCCUUUUGGUGAAGUUUCCGAAUUCCGAUUACAAUAUCAUUACUAUAUGUUAUCCUUGUUCUACUUCUGGUUUCGAAAAAUGGCUAAUGAUCUCUGAUUUAAGGUACCGGUAGUAGUUUGGACUGUUUGCGACAGAUGAAAUGGAAACUGUCCCAUUUAAUCUUAGUUCGAUUCAUUUAAACUUGAGGAGAUUAAUAUUAGCUUCUAUAAUUUUCCUUCCCCCAGUCCACCUUCAAGUUUUAUUAAUGUUUGGUAUCAACGUCUCCAGAUUAUAAAACGAUUGUUCAUACUAGUAUUCUAUUACAUCUAAAAUUGAUCUUGUUAUUUGAUGUGUUUCUACUAUUUUGUGACAAUCCCAUAUAUAACAUAUGCAGAAAAUAUUUUUAUGAUUAUUAUAUAGAGAUAUUUAAUCAAAUUUCAAGUAAGUAAUCAAUUGAGAAGACAUAUCACAUCAGAGAUUCAAAAGCAAGACGAUUACUACUAAAACCAUUUGCCAUUUGCUUAAUAUCACACACUGUAAAUUCAAUCAGGAGGAUCCAGGAUAGAUCUAGUGUUUCUGUUGCAAUUUAUGGUAGCUAGAAAACAUUUUCUUUUAAUGGGGUAAAUACAUGUUAAGUUCUUAUAUUUUAACAUAAUAGGCCAUUUAGUUUUUAUAUUUUAAAUAAGGCUAAUGUUAAGUUACAUGCAUGUAACUUAAAGUGAUCCUUUAAAUAAUAUCUCACAAAACCUCUACUGUUAAAAUUAUUAUGAUCCUACCCUUAAUUUUUCUUUCUUUUUAUAAUAAUACUCUUGCAGUAAUAUUUUUCAGAUAUUACUGAAAAAAUAUUAAUUUAUCAAAUUAAUCUUAAAAACAAAAUAAAAAUUAAUGUAAAUUUUUAUGUUAUUAUUUUACUUUAUUAAUUUGGUAAAUUAAAAAUUUAUAUAUAAUUGUUAGUAAGAUUAUUGAAAGGAUAUUAAAUAUUACUUUAAGUUGGCCAAUAUUAAUUUAUUUAUAAAUAAUUAUUAGGAAGAUUGUUGUGAAGGUACAGAAAAUAUUAUUUAUGUUAUAUUGAUACUUAUUAGUUAAUUUGUUAAUAAAUAUUUAUUGGGUCACCUGCUAAUUAAUUUUUUUUAUAAAUAAACUAAUUAAUGUUAAAAGUAUUGUUGUUAGGAUAUUAUUGUAAAAAGAAAAAGAAAAAUAAAGAUAAAAAUGUAACACAAUUAAUAACAGAAAUAUAUUGAAAUACAUUUUCAAACAUAACAACUAAACAAACACGUAAAUUAAAAUUCAGAGAUCCGUCCCUUUUAAUAUCAAUGACCAACAUAUUAAAAAAUUCUCAAUUUGCGAGUAUGAGAUUUUCUUCUUGUUGCUUUCAUAGAUAGUCUUUGCCGAUUGAGUUGUGAUAACAUAAAAUAAUAUGCCAGAUUACAUCACGAAUCAUUUUUUGCUUUUGGCUUCAUUACCCCGGGAAAAUUGUCCCCACGCUUUCACAAUGAGACCAUUCACAAGCUCUUCUGAUGGAGGAUUCUAGUUAAUCUCAAGAGAGAUUUUUAAUGUAUUUUAAAUUAUAUUUAUUGAAGAAAUAUCUAUUGAAUUUGGAACUAUUCACAUCCACCUAAUCUCAAAUGGUUGAUAUUGGUUCUGUUUCCCUACUACCAAAGCCAAUUCUAAGUUCAAUGAUUGAGAUUUUUGCAUCUGCUAAAAUGUUCUUGGAUCCUCAGCUUGAUCUCUAUCUUCCAAUCACUUUCUUGGUGAUGUUAUGAAAAAAAUAACUUGGGAAGAGAUGUCAUUUGUCCACCGAGGCCAUCAUGUAUAUAUCUCAUAAUCACCAAAAACAAAUGACAAAGGAGUCUCUGCAACUCCAUAACUAAUAAUUAAUAAUCAGAGCAUAUCAACUUAUCCUCUUAAUGUAUAUGAAAGAAAAUGAAAUCUAGUGACCCACGUAAAUUGGUUAGAAUGUAACAAAGAAUUUUGAGACAAAAAGUAAAGAAAUGAGAGGACUGAUUCUGUUGGCCAUUCAUUUACCCACUUUCCCUCGUCUGUUCUAGAUUAUUUUAAGACUUAGAGAUGGUUGGACUUCUAACUUAAAAUUAUUGGAAAGAAUGAAGAUCCUGAAAAGUGUCUCUCCAUAAUACAGAAAAAAGGGCAAGUUACAUGGUACAUGGGCUCAUCAUGUAGAAAGAUAGAAAGAUACACAUAUGAUACAUGGUUCGCUCCCUACAUUUUACAUAUUUAGGCAAAGUUAUUGUUAGGAUAUUACAGUGAGAAAGUAACUAUGUUAAUAUUUUUGUUGGCUACGCAUUAGUAAUAUGUUGGCUUGGCUAUCUUACAACUCAUAGCAGCUAUCAUUGGUUUUAACUCUUUUAUGCUUCUUAUGAUGCAGCAGUUAAAGGAGAAUGAUGAGAAGCCCCGUGGAAGAAAUUAGGUGGUGACGUAUGGCUGUGAUCAGUUUGAUGUUGGCUCUCUUCAUUGUCUUGUUCUUCUUCUUCAUCAUCUCCAGCAUCCCACAGAAAUUUAGCAUAUGAUGCAAGCACAUAACUGCACAAAAAAUUCAAUUUUCAACAUAAGACUUCUUCAGUGAGUAUUUAACAAGCCAUAUCACAAACGGGAAAGCACAAACAAACUUCUGAAUAUCUAGACCCUCCAAGUUCCAAAAGAUCCCAAAUUGUUCUGAUCAAAUUCCACUUCAAAGAACCUACAUGGAGUUAUAAAGUUACUACUUGCCCGUUAGGCAUUGACGUGCCGUGGCUUUUAGAAUCACUAACUAUCAAGUAAAAGCUCGACAACUUGUCAUGCAGUCACUAUAAGUAACAAAGUCAGCGUCUAAGUAACAAUCAAAGGUACAAUUUAAUCAAAUUCAAUCAAUGCAUGCAUUCAUAUGGGUUUGAUCCCUUACCAAUCAUCAGGGGCAGAUUUAACAGCUUGAUCAAAGUAACUCUCAGCUCUUGAAGCAUCUUUAUGAGCUUGCCAUAUUAGAUCAGCAUAGAGUGACAAGAUAUUACCAUCACUUGGGUUAGCCAAAAUUGCUCUUCCACAUAACUCCUCUGCUUUUGCAAAAUCUCCUCUGACCUGUCCAUUCAUAAUCAAAAAAAUCUCAGCCAAAUUCUUUUUAUUUAAAAAAAAAACAAUAUCCACAAAACUAAUAACAUUACCUCUUUCAAGAACCUGGCAUAAUUUCCAAGCAACAAAGCGUUUCCAGGAUUUGCUUCUAUCAUCUUCUCAUAAUAAGCAUCAGUGCUACUACUCCCAUAAUUGUUAUUACUAUAAUUAUUAUUACUCCCAGAAAACCCUGAGCCCCCACCCCCACCACCAGCAUCUCCGCCGCCACGGCCGUCGCAUAUUUUCCCGCCAUCAUUUCCCAAACCGCCACCCAUGACCAUUGUUUGCACAUAACUACCACCACCGUCUUCAACUUCACAGCCUUCUUUUUCAUCAUCAUCAUCCUUCUUCAGUAAUUUCUCCCCCAACCCAGAACUUGAAAACAGUCUUUGAAUCCUUGAACUUGAUUCUUUUGCUUGAUGAUGAUCAUGAGAAUGACUUGCUGGUGGUGGCUUUAAAGCUCUGAUAUUGCCUUUCUUGUUCAUUUGUGAGUCCCUUAUUUCUUUCCUUUGGUAAAUUGUAGUUAACAGCUUGUGCUUUCUUGACUGAUGAUGAUGAUGAUCAUCGGAUAAUGAAACUGAUCUUGUUCUUUGGAGAACUUGAAGCUCUGGCUCUGUUGAUGAAUUUGAUGAUGAUGACGACGAUGAGUCUUUGCUGUACUGGGGCAGCCAUGAGUGCAAUAUUGGCGUUGACGAGCUUCUUAGCAGCAUGUUUGCUGAAUGCAGUAGACUGAGAAAAAAAAAAACCGCUUUUUGAGAAAGUGCUUUUCGAAGAAGUGCUUUCCUUUAGGUAAAUAAGCAGAGGAACAAACUCCUCUGUUUGGAGCUGCAAAGUAUUGUUGGAGAAUGCUUUCACAGAAGAAUGAAGAAACUGGGCGUGAUGAAAUCUCCGCCGUUGUUUUAGUUGAUGAUAAGAAUCAAACGGGCUGGCAGAGAGCUCACGAUUACCGUCUAUGGCAUGUAAGCCCACGAGGUGAGACAUUCACUUGUAAAGCGGCUACGGCCACUGAUCAAACGACACGUCGACUGCUUGUUUAUAUUGGGACCCACCGGCCUCAUUUGUUUAUUUUGUUAUUGCGGGGGAAUUGACGGUCGAGAAUUAAGCUUAGGGAGUGACUGAAGUGGACAUUACUGUAGUUUAGCUUUGCUGAAUGUUUCGACGAAAAGAUGAUCGACACGUGUCAGUUUUUAAAAUAGAUAAGUUAGAAAACGACUUGACAGGAUUUUUCACUUUUAAUACUAGUGAAAUGAAAUUGUGCCUACUUGUUCACAAAGUGUCAAUUAUUUAGAAUUAUUGAGCCAACAAUAGUGCUUCGAUGGGAGGAGAAAGAGAGUAAGAAAAUUUAUCAAAUUGGCCUAAAAUUAGGUUCUCGAUCAUGAUAAACAAUUUUUAUCAGCUUGCAAUGUAUUAAUAUUCACAAUAAAAAAAUCUAUCGAAGACUCUUAAUUUUAUUCAGUGAUAGUUCAAUUUAAAUAUUUAAAUGUAACAAUAACACAUAUAUACUUUUACAAAUAUUAAAAUAAAAAUAAUCUUCUCAAUACAUACGAGAGGACUUAAAUCUCGAGUGAGACAAGGAGAUGGUCAUUACUCGAUCACAAAACGACUUGCCAACAAGGAAAAUUCAAUAAUGUUUGGUAAUUAAAAAAAAACAAAGAAAUAAUGGUAAAAACAAAAACAGAGCAAACAAAAAGCCAUCCCUCUUAUCAUCAUUUAACAAUUGUUCCAUUACAUCUCAUGCAGCUGGUAUCCAUUUGGGAUUUUUCACUUGUGCAGUAAAUUAAAAAAAAAAAAUAUAUAUAUAUAUAUAUAUAUAACAUAAAUUUGAUAAUUAUGAACUGCUCGAUGUUGAAAGAUAAGAAUGCGGACAAGCCUUGGCGUGUACUUAUAUCUCAUUAUUAAGAUUUUUUUUUGGCCUCAUGUGCGGACUCCUGACAGAGCCGAAAUGGAUGUUUUGAAGAUUUGAUUUUUAUUGAAAGACGAUGGCAUAAUAAUAAAUUAUGUUUUUCAACUAUUUAUCAAUUUUGAGUACAAGUUGGCAGCUCAUUACUAUUUAACCACUAUAGAGAUCGUAUCAACCCCAGUGGUUUGAUAAUUUAUUAAUGAGCUUAAUAUGAGUGUUAAAACUCGUUGCACUUGUAAAAUUUGUGAUGUAUGUAUGCAUGUAAUACGUCGAAUGACGUAUAGCAAAUACACAUAUUCUAGAAUUUAACGCUUGGGAUAAGAUUAAUUUACCUUUUUGUUUCUUGUGAUAAGAUAGACGGUUCAUUGGUCUUGUGUUAGGUACGAAGAUUAUACAUUAAUAAACAUUAUUAUAAUCACAAUCACGGUCACCUAUUGAUAUAAGAUUAUCAUCGGCCAGUUUGAAGAAGAAGAAGAAGAAGAAGAAAUUGGCUUUUUGUUUGUGGGUCUGAAAAUGGCAUCUUUAGCUAAGUCACUAUAUUGGGUUAUUUUCACGUACCAUCAAUUCUUAUUUUCAUUCACACCAGAUCAUGUGUUGUUCACAUGGAAUUCCAAUUAUUACCAAACCAAUAUUUGCUAUCAUGUUAAUAGAUAGAUUGAUGUUUAAUGCUAUACUUGUAUCAUAUUAUCACCGACUACCGAGUAUACUAUAGAUAGCUUCUGAUUAAGUUUUCAACAGCACAAGGGACUAAAAUGCGUAAUAUAAGUCUACUUGUACUCGUAUCUAAUGGUCACCGGAAUAUUCAUCAACUUAUAUGCUAAAAUUGGUGAUUUCCAUUUUACGGGGCUGAUCACGCGUGCAGUGCGGGUCAGGCUCCCAUCGGGGAACCGUGUGCUCUACAACUCAGCUCCUCGUAUUGAAAGCUUGACAUGCACAGAGUCGCGCAUCAAAUCACACUCCUUCAUUUCACAGCAACUAAGCUGGGCGCGACCUGAUCACACUCCAUUCUACGGCAACUAAGUUGGGAUAAUACCCUAAGGGCCAGCCUAGUAAUGAUGUAGCCUUUAAAAUCAUUAUUGUUAGCUGUGUGUAGAAAUAAUCAGUUGUAAAGAGAAUCAGUUAAGCGUUUGGUAGAUUUUAUUUUUAAAAGUACUAUGAAUUUUAAAAACGGGUGUUUGAUAAAUCUUACUGUUAAACUACUGUAAGAAAAUAAAUAACUAAAAUAUACAUAAGGUAUGAUGAAAUUUACUUACACAUAUAAAAAUAUACACAUACAAUAUCUUUAAUUGUGUAUUAUAAUAAUUUUAACUAAAAAUAAAAUUUAUACUAUAGUGAUUUUAUUUCUUUUCUAUCUUAAAACAAUUGAUAAUUAAAAAAUCAACUACAAUUUUCAUUAAAUAACAUCAAGUAAAGUAUAACUAAGUAUUCCAAAAAUAAACAUAAAAAAAUGUAAUGAGCUACAAAAACUCAAAACAAAAACAAAUAAUAGAUUGUCAAUAUCAUAUUCACAUUAAACUUGCAGCAAUAUUAUUUCUUAGAAGGAUAAUUUCGGGUUUAAGUAAUAAUAGUAAGGAUAUUUAUGGAAUUAUAUUAAAAGAUAAAAUUAAUUUUCAAAAUCAAAAUUUAAAAGUUACUCCUUCCCUACUUUUUUAAAUUAACUGUAAGAGAGAUUGAUUCUGACAAAAGUGAUUUUAAUUUUUUUUUACCAAACACCAAAAUUAACUUUUAAAUUUUUAAAAUCACUUUUAACUCUUCCAAAAGCAAUCCCAAACGGGCCUAAAUCUUCCAGAUAAUUUUGGACCGUUAAUUCCAAGAUCACUGAUGUUAGAAAUGAGACAAGCUCAAGCAUCAAGUCAUGAGUGGCUCUAGGAACUACUGAAGGGGUGUAUUAUGCCCAGCCAAGAUAUUUUCUAGGAAAACCUUGGAGACAAUCGGGCGAAAAUCUGUAAAUGGGCUGCCUUUGACUAAUCUAGGACCACUCAAAUCUGAAGAUAUGCAAGCAAAUGAACCCUCAAAUACCGUAAGUUGACGGGAGCAUUUUGAAAUAAUUAUCAGCCAUACAAGAAAUUUAAUACAAAUGGCCAACAAUCGAGAAGUAUAGCACAUUGAUAACCUAGUCUGAAACCAGACGUAUCGUUGCUGAAAAAAGAAAAUAUAACCUGCUAAAGGAAAUCUCUCACAAGCAAAGUAUUGAAAAAAACCUGGAAUUUUAUUUCCAUUUUGAAGUUUGUUUCCUCACGUGAUACACAAAAGUGGAUAUGUAACUUCAAUGAACUAACAGAUGAUGAUUCAUACAAGUUUCUGAAAACUAUGCAUCUAAACAACAUUGAAUUUUCUUCGUGUAUUUCUAAACCUACUCCAAGUCUUACAUAUAUACACGAUAAUGUUUCUCAGUUACUUUCUAAAUCUUGAUCCCUUGUUCGGUGUACCAUUAUUUCUGUUAUCAAAUGCGGAUGCCCAGAAGAACAGAGACAUCCAGAAAAGAACUGCAAUGAAGAUGCGAAUGCGGUCUUGGAGUUUAGAGAAACCUGUUCCAUAAUCAAAACAUGUAAUUUCAAAGCACUUCAGUAGUGAUUUUAAAAUUUAAAAUGGAAUAAAGAAAGAGAAGAGCCAAAUUAGGGCCAAAGCAAGGAUUGCAUAUUGCGAAGUAUAGCACUAGGCACCAGGUCGAGAAACUAAAUUUCCUGCUACAAAAGUUUGCUUAUAUCUUUCUUAUGACGUAUAUAUCUUUGAUAGGAAACUCUAGGAAACCUCACCGUUAACAUCUCAGCUAAGGGCUUUAAAACCCCACUAUUUCCUACACCGACAUCAUACUAUACUUUCUAACAUACCGUAAAUAUUAAUUCAUGUCUUUUUCUUUUUUUAUUUUCUAUUUUUUUUUCUAUUCCUCGUGUUAUGCUCUUCCACCAGAUCGGUAUAGAAAGGUAAUGGUACACUAGUGCAUGUAUAAGUUUAUUACCAGUCAAAUAGCAUAUGCAUCACUUAGCAACCACUUUGUGGAAUGUAAAAUAUGAGAUUAUUUAUUCUGAUGACAAAAACGCAUACAUUUUAUAGCUUGACCAGGUCUGACAACUAAAAUCAUUGGGUGAUGUCAGAGAUUACCUCUGGUAAGAAAAUUACCAUUAUGUGGUACUAUUUAAUCUUGGGACAGUUUACAAAACUCAACUUCAGAAAACAGGCAGUGAAAAAGCAUAUUUAUUCUUUAUAAAAUCAGUGUAAUUCACUGUAUUCCGUUCUAGUUCAUGAAACAAGUUUAUAUUCCUUGAUGUCAUAAAAGGUCAUUUACAAUGUUUGCCUUCCUUUGAUGAUACAUCAUCUUAUUCAGACAACACCUUAGAUUUUAGGCCUAAAAUGAAUGCUAACUAGAUUCAUUUUGCUUCAGAGUUACAAAAUGAAAUGAAGACAGUGGAUUUCGAAAUGACAACUUUAGAAGACUAUGUAUUAGUAGCUUGACUUCUUCCACUUAUUAUUGAAUUAGACUACCAACGGAGAAACUAAAUUAAUCCAGACUCUCAAACAAGAAGUUAUGCAAUAUUAUGAAUAAAGAACUUCAAAGACUCUUCUUAUCAAAUUAACACUCCUGGGUUAUUGCCAUCACAACAGCCCAUCACAGCAAAACAAGAAACUAGAGAACAUCCCUUGUCUCCAAAAACAGAACUCUUAAGGGUCCAUUUGGUAUUGUAUAGAGAAAAAUAAAAUUGUAAUAGUGAAAUAAAAGUAGAAAGUUUUUAGUAAAUAUGAUUUUUUAAAUAAUAAUUUUGACAAAAAUAGUAAAGAUAAUAUACAUUCUACAUCAUACAAGUGAGGGAUAACUUCAUCUUAGCUUCCAAUCCAUAGCUGUAAGUGUUUACCAAACACUUUAGAGCUGUAGCAAUAUCAAUACCAAACGCAUCCUAAAUAUAUUGAGUAUUAUACAUUUAGGCUCUGUUUGGUAUGCUAACUAGCAACUAUGGCUUUUACAGCUACAACUCUAAAGUAUUCAAUAAACACCUGCGACAAUAGUUUAAAAGUUAAGGUGAUUUUACCCUUGAGUUGUUUGAUUACCUUUACUAUCUUUUUCAAAAUUAUUUAUUAUUUAAAAAUCAUGCUUACUGAGCUAAAGCUUUUAUUUCACGGCAGCUAUAACAGCAAAACAGAGCCUUGUGAUAUUAUGCAAAACCAUGGGAUUUUUUUUUUUAACUCAUUUCCACCAUAUUCAAAAUUUCCCAUGUUAUAAAUUUAGUGGAUAAAUGAAAAAUACAAAGGUUCAACAAAAUAUGAACAUUUACAACUGAUAUAACAGUGCUAAUACUCUAAUAAUUUUUUUUUUUUUGUGUAACAAUAAUAUGCAAGAAAAAAAAAAUCAACAUAAUGAGCUAAUAAAUACGCAUGAACCAUUAAUUCAAUUUCAAAAAUGACAUAGCGAUUUCAUCAACAAACAUAAAUUGCCAAAUGAGAAUAUUUGACCAUUCAAAUUUCAGUUAAAAUAACUGACCUGUGGGCUGAAUUGGGUCAUCCGGGGGAGGCGGGUUGGACUGGGGAGCCGGGCCGGGGCGAGCUGCGAGACAGCUGCGGAGAUGCGGCCUACUGGGAGUUUUACGGAGGAGCGGGAGAGACGGACGGUGGGGAUAAAACGGCGAGGAAAUGGUCGGUGGAGAUUGGUUUGCGUGGAAAUACUUCAAUGGUGGUUUAAGGAGUGUGCGUGUCGGAGAAAGAAUCUUCAUUUUGGUUUUGUUUAUUUUCGUCAUUUUUGGAUUUUGAAUAUAUAGUGGGACUUUGAAUUGGGCCCGACUUUGGGUAAAUAUUAAUUGGGCCUCCAAGGUUUUUAAGCACACCCACUAUGAGAGUUCUACUCGAUGCUAUUUUAUUGGAUUUGAAUUCAGUCCUAACUAGACUUCGUAUACUUUGUGAUGGGUAGUUAUUGGAUAACUAGUAAUUUAUUUAACUAAUCUUAAUCGUACCCUUGCUAUAAUAUGCCUACAAGGAGGAUGGGGGUUAAUCAAAUUAGCAUCAUCGCUCGACUGCAUCAUUGCUCCAUUGCCGAUAAAUUUUUUUUUUUGUUUAAACCACCCGAUUUCCGGUGACCGCAUUGGGCCCUGACUAAUUUAGAUUCGAAGUGUAGUCACAGCUAAGCCUCCUUACCCAUUCCAAAUAGUAUAUUUAGUGGGGAUCGCCAACUGAACUACAACUGUUUGGUUAUUAUUGUAGUAUUGUUACAAUAUAGUUUUGUUACUAUUCCAAUUAGGAUGUGGUUUUCACCUCUAAUAGUUGAGCUUGGUCAAUUAAGUCAGUGCCAUAAAAUUCCUCGAAUACUUCGUGAGAUUUUACUAUGCGAAGCCAUUUAGUCUUUUUUUUGUUUUAAAAUUUAUAGUUCUUAAUUACUUAGUCGUUGGGUGUUCUCUAACUUAAAACUCCUAUAAAUUUUAUUUAAUGCUGACCUUACAUUUAUAUAGUGAUGUAUUGUUGGUCUUUUUUAACCCCCGUAAUACAGUUAUUAUUUUCAAAAAAAGUCACAAAACAAUGAUUAUUGUUGAUGCGAGAUUCUGGUUGCCCUCUUUCUACGACCAGGAUAUCUGCUCGAUCAACUUCACCUCGAUCGGGAUCUCUCCUCGUAUGCUUUCUUCUCCAAAUAUUCCUGCGUCCACAGAAACAAGUCAGAGCACGCCGGUUGUUUUCCCGGCGUAAACCCUCCGACGCUCAAGUCAAAUAUGAAGGUUCUGGGAACGCUUGCCACAAAUCUUAUGGCUUUUCUGUAGUUUCUAUUCUUUAGAGCUUUCUUUUAUCUCUGUUAUAAUCUCCAAAUUGCUAACCCUUUUACCUUCGUUGGCUACCUUUUUAUAGGCCACUUCUGAACUCGGGCCUUCCCUCCAUUCGCGCUCGUUGUCCUCCCACCUCUCGAAAGUGGAGGCCCCAUUUACGUAGUCGUGGGUGGUUGCGUGGCCUUCGUGCCUUGAUUCUCGGACUGGAGAGUACGCCUCGCCAACUGUCGUUGACCGGGUCUCCUCGACUCAACCCUUAACAGGAAUGUAGCAGGAAUGACUUUAUGCUUCCAAUGCUUCCAACAGGAGAUUGGCCUCGUGGAUGACGUGCUCGUGGAUGAGCAGGAUAUUCCUGCUCCUGCUCCCCCGGAUACCAGACUCUUACAAGAUAUACCUGCUCGAGGAAUCCUGUUACCAGAUGUCUGCUCAUCACUGCUGGUCUUCGUCGAAGUAUAUCCCACAAACACCGGUCCCUCAGUUUCUGGUGUUGGGUAACAUAGUAAGCCGACAGUAGAAACUUGACAGUUCUUGCUUACGCAGGAUAGGAAAAAAGGCUGCCAAGAGUCGUGUCGCAUUUAAUUACGGACGAGGUGAUGUGGCAGAAAUCUACCCCUCUAUUUGAAUUUCAAACCAACGGUUACGAGGCCCUCGGGAUUUGGUGCUGUUAAAUGCUGGCAACCCAAGAGUCCAUUCUCCAUUAGGAAAACCCAAAACCUCUCCAAAGGAAAAUUCAUCAUUUACUCCGUCUCCGUCCCUGUCUCUCCGGCAAAGAAGUUCCGGCAUAAAGGCCUCCAUCCCUGUCCUUCUCCGACUGAACCACUAUUUCAGGUAUUACUUCUAUCUCCUCGGUCUUGGAUAGCUGUAGAUAAUUUCUUUUCUCUGUGCUUUGCUUGGGUAGUAGUUGGUGGUGGUGUUCUGGUGAUAGCUUAGGGAAUUUCGAAAGGUAAAGAGAAUGUCAUUGAGGUUGAUGACGAUGAGUUGGACUUCAUGCCUAGUCUGCUCACCGAUCCUGCUUUUGACCUCGGGAUCCCCUUAGAACCCAUUAGAUCUAGUGUUGGUACUAGCGCUAGGAGGAUGUCCCCCCAAAUAAUCUCCUCGAGCGGAAAUAGCGGUGAUGAGGGGUCUUCUGGCUCGGAAAACACCCUGAGUGAGAAUCGAGGAGGUGAUUCUGGUGAGGUGUCCCCAUCCGGAACAACGCGACCAGAAGGGCGGAGUACAGUAGGAGGUAGAGCCUUAUCGCGGGAUUACGCUAUUGAUUACAUGACGUGCACGACCACGUUUGACGAGCUCACUGACCUCCGGCUUAAGUAUAGCAUUCCUGGUGAAAUACCUCUUAAGGUCCCAGGAAAGAAGGAUACCCCUAGCCGGCCUCCUAAGGGAUAUGUUACCUUGUUUACGGAGAGUUUUAAGUAUGGGCUGAGGUGUCCCUUGCAACCCUACUUUGCCCGGAUUCUUAACGGGCUAAAUCUAGCUCCUGGUCAGCUGAACCCCAAAGGGUGGAGAGUACUCUCUGGUCUGUUCAUAUUGUGGGACAGAUGUUGCCAAUGCGAGCCCACAGUUGAUGAGGUGAAGCACCUGUACCAGCUGAAAAGCAGCCCCAAAGAUGCUGGCUGGUAUUACUUCCAAUCAAGUACUAAGACCCGGAAACCCAUAACCGACCUCCCUACUGGUGGUGGUGGGAAUUGAAAGAGAAAGUUCUUUAUUGCUGGGGGUCCCUGGGGUCAAGUUGCACAGAUUGACGGGAAGGAUUAUCGCGUCCCACCCCGUUUCGUGGUCCCAGGUUGCCUGCUCGCUUUAGAUGUCUUGUAUCCAUAAUUGCUCUCGCUUUACUGGUUUGUCUCUAACCAAAUGUCUGUUUGUAUUGCAGAUUCUUGGGGUGUUCACUUCCCACUCAAACACGACCAGCUCAAACGGGGCGAGGUUGUAUUAGCCAAUUCCUGCUCGAGCCGAGAUCUAAUAACCACUUAUAACCUGCUCGAGUCUUGUUUGGUGCCCCCCGAUCAUAAGAUGGAGGAUGCUGUGAUUGGAGCUCUGACUCAGAAACGUCAUCGACCUCAAACUGUGAAGAGGGACCAGAACAAGGACGCUCCCACUGCGAAGCGGGUGAACACUGUGCAGCAGGUUCCUCCCUUGAAGACUCUACCUCCUUCUCCUGCCAAAGCCGAAGAGACUAGUGGAGCAGCCACUGAUCCUGCUUCCUCAUCUCCUCAUGUCGGGCCUAGAUCUCGUUUAUCUGACAGCCGAGCAGAACACUUGGCCCCCUAUCUCAAUGAGCUUUUCAAACUCGUGAGCAAGAAGGACCUGGAGGACUUUGACGGCUGCACCCUAAGCGAGCUGGUGGGAGCGAUGCAGUAUAGCGCUUUCCAUCUCAGCUGCAUGACCACCUAUUAUAAGGCCAAGGUUGGCCGUUAUGAUAGGAAGAUGAAGGAGGACAUUUAGUCGGCGAUGACCAGAGCUGACGAUGCCGAGAAGAAAGCAGGGGAGCUGAAUCUCGAGAAUCUGAAGUUGAUAGAGCAAGAAUCUCUUGCUCAAGCAAAAGCUAUUACUCUUGAGGAAGAGCUGACUAAGGUCAAGGAGGAUCUGCAAAGGCAGAAAGCUAUGUACGAGGCUCAGCUCGAAUCUCUCCGCGACUCCCACCGGGUUCAGGUCGAGAACUUGGAAAAGGAGGCUGACAACCAAUACGACCAGGGACUUCGACAUUCUUACCGUUGUAUCAUGGCCGUCCUUGGGAAGCAGCAUCCGGAUCUUGAAGAUGGAUGACCUUGCAGCUGGUGUUGCUCAAUACAUGGAUGAGGAGGCGGCGAGAGAGGAUGUCGAACAAGUGGAACCAAUCGUGGUUGAGGAGGAAAACUCUCAUUCUCGUGCAGUCCCUGCUGACGUUGGAGAGGCGAGUACCCCCCCGGAUGCAACUGGUGACACCCCCUGCCCCUGAAGUAGACCAGCCAACCAAAGCUGCUCGGCUUACUGAUCCGCCGUCCUCCUGAACUUGUCUUGCGUUGUAAUUGCUUUUUGAAUAUUAGAUGUAACAGUAUUGCAGACUUUUAAGAGCUUAAUAAAAUUGUUCUUAUUUGCUUUCUCGCAUUGGAAUUUUAAUUUAUUUAUCCAUUUGGCUUCUGACCUCGUCACAGAGGAGGCCUUGAGAGUUGACGAGCUUUCUCAUGCCUUAGAUAAUUUUCCCAGUGUUGGGGAAUCUGCUAGCCUUCACUUGGUCGAGCAGAUCCCGGCAUGCUUGGCUUCCGGUCUCGCCAUAAACAGGCUUUGAGACUUGACGAGCCUUUGCAUGCAUGCCUUAGAAAAUAUUUCGAUGCUUGGGGAUUCUGCUCGCCUUCGCAUGGUCGAGCAGAUCCUGGCACGCUUGGCUUCUGGUCUCACCAUAAACAGGCUUUGAGACUUGACGAGCUUUUGCAUGCCUUGGUAAAUUUUUCACAGUUUCAAGUGAAUGAAAUUCUUCGACGUUUCAUUAAUUGCAGGAUUCAACUUACAUGAAAUUGUUUUGACAUAAAAUAAAUAACCACAAACACGAACAGAAAUAACUUGAAAACAUGGACAAUUCUUACUGGAAAUAUUUCCUGAGGUGUGUUGCGUUCCAUGGGCGUUUCACCUCGUGGCCAUCCGAGCGAACCAGCUUGUAAGCUUCAGGUCCAACUAGCUGCUUGACCCUAUAUGGCCCCUCCCAAUUUGGUCCAAGUACUCCCUGAGCCGAGUCUUUCUUGUUCUGAUUCACUCUCCUUAACACCCAAUCUCCGACCUUGAACUGCCGUACAUUCACCUUCUGGUUAUAAUACCGAGCAACCCUCUGCUGGUAAAUGGCUGAUCGCUCGGCUGCUUGCUCCCUCUUUUCCGUUAGCAUAUCUAGAUUCAAAUACAUCUGCUCGUCGUUCUCCUGCUCAUUGAAAUAGUCUGUCCGGUGCGUGGUCAUUCCUAUCUCGGCUAGUACGACCGCUUCAUGUCCGAAAGCCAAGGCGAACGGUGUCUCCCCAGUUGCUGUUUUGUGGGUUGUCCUAUAUGCCCAUAGAACACCUGACAACUCAUCAACCCAUGCACCCUUUUUCCAUAAACAGGCUUUGAGACUUGACGAGCCUUUACAUGCCUUAGAAAAUUCUUCAAUGAUUGGGAUUCUGCUCGCCUUCGCGUGGUCGAGCAGAUCCUGGCACGCUUGGCUUCUGAUCUCGCCAUAAACAGGCUUUGAGACUUGAUGAGCCUUUGCAUGCCUUAGUAAAAUUUUCACAGUUUCAAGUGAAUGAAAUUCCUCGACGUUUCAUUAAUUGCAGGAUUCAACUUACAUGAAAUUGUUUUGACAUAAAAUAAAUAACCACAAACACGAACAAAAAUAACUUGAAAACCUGGACAAUUCUUACUGGAAAUAUUUCCUGAGGUGUGCUGCGUUCCAUAGGCGUUUCACCUCGUGGCCAUCCGAGCGAACCAGCUUGUAAGCUCCGGGUCCAACUAGCUGUUUGACCCUAUAUGGCCCCUCCCAAUUUGGUCCAAGUACUCCCUGAGCCGAGUCUUUCGUGUUCUGAUUCACUCUCCUUAACACCCAAUCUCCGACCUUGAACUGCCGUACAUUCACCUUAUGGUUAUAAUACCGAGCAACCCUCUGCUGGUAAAUGGCUGAUCGCUCGGCUGCUUGCUCCCUCUUUUCCGUUAGCAAAUCUAGAUUCAAACACAUCUGUUCGUCGUUCUCCUGCUCAUUGAAAUGGUCUGUCCCGUACGUGGUCGUUCCUAUCUCGGCUGGUACAACCGCUUCAUGUCUGAAAGCCAAGGCGAAUGGUGUCUCCCCAGUUGCUGUUUUGUGGGUUGUCCUGUAUGCCCAUAGAACACCUGACAGCUCAUCAACCCAUGCACCCUUUUUUGCUCCGAGCCUGGUUUUCAAAAGCCUUUUAAUGGUCUUGUUGGCUGCUUCUACUUGUCUAUUAGAUUGAGGGUGAGCAGGCGAGCAAUACUUCAAUUCUAUCCCGAGGUUCUGGCAGAAAUCCCUGAAGCUGUGAUUAUCGAACUGCCUGCCAUUAUCCGUUACCAAGGCAUAAGGGAUUCCGUAUCGACAGACCAGGUUUCUCCACACAAAGUCUGUUGUUUUCUUCUCUGUGAUCCUGCUAAGGGCUUUUACCUCUAUCCACUUCGUGAAGUAGUCUAUCGCAACUAUUGUAUGUGUUGUUGCUGCUCCUCGGCCCUUUGGCAACGGGCCGAUCAGAUCAAUUCCCCAUUGAGCAAAUUGCCAGGGGGAAGCCAUAGAGGUGAGCUUCUCUGGUGGUUGGUUGGAGAAACUCACAAAACUCUGGCAGCUUACACAGCUCAUGGUCUUCUCCUGCGCAUCCUGGUGCAUUGUCGGUCAGAAAUAUCCCUGCCUUAGAACCUUGUGGGCCAGGGACCUCCCACCAGAAUGAUUCCCACAAAUUCCUUCAUGUACUUCUCUCUGUACGUAGUCUGCGUCGUCCUCAUUCAAACACCGAAGGAAAGGUAGCGUAUAUCCUCGCCGAUAUAGUACCCCAUCAAUCAUAGUGUAUCUUGAGGCUUGGGCUCUAAUCUUCCGAGCUCGCAGCUUCUCUGGUGGUAAUACCCCGUCUCUAAGGUACGAAAUUAUCGGGUCCAUCCACGAGCAUUUUUGUUAUAUCCGCAGCACCCCCAAAUUCUGCUCGAUGCUCGGGCUGGACUUCACCUCUAGAGGGAUCGACUUUGGCAUUUUUGGGUCUGCUACCGCUGCCAUCCUCGCCAAAAUAUCUUCUCGACUAUUCUGCUCUCUGGGGAUUUGUAUCACCUCAACCGCUUCAAAUUUCCCCAUCAUAUGCCUGACUAUCUUCAGGUACUGCUCCAUCUUCUCCUCUCUUGGUUGAAAUCUUUCACUGACAUGAUUUGCGACAAGCUGGGAAUCAGUUCUGAUCUUCACUCUAUCCGCUUUCACUGCCUUAACCAAUUUCAAACCUGCUAUCAGGGCUUCGUACUUUACUUGGUUAUUUGUGGCUGCGAAUUCUAACUUUACAGCAUAAGAGAUCUCCUCCCCUUCUGGGCCUUCCAAAACAAUUACUGCUCCUGAUCCCUGCUCCCCGGAUGACCCAUCUACAGACAUCUGCCAUACUCGGGCUUCGUCGCUGUCUGUAGCUACAUCUUGCUGGUCCAAACAUAUUUCAGGCUCUGUGAAUUCUGCUACGAAAUCGGUCAUCGCCUGAGCCUUUAUCGCUGCUCGGGGUUUGUAGUCUAUGUCAAACUCGCUCAGCUCUAUAGCCCACUUGACGAGCUGACCAGAAGCAUCUAGCUUGUGCAGAGUUUGACGCAAUGGCUGGUUUGUUUGAAAGUAUGGCCUCAGCUUCCGAGCAGCAACCACAAGGGCAAGUGCCCAUUUCUCCAACGGUGGGUAUCUAGUCUCAGCGUCGAGCAGGGCCUUGCUGGUGUAGUAUAUCGGAUACUGAACCCCUUCUUUCUCUCUCACCAGAAUAGAACUUGCGGCCCGAUCUGAUAACGCCAAAUACAAAAAUAACUUGUCCCCAUCCCUCGGUGUGGACAGCAGAGGUGCUUGCUGCAAGUACCGCUUCAAGUUCUAGAAGGCUUCUUCGCAUUCUGGGGUCCAUUUUAUUUUCUUUCCCUUCCUUAUCACUUGAAAGAAUGGCUGACACUUAUCAGUAGCCUUGGAUAUGAAUCGGCUCAAUGCCGCCACCCUCCCCGUGAGGCUCUGCAUCUCCUUCAGGCUACGAGGAGACCUCAUCUGCACGAUCGCCUGGAUCUUCUCGGGAUUUGCUUCGAUCCCCCUAUGGCUCACCAUGAACCCAAGGAACUUCCCUGACUCGACCCCAAAAGCACACUUUUUCGGGUUGAGUUUCAUCUUAUACUUCCUCAAAAGCCCGAAUGUCUCCUUGAGGUGUCCGACAUGUUCCUUCGGGAUUUUCGUCUUGGUUAUCAUGUCGUCCACGUACACCUCCAUGGUUCUCCCAAUCAGUGGCUUAAAGACUUUAUUCAACAGCCUCUGGUACGUGGCCCCAGCAUUUUUAAGACCAAAUGGCAUUACCCUGUAACAGAAUAAACCCUGGUUAGUAAUAAAAGCCGUGCUCUCCUCAUCAUGCUCAUACAUGGGAAUUUGGUUGUAUCCCGAAAACGUGUCUAUGAAGCUAAGCAGGCCGUGUCCAGCCGUUGAAUCUACUAGCUGGUCGAUCUUUGGUAAAGGAAAUCUGUCUUUCGGGCAUGCCUUAUUGAGAUCUGUGAAAUCUACACACAUCUUCCACUUGCCAUUUGCCUUCUUUACCAACACCACAUUCGAUAUCCACUCAGGAUAAUUGACUUCCCGAAUGAACCCUGCUCUCAAGAGCUUCUCCACCUCGCCAUUUAUAGCCUCAUACCUCUCUUGGUUGAAGCACCUCCUUUUCUACUUUACUGCCCGAGCACCUUUCUUUAUUGCCAGCUUAUGACAUGCUACCUCAGGAUCAAUCCCUGGCAUGUCUUCAUGUGUCCAAGCAAACACAUCUGCAUGAGCCUGUAAGCAUUUCACCAACUCCUGCUUCUGCUCUUCCUUAAGUCUCGACCCGAUUCUGAUCGUUUUUUUCCCGGAUUCUCUGGUCCCAGGCUUACUGUCUCCAGCUCCUCUACAGGUUCUUGUCUGCCGUUCCUGUUUUCCACUCGGGUAUCAAUGGAUGUUAUCUGCAUUGCUUCCCUUGCUGCCGAGGAGUAGCAGCUUCGUGCGAUUCUCUGGUCUCCUCAUACCACUCCAACUACCCCAUUCACCCGGUACUUGAGAGCCAGAUAAUGGUUAGACAGUACCGCUUUGCUCAUCCUCAUAAAUGGCCGACCUAUAAUCAUCUGGUAAGGACCUUCUUCAUCCACCACCACAAAGUCCAAUAUCAUGGUCCUUUCUGUCGGGGAGCUCACAAUUGUGAUAGGCAGCUCGACCACGCCCAGAGGGACCAGCUUUCCUCCUCCAAACCCCUUCAAGGAGGUAUUUGUGUACUCCAACUUCCGGUCUGCUAUUCUCAUCUCCUCCAGAGUUGACUUAAAUAACACAUCAACUGAGCUCCCUGUAUCAACCAGUAUCCGGUCAAACUUCUUACUUGCAACAGUAGCCUUGAUGACUAAAGCAUCCUCGUGGGGGUAUAGAAUCCAUUCUUCAUCUUCAUCCGUCCACAUGAUUGGCACUUGCCUGACUCUUGCUCGUUUGGCUGCUGGGGUGUUGAAGAAUACCUAUUUACUAGUCAUGACGUAUCUAGCAUAAUUCUUCCUCGAUCUGUUGGAAUCUCCAGCCAAUGUUGGGCCCCCAGCUAUCACUCUUACUGUAGGCUGCUCACGCCUCAAGUUUCUAUCACUCUGCUCCCCUUCACAUGUCGAGGCCACCAUCAGGAAAGUCCCAUCUAUAAACUCGUUUAGGUACCGAUUUCUUACCAAAUCUUCAACCUGGGUCUUGAGAUCUCUGCAUUCUGCAGUGGUAUGGCCAUGAGUGCCAUGGAACUUACAAUAGCGUCCCCUAUCCCUCCUGCUGGGUAGCUUUGUUAUUGGGGCAGGGAGGUACAGCAAUCCCCGGUCCUUUAUGGCCUCGUACACCUCGUCCAGGGACAUCUUCAAGGAAGUAUACCGCCCAUAGUCCUGGUUCUGGUUGAUCAUGUGCACUGCCCUUUCUCUAUUUGCUCCGUUCCGAGUUGGAGGCGGUGGCAGCGCUUCUGGUCUGCUCCCUCUACUACCGUGGGAGUGUUGAUGAAGACCACCAUAUGUCAAGUCAUGCCUUCUCCAAGGCUCCCUAGCUGGGGAACGAGGAGGUUGUGCCCUGCUGCGCUGAUACUGUGGUGGCCUCUGAUGAGGCUGGUAAGCAGUUACCCGACCUCCGUCCUCCUGCACCACUACCUGAGGUAUGGUGGUCCCUCCUCCUGAUCGGCCCAUUCCCUGGUAAUGCUUUCUUCUCUUUCUUUCCCAACCCUUCUAACUGGUCUGUCUUAAUCCGUGCUGCCUUUUCCUCUUCAAUCUCAAUGUCCCUCUUAGCCUGCUCGUAUGCGGCUGCAUACGUCUGAAUAACUGGGCUUCUCAAGUUGUACCACAGCCUUCCUAUCUUCACCCCUUCUUUCAAUCCCCUUAAUGCCUGAGGAUGGUUGAAGGCUCCCAAAUCGAGGACAGCACGAUGAAACCUCUUGAUGAAUUCCUGAAGGGUUUCUUGUUCCCCCUGCUUUAUGUUUUUCAACUCCAUCAUGUCAUCUUCUGGUGCCAUUGCCCCACAAAACUGCUCUACAAAUUCCUGGCACAUCUACUCGAAGGUUUUAAUGCUCCCCCGAGGAAUUUUCCUGUACCACUCGCGUGCACGUCCCUCAAGGGAUAGUGGGAACACCCUGCACCUUUGGGAUUGAGAUAAUCCUUGUACCCCGGUUAUGUCGUUGAAGCGCUCUAUGUGCACCAGCGGAUCAGUUCGUCCCGAAUAUCUAAGGUCUGGGGGGCGGAAGGUUAUGUCGUUGAAGCUUUUCCUGUACCACUCGCGUGCACGUCCCUCAAGGGAUAGUGGGAACACCCUGCACCUUUGGGAUUGAGAUAAUCCUUGUACCCCGGUUAUGUCGUUGAAGCGCUCUAUGUGCACCAGCGGAUCAGUUCGUCCCGAAUAUCUAAGGUCUGGGGGGCGGAAAUCUCUUGGAAUAAUUGCCCUCAUGAUAUCUGCUGCGAGCGGUGAUUCUCCGUCCAGCAUUAUCCUCCAACUAGGAGCUCUGCUCCUUCCUUGCAUGUCAUCAAUUAUCUAUGCUAGUCUGCGCACUUCCUCCUCCAGCUGCACUGCACGACCAGGGUCACGUGCUGCAACUUGAUCCCACUCUUGCUCUACAUCAUGCAAGUGUUGCCUCAACUCUGUUUCCUUUGCAUUCGACACCCCGUCGUCCUCGUCAAAAAUCUGUCUUGCCGGGAAUUGCUCUUCCUCUCUAUGAAUUUCUCUCCGCAGAGAUAGGUUACCUCUCUCACCACCAAAUCUCCCGGUGGUUUGACUUCUCCUCGUACUAUCGUGACCUGGUGCCACUCCACCACCUCUCACCCUUUCCUCCUGGGUUUCUCUUCGUUCACUCCGAAGCUCAUGUAGGAUGGUUGUCAGGGUCUCCAUAUGCUUUUCCAUCCGUUCCAUCCGGUCAAACAUGGCUUUUUCCCGUGCUUCACUGGCUAUCUCCCUCAACGUCACAGAAUCGUUAAGCCUCAUAUCAUCCCCUUGUGCACUACUCCCUCAUGCCUCCAUUGCUUUUUCACUUGCUUCACUCCUCUUCUUACUAUCAACAGAAGCUUUUUUAUCAGCUCCCCACAGACGGCGCCAAAAUGUUGAUGCGAGAUUCUGGUUGCCCUCUUUCUACGACCAGGAUAUCUGCUCGAUCAACUCUGUAGUUUCUAUUCUUUAGAGCUUUCUUUUAUCUCUGUUAUAAUCUCCAAAUUGCUAACCCUUUUACCUUCGUUGGCCACCUUUUUAUAGGUCACUUCUGAACUCGGGCCUUCCCUCCAUUCGCGCUCGUUGUCCUCUCACCUCUCGAAAGUGGAGGCCCCAUUUACUUAGUCGUGGGUGGUUACGUGGCCUUCGUGCCUUGAUUCUCGGACUGGAGAGUACGCCUCGCCAACUGUCAUUGACCGGGUCUCCUCGACUCAACCCUUAACAGGAAUGUAGCAGGAAUAGCUUUAUGCUUCCAACAGGAGAUUGGCCUCGUGGAUGACGUGCUCGUGGAUGAGCAGGAUAUUCCUGCUCCUGCUCCCCCGGAUACCAGACUCUUACAAGAUAUACCUGCUCGAGGAACCCUGUUACCAGAUGUCUGCUCAUCACUAUUGAUCUUUGUCGAAGCAUAUCCCACAAACAAUUAUGAAUUGAUGCUUUAUGUUUUCUCGUCCUUUACUUGCAUUGCUAGCUACUCAUUACUGUUAGAAAUGGUAAUGUUCCAAAUUAAACCAUCGCUCUGUGCUUGCGUUUUGUUUGUAUUAUAUGAAUCAUGUGCAAACAUGACAUCACAUAUAAUAUUAUUGACCUGUCGUUUUAUCACAUCCAGAGAUUAGUCUUUUCAUCACCUUCAUGUUAGAUUGUACAGCUUGUUGAUCGUAUUAUUGUACAAAUACAUAUAAAAUCAAGAAAAGAUCGAAAAGAGAAGUAUGCACGCAUCAAAUCUUAAGCAAAUAACUAAUCAAUCAUUAAACAUCUUAAUUAUGCAUUCGUCACAUAUUAUACAUAAUAUUUUUCAAAAGCACACACACGCACAGUACCACAAGUGAGAUUUAAUUAAUUAAUUAAUUAGCUGCUAGCAGCUAGCAAGUCAAGGUUGAAAGAGCUUAUUCCCACAUCUGCAUUUCCACGAAAGCAGAUAAUAACUAUCAUCAUCUCCAUGAGAAUUAGAUGACGCUUUAAGAAGAUUCUUGUGAGAAGGCACAACAAGAGUGGCCACACAAGGCCUGCAACUCGAGCACUUGUUGACGCAGGCGGGUGGCUUUGAUCCCAACACCAUUUUCUUUUUAAACAAACUCUCAUAUUCAUUACCCUUUUCACCUGAAAAUUAAAAAUAAAACUACCCAAAUCAUUAAAACUCAAAAAAAAAAAAAAAAAAAGCAACUAUAUAUAACAGAUGCAUAUGUGGGAAAGAAUAAUUUUAUUAUACCUGCUGAUGUGAGAGGCAGCAGCAGGAAUAUUAUGAGAGAAAUGAUGAAAGCCACAGUGACAUGUGGGCGAUGAUCAUUUGAUGAUCUUGAUGCUGUACCCAUGAUGAUCGGCAUACGGGGUGUGUGUUGGGAGAGAGGAGAGAAGUUAACAAGAAGAGAUGUAAUCUGCGGGGGAGGAAAUGAGGAAUGGAUAAAAAUUGCUUGAUAUAUAUACAGUGAUUUUUAACACUGUUGAGGACUGAUGCCUGUAGAAGAGGGGACAUGUCUCUGAUUCAAUGGCUUGUUAACCAAUUAAACAGUUUUUACCGCGUUGGCAAACAAUAAAUUCUUCUUUUUCCACAGUCUUUCUUUGGAAACUGGUGAGUUGAUGACUGAUCAGACAUUGGUUCAUCAACCGUUAGAAGACUUGACUAUGCUAGCAAAAAUACUUACCAUUUCUCACUCAAAUCCUUUUCAUCUCAAACAAAAAAUAUAUAUUUAAAUCCCAUUAUUGAUGACACUUGACAUUAUGUAUUCAUCCAUAGGUUGUGCCCUAAUUUUUCAUUUGUUUUCAAGUUUUAACAAGGGAAUAAGGAUUAAACCGCAAAUUUUGAAUUUAUACUAUCAUUCUUUAGCACAUAUUCAUACCUGACAACCAAUAUGUUUUUCAGAAUUUUUAACCAUCUUUAAUGAUUUUCGAAAUUAUUCUAUGUGAAAACUCACCAAGUAUAACAAAUCUUGUGUUGUCUUUCAAAAAUAUCUUAGCUUUUUCUAUUAUAGCACUGAGAUCAUUCUUUCAAAUUUCAAUCAGAGUGUUUUAGGGAUGAUAUUAAUAUUAAAAUUAUUAACUCAUAUAUGUUAGAUGGAGUAAAAUUUGAAUAACCCUUAACUCAGAAGUUACAUUUGCAUAAAAUUUGGCCCGUAAACUACUAGUAUUGAUCAUGAUUCAUGCCCAUUCCUUUAUCAUCUUUCAAAUUAUCAAUCGUCACAGAGGCAUUUAAUGCUAUUAAUUGUGACCACCACCAAUGUCUCGAUAUAUCGGCAUUGGUCUGAUACGGCAUCAAAUCAGGACACCUUGGGAUGAUGCCUUGGACUUCUAAGUAAGCCUCUCUUUUUUAACUUUGAGAUAAAAUAUGGAAGCUGGAGAGUAAAUUCAGGGUGAGUUUCAAAAUUCAGGUGUCCUAGUUAUUCUACCGGCCAUAGCAAUAUUCACAAGGAUGAACAAUAUUCGAACUUCAUAAUUAGAAUGAAUGAAAAAUAAACAAUAAAUCAUGAAAAUGAUGCUCCACAUUAAAAAUUACAGAAUAUUUAUCUGUUAUUUAGAGUAGUUUAUGUUAAAGGUAUACAUAUAAAUAUUUUAAGAAGACUUACGAUGUUUAAGUUUCGCAAAAAGAUAAAUUUCAUUUUUUAGCAUAACAACUGCAACCACCUCGUUUUAUUAUUAAAGUUGAGAGUAACCUCCUCACUUCAUCAUUGAAGAUUACAAAAAUGUCUUCAAGCGUUCGUCUAAAACUGAGUAACGAUACGCUUAAAAAUUUUAUAUCUCAAACGACGUGGUAUUUGAUAUGUCAUUCAUUCAUUAAUAUUAUAAAAUUAUCUUAAUAAUGAUGAUAUAAAAAAAUCAAUUAUAUAUUACAAAACUUAAGACAAUCACCGAUUAAUUUCGUGUCAUUCUGGAUACAGACGUUGUCUCCCAAUUUUAUAAGUAUAUCAUUAUCCAUUAAAAUUGGAUAUUAUUUAUAUUUUAGUAGUUAUACCACAAUCCCUAAUUUCGACUGCUUCUUAUCUUAUAUAUGAUAUAUGUUUACGGUUUUCUCAUUUUAUUCUAAGUGUAUAUCUAUAAAUAACUUGUACCCUAAUACAAAGGUGAUUAUUACCUUAAGAUAGUUUUCAUGAUAUCAAAGUCAGAUCAUGUAUAAGUGAGUGUUAGUUUUCGUUAGAUUUAUAGUUUCCAUAAAGAAUCUGAGUUCCUUCCUGUGUAUGUUUUGCGAAUAAAGUUUUUAUUCCGACAUUGGAUUUGAAUGGAAUUUGGUCAUUGGUCUCCAGUCAAGCAUGUUCGAGCUGGGCAAACUUUUGAUGCAAUUGUCAAUAUACUUGUAACUGACCAGAUUUGAAAGGGAGACCUGUUAAAAAUCUAACAAAUCAAAAGUCAACACACUGAAUCAAAAACCCCCUUCAAGAAAAAAAAAAGGUUGGGCUGCUGUACCGUACAUCCGCNNNNNNNNNNNNNNNNNNNNNNNNNNNNNNNNNNNNNNNNNNNNNNNNNNNNNNNNNNNNNNNNNNNNNNNNNNNNNNNNNNNNNNNNNNNNNNNNNNNNNNNNNNNNNNNNNNNNNNNNNNNAAAUAUUAUUCUUUUUUUCAUUAUUGAAUUCAUGUAGGGUCAAGUAAAACGUAAAAGAUCCAUGUCGGUGGCAGCAUUAAAUUCUUUAUCCGUAUAUGAUAUAUCUCGCUCUGAAAGUUAGACACAUAUAUUUCGCCCACAAGUAACUAAUUAAGGUCUUUAUUAACUCAUAAAAAUCUGAAGUUAGCUGCCUCUCUCUUAUCUGUUAUAAUUAAUUAACCUACUACUUUUUUCUCUCUGUGUACAAGGCUGUGAUUAUAGUAUCCGGGGGUUUCACAUUCCACAGCUUACACACCGUCAAAUGAUUGAAUUUUAUUAAGUUUUAUUAACUUUCUAAUUCUCUGAUGGUGCAAGAUACAACGGUAUCCAUGGCGAAUCCCAUAACAUAAACAAAUUUACUGGUAAAACUAUUUUGUUUGUUUGUUUAUUUUUGUGUGUAUGUGCGUGUGUGUGAAAGCAACCAAACGGAGCAGAACUUUAACGUGGAAACUUAUUGGAAAGGAAAGAAGAAGGAAGUGGAAAUUGUCAAUUUGGACAAAAGAGAGAGAUCAAUGUAUAAGUAGUAACCAGUCAAGUCAGGUGGGGUUCAGAAAAGGCCACUUUUACGAAUGCUUGUCAAUUUAAAGUGUCGGCUAGCUAAUUUAGCUGUGCUCGAAUUGUAAAAACAGUUCUUACAGUCUGCCCAAGACAAGAAAACAGUUUUAAGAGAUGCAAUGGUUAAAACAAAAUCAACUUUUCUUUUCACUUUGUAAAAGCAAACAAAUAGAGAUGAAACUUUCAAAAUACUUUUGACUUUUCUAGUUACAAUAAUUUUUUUUCCAUUAUAUAUUAUGAUAAUCUACGGCUAGAACCCGAUGACUUAAGGAUAUUAUACCAAGUGUGUAUUUAUAAUGAUUUACAAUGAGAGAUUUAAUUAGCUUAACUAUGUAUUGUACUAAAAACCUAUUUGAUAGUGAGGUGUUAUGAACAGAAACUGUUAUUUAUCAAAAAAAAAAAAAAAAAACCUAUGUUUGUAUGAUUAACAAUAAUUUUUUUGUUAAUUUUUACAUCUAAUAAUUAUUAUAAAAUGAAAAAAUUUGAAGCCAAAGCCCAACUUCAUUUACCAAACACCACAACAUGUAUAGUUAAGUUAUGACAGCCCGGCUAUGAAUCUCGGACUUUUUAUUUCUCUGUGAUUAACUAACUAAAGAAUUUUGCUGGUGUUGAUGCGGGAUUCCGGUUCUCCUCGUCCUACGACCAGGAUCUCUGCCCGAUCAACUUCUUCACGACCAGAAGGUCUCCUCGUGAGGCUUCUUCUCCAGAGGUUCCUGCGCACACAGACAAGUCAGAGUACGCCGGUUGUUUUCCCGGCGCAAACCCUCCGACGCUCAAGUCAGAUAUGAAGGUUCGGGGAACGCUUGCCACAGAUCUUAUGGCUUUUCUUUUAAUUUCUUUUCUAAUCUUCAAAAUGCCAACCCUUUUACCUUCGUUGGCUACCUUUUUAUAGGCUUCCCCUGAAUCCCAGUUUUCCGCUUUUUUCGAGACGGUAUGGGACUCUGACUACUGCGUUAUGGGCCAACGUGGGAUCUCGCGUGUUACGCCACGGUUCCGGGGAAAGCGUGGCUGUCGUAGUUCUGUGAGAUCUUGCGUGUUACGCCACGGUUCUGGGGAAAGCAUGGCUGUCGCGGUUCUGUGAGAUUUUGCGUGUUACGCCACGGUUCUGGGGAAAGCGUGGCUGUCGUGUCUAGAUUCUCGGGCUGGAGAGCAUGUCUUGCCAACUGCCGUCGACCGGGUCUCCUCGCCUCUCGACCUCUAGCCGGAAUGACCUUAUGCCUCUUACGGGAAAUUGGCCUCGCGGAUGACGUGCUCGUGGACGAGCAGGAUACUUCUGCUCCUGUUCCCCCGCGCACCAGGCUUUUACGGAAUACACCGGUUCGCAGAACUCUGCCAUCAGAUAUCUGCUCACCAUGCCUGGUCUCGUCGACGUAUUUCUCCCAAACACCGGUCCCCCAGUUUCUGGUGUUGGGUAAUGUAGUGGACCAGCAGUAGAAACUCGUUAGUACUCGCCCGCGUGGGAUUGGAAAAGGCUGCCAAGAGUCAUGUCGCAUUUAAUUGCGGACGAGGUGACGUGGCAGAAAUCCCCCCCUCCAUUUGAAUUUCAAACUGACGGUUAUGAGACCCUCGGGAUUCGGCGCCGUUAAAUGCUGGCAACCCAAGAGUCCGUCCUCAUUAGGAAAACCAAAUCUUCUCGAACGGCGUAUUCAUCAUUCACUCCGUCUCCGUCUUUGUCUCUCCGGCAAAGAAGUUCCGGCAAAAAAGGCCUCCAUCCCUGACUUUCACCGACUGAACCAUUACUUCAGGUAUUUCUUCUAUCUCCUUGGUCUCGGAUAGUUGUAGAUAAUUUCUCUUCUCUUCUGUUUGGGUAGUAGUUGGUGGUGUUGUGGUUAGAGCUUAGGGAAUGUCGAAAGGUAAGGAGAAAGUCGUUGAGAUUGAUGACGACGAACUAAGUUUCCUACCUGGUCUGUUCACUGAUCCUGCUUUUGACCCCGGGAUCCCCUUAGAACCCAUUAGGUUUAGUGUCGGGACUAGUGCUAAGAGGAUGUCCCCCCAAACAACCUCCACGAGCGGAAGCAAUGGUGAUGAGGGACCUUCUGGCUCUGAGGACACCUUAAGUGAGAAUGGGGGAGGUGACUCUGGUGAGGUGUCUCCAUCUGGAACAUCACGACCAGAAGGACGGGGUAUAGUAGGAGGCAGAGCCUUGUCGCUCGAUUAUGCCAUUGAUUACAUGACGUGCACGACCUUGUUUGACGAGCUCAAUGACCUCCGGCUUAGGUAUAGCAUUCCUGGUGAGAUACCUCUCAAGGUCCCAGGAAAGAAGGAUGCUCCCAGCCGGCCUCCUAAGGGAUACGUUACCCUGUUUCUAGAGAGGUGGAGCAGCCACAGAUCCUUCUUCUUCUUCUCCUCCUGUCGGGCCUCGAUCUCGCUUACCUGACAGCCGAGCAGAACACCUGGUCCCCUACCUCAAUGAGUUAACUAAACUCGUGAGCAAGAAUAUUCAAUCGGCGACGACCAGGGCUGACGUUGCCGAGAAGAAAGCAGGGGAGCUGAAUCUCGAGAAUCUGAAGCUGAUAGAGCAAGAAUCACUUGCUCAAGCAAAAGCCAUUUCCCUCGAGGAGGAGCUUACCAAGGUCAAGGAGGAUCUGCAAAGGCAGAAGGCUAUGUAUGAGGCUCAGCUCGAAUCUCUCCGCGACUCCCACCGAGCUCAGGUCGAGAACUUGGAGAGGGAGGCUGACAACCAGUACGACCAGGGACUUCGGCAUUCCUAUCGUUGCAUCAUGGCCGUUCUCGGGAAGCAACACCCUGAUCUGAAGAUGGAUGACCUUGCAGCUGGUGUUGCUCAACAUAUGGACGAGGAGGCGGCCAAGGAAGAUGUCGAUGGGGUAGAGCCGAUCGUGAUUGAGGAGGAAGACUCUCCUGCUCGUGCAGUCCCUGCUGAUGUUGGCGAGGCGAGUACCCCCCCGGACGCAACUGGUGAUACCCCUCCUGCACCUGAGGAGGUCCAGCCAACCGAUGCUGCCGGGCUUACUGGUCCAUCAUCUUCUUGAUAUAUUUCUUGUAUUGUAAUGAACAAUGUUCAUGAAGAUUAUCCCCUCUGUUAAUUAUUAACAAAUUAAUAAAAAUGGUUUUUGAUUACUUUCUUGUGUUGUAAUUAUGAAUUAAUUUUCGGUUGAGAAUCUGCUUGUCUCUGUCUAGACGAGCAGGUUCCGGCUUGGCUCAUGGUUUUGUCACAUGCCUUUGGAGAUUCUUCAAUGCUUGGGAUUCGGCUCGCCUUCGCGCGGUCGAGCAGAUCCUGGCACGCUCGGCUUCUGUCUCGCCAUAAAACAGACUUUGAGACUUGGUGGGUCUUUGCAUGCCUUGGGAAUUUCUUCGAAUGUUUUGGAGUCUGCUCGCCUUCUCGUGGCCAAGCAGGUCCUGGCAUGCUUGGCUUCUGUCUCGCCAUAAGACAGGCUUUGAGACUUGGUGAGCCUUUGCAUGCCUUGGGAAUUUCUUCGAAUGCUUUGGAGUCUGCUCGCCUUCUCGUGGCCAAGCAGGUCCUGGCAUGCUUGGCUUCUGUCUCGCCAUAAGACAGGCUUUGAGACUUGGUGAGCCUUUGCAUGCCUUGGGAAUUUCUUCGAAUGCUUUGGAGUCUGCUCGCCUUCUCGUGGCCAAGCAGGUCCUGGCAUGCUUGGCUUCUGUCUCGCCAUAAGACAGGCUUUGAGACUUGGUGAGCCUUUGCAUGCCUUGGGAAUUUCUUCGAAUGCUUUGGAGUCUGCUCGCCUUCUCGUGGCCAAGCAGGUCCUGGCAUGCUUGGCUUCUGUCUCGCCAUAAGACAGGCUUUGAGACUUGGUGAGCCUUUGCAUGCCUUGGGAAUUUCUUCGAAUGCUUUGGAGUCUGCUCGCCUUCUCGUGGCCAAGCAGGUCCUGGCAUGCUUGGCUUCUGUCUCGCCAUAAGACAGGCUUUGAGACUUGGUGAGCCUUUGCAUGCCUUGGGAAUUUCUUCGAAUGCUUUGGAGUCUGCUCGCCUUCUCGUGGCCAAGCAGGUCCUGGCAUGCUUGGCUUCUGUCUCGCCAUAAGACAGGCUUUGAGACUUGGUGAGCCUUUGCAUGCCUUGGGAAUUUCUUCGAAUGCUUUGGAGUCUGCUCGCCUUCUCGUGGCCAAGCAGGUCCUGGCAUGCUUGGCUUCUGUCUCGCCAUAAGACAGGCUUUGAGACUUGGUGAGCCUUUGCAUGCCUUGGGAAUUUCUUCGAAUGCUUUGGAGUCUGCUCGCCUUCUCGUGGCCAAGCAGGUCCUGGCAUGCUUGGCUUCUGUCUCGCCAUAAGACAGGCUUUGAGACUUGGUGAGCCUUUGCAUGCCUUGGGAAUUUCUUCGAAUGCUUUGGAGUCUGCUCGCCUUCUCGUGGCCAAGCAGGUCCUGGCAUGCUUGGCUUCUGUCUCGCCAUAAGACAGGCUUUGAGACUUGGUGAGCCUUUGCAUGCCUUGGGAAUUUCUUCGAAUGCUUUGGAGUCUGCUCGCCUUCUCGUGGCCAAGCAGGUCCUGGCAUGCUUGGCUUCUGUCUCGCCAUAAGACAGGCUUUGAGACUUGGUGAGCCUUUGCAUGCCUUGGGAAUUUCUUCGAAUGCUUUGGAGUCUGCUCGCCUUCUCGUGGCCAAGCAGGUCCUGGCAUGCUUGGCUUCUGUCUCGCCAUAAGACAGGCUUUGAGACUUGGUGAGCCUUUGCAUGCCUUGGGAAUUUCUUCGAAUGCUUUGGAGUCUGCUCGCCUUCUCGUGGCCAAGCAGGUCCUGGCAUGCUUGGCUUCUGUCUCGCCAUAAGACAGGCUUUGAGACUUGGUGAGCCUUUGCAUGCCUUGGGAAUUUCUUCGAAUGCUUUGGAGUCUGCUCGCCUUCUCGUGGCCAAGCAGGUCCUGGCAUGCUUGGCUUCUGUCUCGCCAUAAGACAGGCUUUGAGACUUGGUGAGCCUUUGCAUGCCUUGGGAAUUUCUUCGAAUGCUUUGGAGUCUGCUCGCCUUCUCGUGGCCAAGCAGGUCCUGGCAUGCUUGGCUUCUGUCUCGCCAUAAGACAGGCUUUGAGACUUGGUGAGCCUUUGCAUGCCUUGGGAGCCAAAACGUCUGCUCGACUAUUCUGCUCCCUGGGGAUUUGUAUCACCUCCACUGCUUCGAACUUCCCCAUCAUCUGCCUGACUAUCUUCAGGUACUGCUCCAUCUUCUCCUCUCUUGGUUGGAAUCUUUCACUGACAUGAUUCGCAACCAGCUGGGAAUCAGUUCUGAUCUUAACUCUGUCUGCUUUCACGGCCUUAGCCAAUUCCAGACCUGCUAUCAAGGCUUCAUACUCUGCCUGGUUAUUCGUGGCUGCAAAUUCCAACUUUACAGCAUAAGAGAUCUCCUCCCCCUCUGGGCCUUCCAAGACAAUCCCUGCUCCUGAACCCCGCUCCCCUGAUGACCCAUCCACAGACAUCUGCCAUACUUGAGUUUCGUCACUGCCUAUAACUGCAUCUUGUUGAUCUAAGCAUACUUCGGGCUCUGCGAAUUCAGCUACAAAAUCGGCCAUUGCCUGGGCCUUUAUCGCCGCGCGGGGUUUAUAGUCUAUGUCGAANNNNNNNNNNNNNNNNNNNNNNNNNNNNNNNNNNNNNNNNNNNNNNNNNNNNNNNNNNNNNNNNNNNNNNNNNNNNNNNNNNNNNNNNNNNNNNNNNNNNNNNNNNNNNNNNNNNNNNNNNNNNNNNNNNNNNNNNNNNNNNNNNNNNNNNNNNNNNNNNNNNNNNNNNNNNNNNNNNNNNNNNNNNNNNNNNNNNNNNNNNNNNNNNNNNNNNNNNNNNNNNNNNNNNNNNNNNNNNNNNNNNNNNNNNNNNNNNNNNNNNNNNNNNNNNNNNNNNNNNNNNNNNNNNNNNNNNNNNNNNNNNNNNNNNNNNNNNNNNNNNNNNNNNNNNNNNNNNNNNNNNNNNNNNNNNNNNNNNNNNNNNNNNNNNNNNNNNNNNNNNNNNNNNNNNNNNNNNNNNNNNNNNNNNNNNNNNNNNNNNNNNNNNNNNNNNNNNNNNNNNNNNNNNNNNNNNNNNNNNNNNNNNNNNNNNNNNNNNNNNNNNNNNNNNNNNNNNNNNNNNNNNNNNNNNNNNNNNNNNNNNNNNNNNNNNNNNNNNNNNNNNNNNNNNNNNNNNNNNNNNNNNNNNNNNNNNNNNNNNNNNNNNNNNNNNNNNNNNNNNNNNNNNNNNNNNNNNNNNNNNNNNNNNNNNNNNNNNNNNNNNNNNNNNNNNNNNNNNNNNNNNNNNNNNNNNNNNNNNNNNNNNNNNNNNNNNNNNNNNNNNNNNNNNNNNNNNNNNNNNNNNNNNNNNNNNNNNNNNNNNNNNNNNNNNNNNNNNNNNNNNNNNNNNNNNNNNNNAAUUCGGCUCGAUGCUCGGGCUGGACUUCACCUCCAGAGGGAUCGACUUUGGCAUUUUUGGGUCGGCUACUGCUGCCAUCCUGGCCAAAGUGUCUGCUCGACUAUUCUGCUCCCUGGGGAUUUGUAUCACCUCCACUGCUUCGAACUUCCCCAUCAUCUGCCUGACUAUCUUCAGGUACUGCUCCAUCUUCUCCUCUCUUGGUUGGAAUCUUUCACUGACAUGAUUCGCAACCAGCUGGGAAUCAGUUCUGAUCUUAACUCUGUCUGCUUUCACGGCCUUAGCCAAUUCCAGACCUGCUAUCAAGGCUUCAUAUUCUGCAUGGUUAUUCGUGGCUGCAAACUCCAAUUUUAUAGCAUAAGAGAUCUCCUCCCCCUCUGGGCCUUCCAAGACAAUCACCGCUCCUGAACCCCGCUCCCCUGAUGACCCAUCCACAGACAUCUGCCAUACUUAAGUUUCGUCAUUGCCUAUAUCUGCAUCUUGUUGAUCUAAGCAUACUUCGGGCUCUGUGAAUUCGGCUACGAAAUCGGCCAUUGCCUAGGCUUUUAUCGCUGCGCGGGGUUUAUAGUCUAUGUCGAACUCGCUCAGCUCUACAGUCCACUUGACGAGCCGACCAGAGGCAUCUGGCUUGUGCAGAGUUUGACGCAAUGGCUGGUUUGUUAUUACCGAGACCGGGAAUGCUUGAAAAUAUGGCCUCAACUUCCGAGCAGCAACCACAAGGGCAAGUGCCCAUUUCUCCAACGGUGGGUAUCUGGUCUCAGCGUCGAGCAGGGCCUUGCUGGUGUAGUAUAUCGGAUACUGGACUCCUUCUUCCUCUCUCACCAGAACAGAACUGACGGCUCGAUCCGAUCCCGCCAAAUACAGAUACAACUUGUCUCCAUCCCUCGGUGUGGACAGCAGCGGAGCUUGCUGCAAGUAUUGCUUCAAGUUCCGCAAGGCUUCCUCGCAUUCUGGGGUCCAUUCUGUUUUCUUUCCCCUCCUUAUUACUUGAAAGAAUGGCUGACACUUAUCUGUAGCCUUGGAUAUGAAUCUGCUCAACGCCGCCAACCUCCCCGUGAGGCUCUGCAUCUCCUUCAGGUUAUGAGGAGACGUCAUUUGCACAAUCGCCUGGAUUUUCUCGGGAUUUGCUUCAAUCCCCCUAUGGCUCACCAUGAAUCCAAGGAAUUUCCCUGACUCGACCCCAAAAGCACACUUCUCCGGGUUGAGCUUCAUCUUAUACUUCCUCAAAAGCUCGAAUGUCUCCUCGAGGUGUCUGACAUGUUCCUUCGGGACUUUGGACUUGGUGAUCAUGUCGUCCACGUACACCUCCAUGGUUUUCCCGAUCAAGGGCUUAAAGACUUUAUUCACCAGCCUUUGAUAGGUGGCCCCAGCAUUCUUGAGACCGAAUGGCAUCACCCUGUAACAGAACAUCUCGGGAUUUGCUUCAAUCCCCCUAUGGCUCACCAUGAAUCCCAGGAAUUUCCCUGACUCGACCCCAAAAGCACACUUCUCCGGGUUGAGCUUUAUCUUAUACUUCCUCAAAAGCUCGAAUGUCUCCUCGAGGUGUCCGACAUGUUCCUUCGGGAUUUUGGACUUGGUGAUCAUGUCAUCCACGUCCACCUCCAUGGUUUUCCCAAUCAACGGCUUAAAGACUUUGUUCACCAGCCUUUGAUAGGUGGCCCCAGCAUUUUUGAGACCGAAUGGCAUUACCCUGUAACAGAACAAACCUUGGUUAGUGAUGAAAGUCGUGCUCUCCUCAUCCUGCUCGUACAUGGGGAUCUGGUUGUAUCCCGAGAACGCGUCCAUGAAGCUAAGCAGACCGUGUCCAGCCGUUGAAUCUACUAGCUGAUCGAUCUUUGGUAAAGGGAAGCUGUCUUUUGGGCACGCCUUAUUGAGGUCUGUGAAAUCCACACACAUCCUCCACUUGCCGUUUGCCUUCUUUACCAACACCACAUUCGAUAUCCACUCAGGGUAACUGACUUCCCGAAUAAACCCUGCUCUCAAGAGCUUCUCCAUCUCGCCAUUUAUAGCCUUAUACCUCUCCUGGUUGAAGCACCUCCUCUUCUGCCUUACUGCCCGAGCACCUUUCUUUAUUGCCAGCUUAUGACAUGCUACCUCAGGGUCAAUCCCUGGCAUGUCUUCAUGUGUCCAAGCAAACACAUCAGCAUGAGCCUGUAAGCAUUUCACCAACUCCUGCUUUUGUCCUCCCUUAAGUCUCGACCCGAUUCUGAUUGUCUUUUCCGGGUUCUCUGGUCCCAGGCUUACUGUUUCCAGAUUCUCUACAGGUUCUUGUCUGCCCUUCUUGCUUUCCACUCGGGUAUCGAGGGAUGUUAUCUGCAUUGCUUCCCUUGCUGCCGAGGAGUAGCAGCUUCUUGCGAUCCUCUGGUCUCCUCGUACCACUCCUACUACCCCAUUCACCCGGUACUUCAGAGCCAGAUAAUGGUUGGACAACACCGCUUUGCUCAUCCUUAAAAAUGGCCGACCUAGGAUCAUCUGGUAAGGACCUUCUUCAUCCACUACGACAAAGUCCAGUAUCAUUGUUCUUUCUGUCGGGGAGCUCCCAAUUGUGAUAGGUAGCUCGACCACGCCCAGAGGGACCAGCUUCCCUCCUCCGAACCCCUUCAAGGAGGUAUUGGUGUAUUCCAAUUUCCGGUCGGCUAUUCCCAUCUUUUCCAGGGUUGACUUAAAUAGCACAUCAACAGAGCUCCCUGUAUCAAUCAGUAUCCGGUCAACCUUCUUGCUAGCGACAGUAGCCUUGAUGACUAAAGCAUCCUCGUGGGGGUACAGAAUCCCUUCCUCAUCCUCAUAUACUUCUGGUCUGCUCGCCCUGCUACCGUGGGGGUGUUGAUGGAGGCCACCAGAUGCCGACUCAUGCCUUCUCCAAGGCUCCCUAACUGGGGAACGAGGAGGUUGUAUCACCCUCACUGCGGGCUGCUCGCGCCUCACGUUUCCGCCACUCUGCUCCCCUUCACCUGUUGUGGCCCCCAUCGGGAAAGUCCCAUCCAUAAACUCGUCCAGGUACCGAUUUCUCACCAAAUCUUCGACCUGGGUCUUGAGAUCUCUACACUCUGCUGUGGUAUGGCCACCCCUUCUUUCAGUCCCCUUACGCCUGAGGGUGGUUGAAGGCUCCCAAGUCGAGGACAGCCCGAUGAAACCUCUUGAUGAAUUCCCGAAGGGUUUCUUGCUCCCCUUGUUUCAUGCUUUUCAGCUCCAUCAUAUCAUCUUCCGGCGCCAUUGCCUCACUGAACUGCUCCGCGAAUUCCUGGCACAUCUGCUCGAAGGUUUUAAUGCUGCCCCGAGGAAGUUUCCUGUACCAUUCUCGUGCACGUCCCUCAAGGGAUAGUGGGAACACCCUGUCCGUCGUCCUCGUCGCCAGUCUGCCUUGCUGGGGACCGCUCUCUUUCUCUAUGAAAUUCUCCCCGCAGAGGUAUGUUACCUCUCUCACCACCAAAUCUCCCGGUGGUUUGACUUCUCCCCGCACUAUCGGGACCUGGUGCCACUCCACCGCCUCUCACCCUUCCCUCUUGGAUUAUACUUCGCUCGCUCCGCAGCUCAUCCAGGAUGGUUGUCAGGGUCUCCAUCUGCUUUUCCAUCCGUUCCAUCCGAUCGAACAUGACUUUUUCCCUUGCUUCACUGAUUAUCUCCCUCAGCGUCACGGAAUCGUUAAGCCUCCUAUCACCCCCUUGUCCACUACUUCCUCCUGUCUCCAUUGCUUUUCACUUGCUUCACCCCUCUUCUUGCUAUCAACAGAAGCUUUUUGCUCUGUUCCCCACAGACGGCGCCAAAAUGUUGAUGCGGGAUUCCGGUUCUCCUCGUUCUACGACCAGGAUCUCUGCCCGAUCAACUUCUUCACGACCAGGAGGUCUCCUCGUGAGGCUUCUUCUUCAGAGGUUCCUGCGCACACAUACAAGUCAGAGUACGCCGGUUGUUUUCCCGGCGCAAACCCUCCGACGCUCAAGUCAGAUAUGAAGGUUCGGGGAACGCUUGCCACAUGUCUUAUGGCUUUUUUUCUUAUUUCUUUUCUAAUCUUAAAAAUGCUAACUGCGUUAUGGGCCAACGUGGGAUCUCGCGUGUUACGCCACGGUUCCGGGGAAAGCGUGGCUGUCGUAGUUCUGUGAGAUCUUGCGUGUUACGCCACGGUUCUGGGGAAAGCAUGGCUGUCGCGGUUCUGUGAGAUUUUGCGUGUUACGCCACGGUUCUGGGGAAAGCGUGGCUGUCGUGUCUAGAUUCUCGGGCUGGAGAGCAUGUCUUGCCAACUGCCGUCGACCGGGUCUCCUCGCCUCUCGACCUCUAGCCGGAAUGAUCUUAUGCCUCUUACAGGAAAUUGGCCUCGCGGAUGACGUGCUCGUGGACGAGCAGGAUACUUCUGCUCCUGUUCCCCCGCGCACCAGGCUUUUACGGAACACACCGGUUCGCGGAACUCUGCCAUCAGACGUCUACUCACCACGCCUGGUCUCGUCGACGUAUUUCUCCCAAACACCGGUCCCCCAGUUUCUGGUGUUGGGUAAUGUAGUGGACCAGCAGUAGAAACUCGGCUGGAUAUAUUUUUAACAUGAUUUUCCAGCUCUUAAUAAUUUGUGGCCUGGCCUCUAAGUGACUGGUACAUGUAUUAGAGCAAAAUCUAAUAAGAACUCUUCAAUCAAGUCAAUAGAUAUUUGAUGAUAUUGCUUUCGUUUUCCGCGCAUGCGUUGAAUGAUGAAAUUAAAUCGAAAGGAUCAAGCCGUACCUCUGUUGAUCCGUCAGUGCGUCUCUAGCUACGUCCGUAUUUCAGACUUCUAAUCUUUCCAUUUUCUAUUUUCAGAUGUAACAUAAUUUGACGAUUUGUUUAGUAGAUCAUUAUUUCUAUGUAUAUAAUUUUUUUUUUUUUAUAUUAAUUGAAAUGUACACACAGAAAAUAUAGCCAAUAAGAUGAGUGAUAUAGAACUCAUUUCCCAAGAACACAUAGUAAUUAUUUUUCAGAUCCAAAAUUGCGAAACCACCUUAUGAUGUCGUGCCUAAUUCCUCCAUUGUACACAAAGACUUCAUACUUUCUUGAUUCUCUUAAAUUCAAUGGAUUCUGAGUUUUUGAUACAACUCCAACAAAUAAACAUAUUUAUUACAAACUUGGAAACAAAGAUGCUUCUGAAACUCAGUAGGAUCUUUCAGAAAUUAAACACAAAGUUAAUUAUCUUUUAAUCACAAAGCAAAGUUACAUAACUUAUUUCCAUUUCAAAACCAACCCAAAACCCUCCACAAAAACAUCACAGACCAUGCAUAAACGCCACUUCACUAAUGGAUUCUCACUUCCUUCACAUCCUGCUUAGGCUUUUCGGUCCUAGGAAUUACAAUAUUAAGAACCCCGUUUUUCAACUCCGCCUUAAUUUCGUCAGCCUUCGCAUCAUCAGGCAGCGCGAGGCUUGUGUUGUAGUAACCAUAGCUCCUUGCUGACCAGUGUUCGUCGUCAGAGCCUUCCUCUUCCUCUUCCUUGUGCUCACCCUUUAUUGUCAGAACCCCAUCAUGAAUGGUGAUCUUCACAUCAUCUUUGCCUAGCCCCGGAACGUCAUACCGCAGCUUGUAGCAGUCGUCUUGCUCUUUCACCCACCCCAUGAGUUGUGAUGGUGUAAAGUUCAAGUUUUCGAAUAUCCUGUUAAUGUUUUCGGUUGCUUGCAUGAGUGCAUUUCCAAGCCCUGAAGGAAAGAACUCUAUAGGAGACAGUAACAGAGACAAAAUUACCACUCAUUUGCAAUAUGAAACGUAAAACUUGAACACACGAAAGAUCAGAAAGAAGUAUUACCAGCAAGUACGGGAAUGUCAUUGUUCCUCCAAAGACUCCCCCUCCUGCCUCUUCUCCUUGGAAAGAGCCUUGAUCUUUUUUCAGUCACGGCGACUUCUCUGUCUUUUUUUUUCUCAUCAUUGGCAGCUGUUGCCAUGAACCGCUUCAACAACUCAUUACUCCACUUUUGCCUUUGUACACCACCGAUGGUACUAGCUCUUCUCUCACCAAGAUUAUUAUGCAAAUUUGCCAGAGAAGGUGAAGAAGUUGACACCCUUUGCUGCACGUUCCUCAGAGCCAAACGAGCCAAAGCCAUUUUUUUUCGGUAACUAGGGGAGUUUUUUGAGAAAUUGGGUUGUUCGUCUUUAGUCCUCUUGUCUUUUUUGCCUCUUAUUGAAAGGAUACAUGAAAGUAUUUAAGGGUGCCGGUGAGUUGAGCUUUGGAUAAUUUGAGAAGUCUCUGAGAUGUUCUAGGGGCUAGUAGACGCAUCAAGUAAAGGUUCAUUUCUGACUAUGAAUGAUGUCAUGACCAAUAGAUGAUUCUUGGUCUUUCUCAAACUCACUUGCCUCCCCUUUUUUUUUUUAAUAUAUUUUUCAAGAGAAAACGUUUAAUGAAUAGAGAUUAUUUUAACAUUUUUUUUAUUUUUUUUAUGCGAGGAGUGUUCCACAAUCCAGAGUAAAAUGAAUCGGAUGCCCAAUGAUAUUGCAUUUGGUCACUUUUUUCCCCUUCAGUAGAUGGAAUAAAAAUUAAAAUUAUGCUUCACGUUGCUUUUGCUCAUGACUGAAAAUUAUCUACAGGCUCUACAUAAUCUAGACGUGCUCCUCUUUAAUUUCUUAGCCUAUGAAGUUUCUCCUUCCUGGCCUGGAUCUAGAAGAAACUCAUCCAUAUUUGACUUUGAAUUUAAUCCCCAAAUGGAGUUGAAUUUAUUGCUUCAGUAGUAAAUCUUCAAAUAUAUUACAUAUCCGCCUGAGAAAUGACAGACCGCCAGUACAAACACAUUAUAAAAGGACCUCAGAAAAAAGAAUGAAGAGAUGCAUUUACUAGAGUAAUAGAGAUCUUCUGAGAAUAACCAUGUAGUUCAACCAUUUGACACAGAUUCUCUUAACCAAUAUGAAAACCUUGAAACCAUUUCAAGAAUCCAAUGAGUGCGGAUUAAUCUUCCCAGUCCUCGCAUGAUGAGGAGAAUUUUGCAAUGUUGGCAAUGUUUCAAGGGACAUUUUCAUGUUUUAGUGUGCACAAACACAUACAUACACAGUCGCACGCACACACGCACAGAAGGGAGAGAGAGAUAUGAUUCAUGGUGACUUUCAAUCAAUGCAUAACAUGUUGCUCUAAAAACAGAGCAGCAGGUGUUUUCUCUUUUUCAUUUUUUUCCAAUGAGUUACAGUGCAUACAAGGUCAUCCAGAAAGGCCUGUAAAGCAAAACAAAAAUCUGCCUAGUGCUUAUGACAGAUCAGUUUACAACUGAUGUAUACUCCAAGCUAACUAUAGAAGCAAAUCAAGUGCUACUGCCGCUAAGACGGUGUUUUAAUAUUUGACCAACCUUUACACGCCUUAUACUUCUACAGUCAAUCAUACAUUCCCUCCUGCUCCCAAAUGUCCACAAGAAAAUCUACCAUUUCCUGCCAGUAUUGAGAUCGAAGAAUGAUCAUUUUAACUGUAUUACAUCUAGAGGGGGGGGGAAAAAGGGGGUCAUGGAAGUGGAACUUACUGAAAGAGGAAUAGGUUGAGGAAAUGGUUUGUUGCUCCCAAGCAAACUUUCAUAUGUUGCGUUCCAACUGCAAAGCCAGAAUUUUUUAACCAGGCAGAGACAAUGAGUGCUGACAAAAUAAGAAAAAAGAAAUUCAUGAAUGAUCAAUGUUUACCUUAAAGAAGUACGCAAUCCAGAGAUGGUUUCUUACUAUAUACGUGGACACCUACAAGAGACUCCUAAAACCUACUCACGAAGGCUGUAGACCAACAUAUCUAAACUCCAAUAGCUUGGUCACUUUUAAAAUGACUAUAGUUUGGCCACUUUUAAAAUGACUAUGUCCUGAGCUUAGCAUCUAUACAUACAGUUUGGCCACUUUUAAAAUGACUGUCCUGAGCUUAGCAUCUAUACAUACAAACUGCACUAGCGCAGAAACUAUGGCUGGUUUACAGCGAAUGAAAAUGAAAUACUGUUUUCUGUUUUCUUACUAGUUUCAUAUUCAUAGCAAAUAGAAACACUGGAAUCAUGAUGAAAUGAUGCUACCCUUCUCCAUAAUUUGGCAAAGAAAUUGCAAUUUGCGUUGGUCUCAAAGAAACAUUAGGUCAGAAUUUUUCAUUUUUUUCAGUUUCUUUCAUAUGCCAAGCCGGAAAAGGGAAUGAUUGUUAGCAGAGGAGUUGAAGUUGAAAAGAUGUGAAUUUCUUUAGCUAUUAGCAUGUGUAAACUGAGAAAGUGAAACCAUUUCUGAUAAGUUUGAAUCAUUUGUAAUUAGCAAUGUGCUACCUAGAAAUAUUUAGCACAAUUGAAAGUUGUUUCAACAUAUUAGUUUCUCUACAAGCAAAAUUUGUUCUCAUGAGUAAUGCCAUUAUCUCCUCUCCCCUGGUGAAAAGGCCAACCAAAAUUAAAAUUAAUGGUGUUCAUCUCCAUAUCUCACCACAUACACUAAUGACUUCUUUGAAUUGUUGUCUCUAAAUGCCCUUUCUAGUUGUCUUGGUAUCAUCACUGACCAAACACAUAUACCUUAGAAACCCCAGGAAGGAACAUUACAUAUUGACAUAGAACCCCUAUCCAAAUGGCACUCAGUGGUGAGAGAUAUGGACCUGCAUUUACACUAGCAUGAAGGUUUCUCUAUAAAUAACUAAAAUAAAUCACCUGCUCAGUUAAGAUUGUGAAUUUGUAUCUUGAACAUGUGUUGAUGCCAAGUCCCUUGUCAAAAACAAGUGUAAAAGGUAUUGCAAGCGGAUUGUUACACAGUAAGCAUGUUUGAUUGAUUUAACUUGGGAAAUUCAAGAAACUCACUUUAAUUUGGGUUCACGAACUUGAUGAGUUCGGUUCUCAGCCUUUUUAUUUCCUAUCCAACGCUGUCUGGUCUGAUUCCAGAGAAGAAAACCUGCAACCCAAGACGUUGUAUGAGGUACUGCAAAGACGGUUUAGUCUUGAUCGGUUUUCAAUAGGAAGCCAUUACUGACCAAUAAAUGGUGGUAUAAACUAUAUCUUCUAAUGUAUACAGCCUGCUCAAAUAUAUUAACAUGUAUGUAUAAUCAAUUCCAUAUAUAUCUGAGGAGAAAUAAAAACUUGCCAUGGUUUACAAACUCUGAAGGUGCACUAGCACUCCCAGAACCACCAUUAGUGUCAGGGAUCAGAUUGUUUGUGCCAAGUGAUGAGAUGCUUCCUUGUGACUGAACUGCACUGUUGUCCAUAUCACAGGUGCUGGUGGUCCAAAAAUCUUCUGAUAUGCUACGUUUCCCUGCUGAACGACCUGGAACUCCUAAUUCUUUUGAUAGGUUACUUGCAGAGGUGUUUACUGGGGGCCUAAUAAAGCAUCCAAGACAGCCACUGCUCUGUUGCAAAUGACAUAAAAUCAUGACUGAUUAAAACAAAACACCAGAGACUCAACUACCAAAGCUUAUACCUAAUUACUUCAUACAGAAUUAACAUUCUUGGGUAUUUCUAUCCAAAUGCUCAAAAAGGAACCAUGAUGACAGUUUACUAGUGUAUGAAAGCUAUCUUGUCUGCAACUCCUAAGAAAAUUACAAAUAACUAUUUGCAUAAAGAAGAAAGAAUUAAGGAGACAGCAAGAGUGAACUGUAAAAUAAAAGCUAUUAACAAGUAGGAAACAUGUUGAUGUGUGCAACACAUCAUGAUAUUAACAGAAGACACAAAAAUAUUUAGCAUAUAAUGAGAACAGAAGCAUCUGAAAAAGCACAUAAUUAGCAGGCCUAGAAAUCACGAACUGACAUAACUUAGCAGGCUCUAUAUAGUCAAAAACUGCCGAAUGAUUAGCAGUACUAUCACUAGAAUAUGCAUCUAACUGCCAAUUCAAACCAAAAAAAGAAAAGAAAUGAAGUUAUCACCAAUUCUGUAAUUGGAAACAAGCGUUGGGGGAUGACUACUCGCAUAAUACUUACAAUUACACAGUAAUAUCAUCAUUGUCGAGCAAUGAGUUUAUAUGUAAGAAUGGUGACAUUCAUAUAAACCAUUUCUGACAAAAAGAACUACUAAAGAUUUUCCUCAACUUGUACCAAAACUUUAAAAUCAAACACAAGUUGUACCUAAAUAUUCUCAGCCACGGGAUGUACUGUUAGAAGAUCAAAAUGUUUGAUCAAAGUCAAAGAACUCCUUUGGGAUAAUGAUAAAAAUGGUUUUCAGGUACAUUUUGAAACAUUUAGAUCAACCUUGAAAAGAAAAAUAAAGGAUAUUCGCAGGGUACAGAGAUAGGUUUCCAUUUAUGCAUCCAAUAUCUUCUGCUCAAGGAAACAAAUCUUAUUUUUGAAACCUAAACUGAUGACGGACAUAAGACAUCCACAGUGACAACUAGCAACAAAAAAUGAAAGAUUUUAUUUGAUACAUUGAGUUUGAGGACGAGUUUUAACAAUUGAAAAACUGCUAAUAAUGCAUAACAUAUUGCAAGAAUUCCAGAGCCAUAAACUAAUAUUAGCCAUUGACAUUCCCAACGUUUUGCAGAAACCACACACUCAAAGUUGCAAAAUCAAGCUAUAACAAAACCAGCAAAAUAGAGCAAUGCUUUACCAUAUCUUAUCUCCAUUGACAACACUGAUAGAGCUCCUAGAAUGAAAAAAACAAAUCCUAUAUUCUCCAGACUAAAUUCAUUAAAAACAAGUCCCAUGCCCAUUUCAUUCCAAAACUUUCUAAGCGACAAAACGCGGCCGCAAAAUUGAAUAUUUUAAAUCUCAUAUUUUUCUUAGUUUUCUCAGCAACCAAACAACAAAACAAUCAACCAAAACCAGAUGACAGCUCACAAAAUAAAAGAAUCCCACAAAUCUCAAAGAAGCCAUCAACGUAUUCCCCUCCAAGAUCACAAAUCCAUAACAUGAAAUCAAAAGGCUUACCCCAUGCAUGCAAUACAAGAACCUCUCACAAGCUCCAAAACAGAUCUGCAGAUAAACACUUAUCUUGCAAACAAAACCUCAAAAUAAGUAUCCAAUUCCAGGAAAGAAGGAUCAGAGAGAACUGAAAACCACAAAACAGAAUAAGUUAAUUGAAAUCAAAAUACAAGCUUUGCCAUAAAAUAAAAAUCCAAACUUGUAAAUAAAUUGACCCAAAAAAAUACCUUUUUUAUUGCCUCUCUGUAUCUCUUUUUCCUGAAAGUUUUGGAAAAAAAAAAAAAAAAAAGCUCAGAUGGGUUCGCUGAUUGGCCUUCUCUGGUAAUUAUUGCGGGGAAAAGAGGAGGUUGGAGAGGCUUAUAUACAGUGGGGUUCAGUUUGGUCUGAUGUCAUGCUUCUUUCAAUUAUUAUUAUUAUUAUUAUUAGGGUUGUUUUAGUGAAUUUUAAUAAAAAUUUAAUUCUUUUAAAGUUUGCUUAAAAAAACGUUAAGUAAUCAGCAUCUUGAAUAAUAGGAAUCUUUUAAUUUCAGAAAAAAAAAUAAUAAGGAUAUUUUACAGCAGUUUUUUAUUAUGAUUUUUUUCUUAUCUUACAUAUCAAAGUUGAAUCUAAACUUAAUAAAUAUGAAAUAAAUAAAUAAACUCUCACAACCGCAACAAGAUUAUAACCCGUAUCUUAAAAAAUGAGACGAAAAAGUGCCGAAAGAGUAGAAUAACAUUCGUGCACUGCCUCUUCUCUUUGAAUGAAAAAGAGACGGGCUUUGUAUGGACACCUUGAGCCAUAUUCGUUGCCCUAGGGUCGCCAUCAUUCUAUUCUAUUUACGAGUUCUAGCUACAAAGAACAUAUACAUGAAACUAUGUCGACUUACAUACGUCUCAUUCUUAACCAAAUUAUUAACCCAAGAUAUAAAAUAUAUGUUUAUCUACUAAGGUUCCGUUUGGUACAACUUUUUAAGUAAAAUUUAUUUAAAUAGAGAUUUUAUAAAUAGUAUUUUUACCUAAAAAAUUUAGUUGUUUGAUUGUCAAUAAGAGUUUUUAUUAAAAAUUUAUGAAAUUACUUUAAUAGCUAAGUUUUUAAAGUCAUAUUAUAAAAAAAAAAAAAUAGUAUUAUCAAAUAAUUUAAGGAUAUUUUAGAUAUUUUAAGAAAAGUUUUUCAACAUCUACUCUCAAAAGUCUCAAAUUUUAGCUUUUACUAGCAGACAAAAUAGCUUAUUUAAUUUUCAAAAACUCGAUUAGAAAAACAACCAUAAAUAAGUCAUUAAAUAAGUACUUAUAGCCAUUAAAUAAGUUAUACCAAAUAGGCACUAUGUAAAAUUGACUUCUACAAAAAUAUUUUAAAACAUCUCUUUAAAAUUUUUAUAUUAAUGAUAAAUUUAAAAUAGUAAUAAUAAUAAGUUGGAUUGGACGAUUAUUGGAAUUAGAAGUUUAUAACCCUCUAACGGAGGGUCCCAAGUUCCCAACUCCCCCACAUAUUUUCUGGUCGACUUUUCAAAGAGCGAGAUGCAGAUUUCAAGCUAGUGCAUUGUCGUUUUGGAAACUAACGAGGACUUAUUUGAACCACCCCUUGAAUUUUGGUUAUUGAUCCAAUAAUCUUAGGACUUUUAUUCUCUCUAAACUUCAACUUUCAAGCUCCUCGAAAAUAAACAAAUGAAUGGUCAAAAGUAGGGCUAUGAUUUUUCAAAUUAAUGGUAUCAAUUUAAUUUAUUAUGAUAUCACUGUAAUUUGUUAUCAAUCAUUCACACUUUAAUAUCUCCUUCCCAUACAUGUGUGUAUUUGAUCUGCUCAGAACAACAGAGUUGAUCAGGGAAGUCUCAAUAGAUUUAUAUAUAUAUAUAUAUAUAUUACAAUCAGAGUGCUAUUGAUAUUUACAAUUAGAAAUUAGUCGGGACUCUCCUGAAUAAUCAUAUUAUAGUAUAGUCUGAAUGUCAACUCUCACUUAAAAUUGUAGGGAGAUCUUACCCUCACUAUUAAUAUUAGAGGAAGAAUGAUUCUACUUCAAUGUGAGGAGCCUACUAACCUCCAUUAUAUAGGAGAGUCAAGUUCCCGCGUUGACCCUGCGCUGAGACUUGAACCCAUGCCUUCAAGGUUGUUGAGGGCAUGGGCGUGCCAAUGGGCCACGUGCCCAUUGGCAAGUCUCAAUAGAUUUAAGAUGACGAAAUAUCAAUAAAUUAAUGUAACACACACACAUAUUAUUAAAUAAUAAUAAUAAUAAGAAGAAUGUAAUACAUGAAAUGCUGUGCUUGGCAUGAUUUUAGGUUGGUCCAACUUGGGCUACCUUUGUCUCAAAACUUUCAUCAAGACAAGUAAAUUUCACAACUUUCAACGGUAAGGUUUAUACUAUUUUUGCCUAAUUUACUUUGACCCAGAGUGAUCCCUAACACACCAUGUCCUACGCCACAAUGUGAUGUGAAUAAUAUGAUAUCUCUCAAGCAUAAAUUAACUAAUUGUUUUUUCUUUGAAAUUGAUUACUUGGUCCUUAUUAGACCUUGUGCCUCAACCAAUGAAGUGGACCUUUUAUCACCCCUCUAAACACUUGAGAAAUUCUAGAAGGUAUUAUGUCAGUCACAUAAUAAGUAAAUUAUGUUAUGAAAUGUGUGCAUUCAUUUUGAAAAACCAUAAUGCAAGUAGUGGUUAUAUUAAUUUCAAUUACAUAUGUAUCAAUUGAUUGUAAUACAUCAGAGGUAUUCUAAAACUUCUCUCAAAACACAACUUUUAAAUUUUAUUUCCUAAGAUAUCUACAAUUUUUUUAAUAAAAUACAAAUUAUUCUAAAAUUAACCGUCUUCCCAUAAAAUCUCACACAAAAAAAAAUUUUCUUUUCAGUUUUUAUUUAUAAAAAAAUAUAUAUGCAUUCUAAAAUCGUAAAAUAUUUUCUUACUAUAUAGUUUCUAUUUUAAUAACUCUUAUAAUUUUAAAAAAAGUAUUUUUAAUUAAAAUCUGAAAUAUAAAUGUAAAUUAUGAAAUAGGAUGGCGUAAAAUAAUAAUUUAUUUAAAUUUCAAUUGAAUUUCUAUUCAAAAUAAGAAAUGAAUUAAUUUGAUUUUGAUUAUUUAGGUCAUUUCAAUUGAAAAGUGGUUUUAUUGGAAUAUAUAGGGGUGCCAAAAGACCUCCUGACUUUAUUAACCAAACUGUAUCAUUCUUUGGCCCGACCCAUUGACUCGCUGAAGAACACUCUUGGGCCCUCAACCAAUUACAUGAGACCCUAGAACAUGCAAGAAGAAGCAUGUUCAACUUUUUGUACAAUUUUGAUCAGGGGGCAAUUUUCAGAAACCUCCCCUGAGGUUUGAUAUAAUUUCACUUAAAUGGUGAGUUUGAUUGUAUUUUCACUUACCUCCCCUGCCGUUAGUAUACAUACGGUUUGACUGUUAGUUGACUUAUAAAAUUACUAAAAUAUCCAAACCACUUAAAACCAAGCCUAGGAUUUGGCGCCAACAACUUUAUACGGAUUCUUUUAUCAAUGAGUGUGUUUAUGGACAAAAAUAGGGUGAUAUACAGUUACCUCAUCUUCUCUCCAAAUUGAACUUAGGUUUGCUCUCCCCAUUUUGGCCGAAUUUUUCAGAAAGUUGCAGCUCUUGGUACUAUGACUCUCCUCCAUCUAUAUAUUCUACACACACUACACAAUACUUGCUUCCCCCCAUCCUCCAUUAAUCAAUUAAUUUAUAUGUUUUUUAUUUUAUCUUUUAAUUUUACAGGAAAUGAACAAACAUUUUCUCAAGCCCAGCUGGUCUUUUAAUUAAUUACUACUGUAAGUACUCAAUAUUUAGGCUAAAAAGUUGGAUUCAACCCAUCUCCUUCUUCCUUUUAUAUAAAUCAUUUUUCUUUUUCUUUUUUAACCAUAUUUAUUUAUAUCGAAAUGAAAUGAAAUGAUAUUGAUAGCUAGAUGAGUGUAAGAUUGACUAUAGAUGAGUAUUAGGAUUGAUUAUUGUGUAAAUAUAAAAAAACGGCUUAAUUAAAUUGGUAGGUAAAAAAUGGCACAUGAGGUGUUCGACAAAAUGCCUAUUACGGUUUGUUUGUCUCAUUUUAAGUAAAUUAAGUAGAAUGGCACAUUGAUGGGAAGACAAAUUGUAAGCUCAUCAUGCAGCACAACAAAUCUGCGAAAAACGAGACAAAAACACAUUUACAAAGUUUGCAACCUUGUCGUGCGCGCGACGUGUGCAGGAACGCGCGCACGACAAGCACUCGUCGCGCGCGACAGUGCCCAUAGCGCGCGAAUGGGCCCUUUCGCGCGCACGACAAGCGUCCAUUGGGCGUGCUUUGCUUUGCUGUCCCGCGUGCCCCAUUUUAUGUUGCCAUUGCCCGCGUGACAUGCAGCCAUUUAUUUUUAAUUUUUUAUUUAAGUUUCUUCUCAAGGAACAUGCGGUGAUGGCUUUUAUUGGUAGUAUUUUUAUUUGUCCCAUGAAAUUGGUCUGUAAUGUUAAGCGACAAGUUCUUGUCUCCCGUGCGAUAAUAAUAAUUAGUUCUGAUAAUAAUAAUUAGUUGAUUUUAUGAUUUCUUCACAUUGGAUACGAAUGCUUAUGGCCAUCUACAGGUUUUAAUUCCAAUUAACUUGGAAGACAACCAUUGGGUUGUAGCCCGGGUAGACUUCCAGCACAAGCAGAUAGAGAUCUAUGACUCGAUGAAGGAGUUUCGCGAGGACAAAACAUAUGGUCAGUUUUUGAAGCCACUUCAAGUUAUCUUUCCCCAAUGGCUCGAAGAUGUUGGGUUUUAUGACAUCCGGCCAAACUUACGUAGUGCGGAACCCUGGAAACUGGUGAGCGUUGAUGAUGUGCCUCAACAACAGCCCGGAAGCGGCGAUUGUGGGGUGUUUAUGUUAAUGUUUACGAUGUACUUAAUGUUCAAGCCACAAUUUAAUUUUGACAGUUGGCAUGGACAUUAUUUUAGGAGCAAGAUUGCCAUUGACAUAUUUAACGGUGAUAUUAUGUUAUAAAUGAUAUAUUGCUCUUUUAUAUUAAUUAUUGAAUCUUGUGUCAACCGAACUGAAAAUUCAUAUAUUUAAGAUUGUCAUUAUAUCUGUUUUGAUACCUUGUGUUAAUGAGUUGAUUGUUGAGAUGUUGGUUGGUGAGAAUUUGUGUUCUGUUAUAGGUUGAUAGCAGCUUGUGUCAAAUAUUGGUGGUUUGGUCUUUGUAGCAAAAUUGAAUCCUUUGCUGGUGGAGACUGGUAUAGUCUGUUCCUGAGAGACGUAAAUUAUGUUUUUAUUGUUUUUAAUUUCACCUCCAAGCAAACAUCCUAUAAUUCAGGGAGACAAUAUUUAUCUCCCGGGAGACGAGCAGUCAUCACUCCAACUUUUGGAUACAAGCAUUCUGAAAUUUGGGGAGACAUCUUGUCGCACGGGAGACAACAGCUUGUCUCCCCAAAUUUCAAAAUGCUUGUUUCGAUAUUGCAAAAACAAGCAUUCUGAAAUUUGGGGACACAACUUGUCGCACGGGAGACAACAGCUUGUCUCCCCAAAUUUCAAAAUGCUUGUUUCAAUAUUGCAAAAACAAGCAUUCUGAAAUUUGGGGAGACAAGAACUGUCGCACGGGACAUAACAGCUUGUCUCCUCAAAUUUCAGAAUGCUCGUUUUUGCAAUAUCGAAACAAGCAUUCUGAAAUUUGGGGAGACAAGCUGUUGUCUCCCGUGCGACAAGAUGUCUCCCCAAAUGUCAGAAUGCUUGUUUUUGCAAUAUCGAAACAAGCAUUCUGCAAUUUGGGGAGACAAGAUAUUGUCUCCCGUGCGACAUUUUAUCUCCCCAAAAUUCAGAAUUUUUGCCUGGAGGUGAAAUAAAAAAUUACAAAAACAUAAUUUACUUCUCUCAGCAAUAGACUAUACUCUCCAUCAAGUUGUUUGUCACCCAACCAACGAUACAAAUAACAAACAUUUUAAUUUAUGCCGAAACCUAAAAAACAUUAAUAUCAGUUAAUUAAAUAACAGCAACAUGUGCAUUUCCGCAGCUUACAGUUGAUCACAAUCACAAUUUGACUGAAUUUCAUCAGCCUAUACAUCUAGCAGUCGCCCAUAUAUACAAAAAUAAUAACUACAGUAACAAUGUGCCAUGAUAGAUAGUUGAGUUAUACUCUAUACAUGGCAUUGCCACUAUGUUAGUUUAAUAUUUAUACAAAAUAUACAAAAACUCAAUCUUGUGCCUAUGACUGAGUACAAAAAGAUGAUACGACAUCUCAAUUGCCUUGCUCGUACUGAAAAUGUGUUGUAUCAUCAGAUCCCUCAAAAGAAUGUAUUAUAUGGGAUGAGUUCAGGUGCUGUUAUCUUUACAAAAAAUAAGACAUUUGUGCUACUGACAUGCUUGCAUCAAAGAACACAAAGAAUCUCCUAAAAUAAGGAUCCACGCCACCCCCUAACCAAUCUUCAUCUAAUGAUACAGUGGAUCCAGGAUUCGAAGCAAGUAUGGCAUGCAUAUACCUAAAUAGUUUGGUGUAGCUUGCUUUAUGGUCUUGUCCCAACAGUUCUAAUGCUUUGUUUCUUGCUCGAUAUAGCCUUUGAUUACAGCAAUGUCAUCCAAAAACUCAGUCUGUAUUAGUGCGACAAGGUCUUGUCGCACGGGAGACAAACUUGUCACCCAAAAACACAGAAACUGUGUUUCUGCGACGGACGCACACAAACACUGCAAAUUCAUAAACAUAUCAACUUAAGCAAACUUUGGCGGGAAAAAUAAAAAUUUCUGCUAAAACUACUUCUAUUUUACACACCUAUUUGUAUAAGAAUAACAAAUUUUUAGCUUUAUAGCCUUAUUACACUAUGUAUGGUGUAAAUCACAAACAUAAAAUAACCAAUAAUUAAAUUUUUUUCAACUCAUGGCCACAUAUGGCUAAACUCAUUCUUCUUUUAAUUAAUUUUUCCACCACCAACCCAUGAACAAGACAAAUGAAACACAACCAACAACCACUUAUAAAACUCCAAAAACAAGAAAACCAAAGGUAUUUAUAAAUUUUAGACUUUCAUAGAAGAGAAAGAGAAAUGCACUCUUUUACACAAUGGAUAUUGUGUCUAAUCGGUUAAUACAAUUGUCCAAUAAAUUUUAAACCAUUUUUUUUUAUUGUUAUUUGAUUUUUUUAUAAUUUCACCUUGUCUUUUACAUAUUUACCCUCGUCAACUAACGGUCAAACCGUAUGUAUACUAACGGCAGGGGAGGUAAGUGAGAAUACAAUCAAACUCGCCAUCUAAGUGAAAUUAUAUCAAACCUCAGGGGAGGUUUCUGAAAAUUGCCCUUUGAUCAGGACAUGGCUACGGUGCAGAUUGCAGAAGCUGCAAGUAACAGCUUCGAACUUUCCCAUUUCCAUCACCUUGCAUUGGGACCCCUUUCUCUCUCCUCUAGCACCCGUGGAAGUUCCCCAUUGGCUGCAGUUACUUACAGAAGCCGUAACAUAGACUUACCCCGAUCAGAUCAAACAGUAAUUUUUCUUUUGGGGGAUAAAAUUCAACCUUGAGAGAGAAAAAGGCUCAAUUCAUAUCGUAAACAAAUGAUAAACUUGCAUUCGUGUAGCCCAACUAGUGCCUGUCGGUGGGAAAUUCUCAUUCACCUACCUUUCUUUUACUUAGUAUGAAAUAACUACUUGGAAGUAUCAAAGCAUUUUCAAAACUACCCAAGUUAUCGGGAAAUUAAUAUCACUACUUCUGUAUUCAAGUUCUUUAGCUUUUAUUAAACAACCGUGAUUUGAAUAACUAAUAUGUCCAUGGUCAUUUAAAAAAGAUAUAAGAAUAUGGGUAUACUUGUAAGUUGUACCCCAUAAUAUGUUCAUCAUGACACAAAAAUGUCUAUGAAUGAGAGAGAUUUAUUUUAUGUAUUUUGUCCCUGAAUUUAACAAAAUUAUGUGUACAACAUUUUAAUAUUAAUACUAGUUAUUUAGGUACUGAGUGGGGUUAUUUUAACUUAAAUUUUCAAUAUAAAUCUUAAACUAUUGAUUUUUAACAAUUCAAUAAUAAAUAUUGAAAGCCAAAGUAAUAUUUAAUGAUAGUUAAUCAUCUACCAUUAAAAAAAAAAUCAAUAGAUUAAGGUUUGUGUCAAAAUUUUCAAUUAGCAAUAACUUAAGGUAAUGUUUGCAUUUUUGUCUGAAAUUUAAAAGUCUAAAUAGGUCUUAAUAUAAACAUUUGAUUGAUUUAAUAUAUGAAUAUAAGAGGCAUCUUAUUUGUUCUUAUACGUAAAAAAAUCUUAAAUAUAGUUAUUUAAUAUUUAUGUUCUUAUAAGUCAAAAUCCAUUAAAGAAUUAGGAAAUAAGUGUAUGUAAUAGAGAUAUAUAAUAUUUAGCUUUGGAAUAGGUUCAAGAGACAACUUUUAAACACAACUUUAGAUACAAAUUUUAAUAAGUUAAUGUUUUGUCUUUCACCUCUCUCUCCUCACUUGUCGAUUUUUAUGUUUUAUCUCUCAUCUCUCCCAUCUUUCUCGUUCUACUGUACAUGCACCCUUCGGGCCAUGAAAAGCCAAAGUAAUUAAAAACAAGACAUAACCACCAAAAUCGUUGUUUCAUUUUGCUUUAAAAUAAAUCUAAAAAAAUAGUUUCACUUGAAUAAGUAUCGAUGUUAUUAUAUGUUGUUAGACUUUACAUAAGAAUUUAAAGCUUAGACCGGGUCUUUUAUUUGUAACAAGGGGAGCAGUUUUGGUGGUCAUGGCUUACCUUUGGUAUGAUAAGGCAUUUUAUAGCGAGGAGAUAGACACAGAAGAUGAGAAAGAAGACAAUCGGAAGAGAUAAAUUAGAGAACAAAUCUCUUGAGAUAAGUGAGAGAGAACAAAUCACAAAAUAUUAAUAAGAGGAGAGAGAAUUUUAUUUAUUAGUUCUUGUCACCGAACCUUAGCCUUAUAUUAUUCUUUAUUUUAAGAGCUUAAAAUUUGUGUUUAACAUUGUAUUUAAAAAUUCUGUCUCUUGUUCAGUUUUAUAGUUUAGGAAAUAAGUGUAUUUAAUAGAUAGAUAUUAUAAAAUUUUAAACUUUAAAUAUUUAACAAAUAUGUCCUAACUCUUUAGAAUUAUACUAAAAAUUCUUAUUGAUGGUUGGAAUCGAGUCUGUGUCUCUCAAUUUUCAAAAUGUAAGUUAUCCCACCGAACUUUAGAGCCCAAUGGUUAAAAAUUAGGUAGUUGAGUAAUAAUUUUUAAAUAUAUAUAUAUUUUUUAAAAAUUACAAUCAAUAUGAUCUACUAUAUAGUCCGAGGUCAACCAUUGACAUAGGUUCUUGAGGUUUAAUAAUUAGAUAAAGAUUUACUGUUGAGUUAUUUUUUUCUAAGCAUUAAAUCGAUAGUUAUUUGUAAGGGAAAAAAACUAUUCUCAUUCUCAGGGUUUCAUGCAAUAGCUCAUUUUAUCAAUAUUUUUUAAACAAUAGUCCAAAAUAUUCUUCUGUUAACUCACUAAUACUUUUUAAACAAUAGUUCAAAACAUUCUUCUGUUAACUCAUCGUUAGUUAAAUGUCGUUUUUAAUUCAUUGAGGUUAAAAAAAAAUUUUCCAUUAAAGAGAAAAUUAAAAAAAAAUAAAUAAAAGUUGACAUCUAACUAAAAAUGAUUUUUAUCUAAUCCCACUAAACAAGAAAUAUCGAAAAGAUGAAAAAAAUUAUAUUUUAAGCAAUUGUUUUACACUUCUCUCUAUUUUGUCGGAACAAAAGCCCUAUAAACCGUAGAUUUAAAUACAAAAAGUAAUCACAAUUUUCAUAUUCGCAUAAGUAUACUCUCUAAUUGCACUACAAGCGGAGCAGACAGUGGUAAGGACUUGGGGAGACAACAAUAGUGAAAGAAGAGUGGUGGUAAAGUUCAAAAUAAAAAUUAGUUGAAGAUUAAAAAGUCAUGCAGCACAUAAACUUUGGUUGUAUUUUUUUUUGUUUUUCUUCCAAUGGUUUAAAGAUAUUAUGUUAAUUACGGUUUGUUGCUCAUGAUGAUUAUUCAGUGGCUAUAUCAAACUAUUUCAUUGUUGAUUUUAUUUAAGAAAAAACUAAUAAAUUUUGCAUAUUUUGUAGUGGUAUUUAAUUGUGUAAAAAAAUUAUUUUAAUAUAAUUUGUAUCACUUCAAUAAAAAAUCAUAUUUUGUGUUCAAUAAAUUGCUUGUUAAUGGUAAAAAACCAACGAUAAGUUAGGGAAAUGAUGUUUUAGACUAUUAUUUAAAAAAUAUAAAAAAUAGUUUAUUGCAUGAAAAUUUUAAGGAUGAAAAUGUUUUUUUUUCUUUAUUUGUAAGUAACAUAAAAAAAAAAAAAAUUUUAACCGAUAAUUUGCCGCUCAAAAUUAAAAUUCAACUCAGUACUGAACCUUAAUUCUAAAAAAUUAAAUGCAGUCCAUACUGUUAGCUAGCUGAUUUGCCCUUUGCUCCCACGCUGCCACCCACCUGUCGUGCUGCUGCUGAUUAAACUCAGAAAUUCUUUAGAGCCAUAAAUCUAAAAUAUCUGUCCUCUCGAACAUAUCCAAAAGUAGCAACAAUAAAACGAGUUAAUGAAAAUAAACCAAAAAAAAGUUUAUAAAAAAGAGAGAGAAGACCCAUUGCCAGUGGUCCAGUUGCUUGGUCAAAAUUGUUAGGUUUCUUGUUGGAUUGGAAUCCUUUUUUUUUCUCAUGCAACUCUGGCACUCAAUAAUUGAAAGCGAUCAUCAACUCCAUUCCCUUCAGUUCUUCCAAGCGUACCAAGUACCAACUUGCAAAAGAUUUCACACUUGCACUGGGCUCCAUUUUGUUCGUGUAGCUUCAUUAUCCAGAUUUACACAUGAUGCGUGUGACAUGCCACCGAAAGUGGAUUGAAUUGAUUGAACGGACAUGAGUAUCAAAAUCAUUCAAAAGAAAAAAUAAUGUAUAGAUGAUGAUCUUGUAAUUAAUUAGAAAGUUAAAAGAUUAUCUCUUACACGAGAAACGUCUUUGAUGCUUCCAGAAUAUUAAUCUUUAUUUAUGUAGAUACAUGCAUAAUUAUGAUUGAUUGAAACAUAUAACGAUAUAAUUAACCAGAAAUGAAUAAAAAGAAAAUAAUACUCCGUAAACAUCUGAGACUUCUUUAAUUCACACAUUCAUGCAUACGCGAACAAACAUAUUCCUGACCACAUACAUAUUCAAUCUUUAUAGCCGAAACAAUGUUAAAUUUCAUCUUCAAACGUUGCAAUCGUUCUCACAUGGAUAGAACUACUAGAAGCAAUUAUCGAAUUUUAUUGGAUUAAGCUGAAUUGACUAGAUUCUUCCACUGUUGCAUGGAGUCAUAUUUUAUUAUUAUUUGUUAGUCUAUACAUGUCAGAUCGUGCUUCACGCCCAAGUGACUAGAUUCUUCUAUUUCCAAUUUUAAGAAAUUCAAGCCUAAUUAAAAUAUAAACGAUUUCAGUGGGAAGACAUCAGAACACCAAAAAUGUCAAAAAGAUACAGAUUAAUUUAUUAACUUGUCAAAUUUUACAUGGAGAACUUACAACACGAAAUCUAUGUCCAAUUUUUGUCAUUUAAAACUAGCAUUAAUUGGACGAAAUUCAGCUCUAUUUACGACAUUUACAUUCAUUUGACUAAUCAAAAACUUUCAAUAUGAGUAUUCCAUUCUGUGGACUCUGUCUCUAAGAAUUCCAUGGUACAAAGCAACCCUAUUAGCGGGCAUCCCUUGAAUUUGAUCAUUUCUGCAAGUUCUAUCAAAUUGUUUUGCAAAUUUCUUGUUGUACUCUUUCCUGUACUCCUCUCCGUUCCCAGCUGUGUCCUUCACAUUCUCCGCAAAUUGCACCCUCUUCUUCUUCCUCCCCUUCUUCUUCUCCUCUACAAAAGAAUUUACAAAACAACAGAACAAAAAUUAAAAGAAUGAUCAUAAAACUUUCUUUGCGAAAGAAAAAUUCGACGAAUAAAGAAGUCUUGAGAUUCGAAUCCUGCUCGACGUAUCAUACCUGAAUACAAGCAAGAACGUAGGGUUUCCUCUUGGGGUUCUUUAGAAUCAUUUUUUUGCUUGGAGAAAGCAAGAAAGAGGACAGUGCUGGAGACGACCAUGGCAGUUGCCAAGACUAAAGAUUGAGUGGAGUUAAUGAUACAAGUCAUGCUGAGAGAUGACGAACGCUUAAACGAAACAACUAAAUUAAUAUUUGAAGAAGCUUUGAAGCUUAAGCUAGCUUGCGCAAUAAAGAGAGUGGCUAGCAAUUUAUAGUCGCGUGAAAAAUUGACGUGGGCAUCUGGAGUUCUCGGUUGCUUCCGGGGAGGGUGUUUGGUUCUGGGUUUUGUUUUUGUUUUGCUUUUGGCUUUCGCUUUUGGCUUCGGAAUGUGAUUAUUGUUGUGAGUGCACCACACGGAAAAGCUAAUAAUUAAGGAGAGGGAAAAGCACUUUUGGGUGAAGUCAAGUGGUCAAUAAAUAGGAGUUGUUGUGUUUCUAGAAAAUGGGAAUUGGUCAAAAUUUGGGAGUUCGGGGAAAGGAGUGUUGAUUGUCAGAUUGUGUGUGGAAAGCUUGGAGUAGUGAGAAUUUAUGGGACUCAGGAUUCAGGAGCCAAUGGUUGAGUUGUUUGGUUUGGAUUUUGGGAAGUAGGUUGGUUUUGAGUGUAAUCGCAAGGACAGGAAUAUAUAUAUAUAUAUAUGCGUUAAGGCUUUGCCUGUUGGUAGAAAAGUCAAUACCAAAUAAAUACUAAAUAUAAAUUUAGAAAAAAAAAACUACAACCACACUUAUAAUUGUAAUAUAACAAUAAUAUAUUUUACAAUUUUCGGUUUAAGGGUGAGUAAAUUUGGUUUCGAUUCAAUAAUUUAACAAAUCAUGGAUUAUAUCAAAAAAAUUAAUGGGUCUUUUUCUAUUUUUUAGUUUUAUUUGAAAUAAGAUAAAGUGAUAAACCAUAAAAUCGGGAUAAGUUUUUCUGCAAAAAUAUUAUAUAUAUAUAGUCAUUUUCUAGUAUAAAUGCCCUCAUUUUUUUAUGAGGACACGCUAUUAAAUCGUAUAAUUUUAUAUUUCAUUAGAAAAAUUCUAUUAAACCAUAUAGUUUAAUAACAUGUCAAAACAUUAAAAAAAUUAAGACACUCACACUUAAGAAUAAUUAUAUAUUAGUCAUUUUUUAAUGUAGGUGCUCUUAUUUUUUUAUGCGGAAAUGCUAUUAAGCCGUGCGGUUUAAUAAAAUUACUUUUUAAUAUUAUUAAAUUAUAAAAUUUUAUAAUGUAUUGAAAAUUAACUUUAUUAAAUUAUAUGGUUUAAUAGUUUGUUCGCAUAAAAAAAAAUAAGAGCGCUUACACCUAAGAAUGAUUAUAUACACAUGGUCAACUCUAUUCUAAAUUUAAUUUUUAUUCAAUCUAGAUAAGCAUAUUCUAACCCCUAACAUUUUAUAUCACCCAAAAAAACUUUUAUCAAUCAAGAUAACUUACAUUAUUUUAUUAUUUUUUCCUUUGAAAUGGUUAGGUACUCUGCCUAAAAAAGGAUCGUCAAUUGAAAAGACGAAUGGUGAAUUGAGGGAUUGGAUGGUCCAUAAAAUACACAAAAGGGGUUCUCACAUGAGAUAGAAUCUGAUCAUCAAAUCAUCAAUCAUCACACUUGUCUGCAGGUUAGGUUGGGAACUCCGGUUGGGACGCUCAAGAGAAGCAAUUAAGCAAAUUAUCAGUCGCCUUGUGUCCCUGUAAUCAUACGGCGCCAGACAUUGGAUGAUCGUGAUGCCUUUUACACAUGUCCUUCAGACAAUAGCACCUUUGGACACUGAAACUCUGUUUGUGUACACCAAGUUGGCCACGUGAGUUGCACACGUGCAUAUGGAUCGCGUCCGUGACUAAUUGGCCAUCGGGAUAGUCCGAAAUUAUAAUAAUUGGAAUCAAAAUAAAAAAUAGAAAUAAGAAUAAAUUAUUUAUUUUAAUUGUAGAAAUCAGAAUUAAAAUAAAUUAUAUUGUUAUUGAUGUAUUUAUUUUAUUUUAGAAUUAUAAUAAAUUAUUGCGAGUUAUUAAAAUGACCUUAGUUGAUUAGUAUCAUUAUUUAUUAUAAUUAAUAUAAUUAUUGUUAUUCAAAAUGAUAAUUUUUAAUAAUAAUAAUAACAACAACAUAUCAUCAUCGUCGUUGUCGUUGUCGUGGUUAUAAUAACAACAACAACAAUAAUAAUAAUAAUAAUUGAUAAAAAUUACAAAAAUAAGAAUAAUAACAAUAAAAUAAUAUAAUAAUUGUUGAUGCCAAAAUCCGGAUGAGUUGGUUAGUGACUCGAUCUCAGAUCCUGGCAAUAGCAUUAAAUUUGUUUGGUGGGAAACUGCUAGUUAAUCUCCAAGAAGAUCUUCCAAUUAUGAGCAGAAUAUUCAUGAGAAGAUAACCUUCAAGCUGAUGAUCAGCAAGUACCUGAAAUUACAGAGAAUGGUCAGAAGCGCCGGAAGUUUUUCCGGCGUAAAUCCCCCGAUACUCAAGUCAAUUAUCGGGUUUACAGGAAAAACAAAAUAUGUCCUUUUUCGUUUUUAUGAAGAAAAUAAUCUUAAGUAAAUGUAAUAAAAGAAUAAAAUAAAAAUUCCCAAAAGAAAAGUCCCUUCUGGCGUGAUUUUCUUGGGGUUUUUAUAAACAUCCCAUACCCACGUCCUUAGGUCGUGACAAUAACCAUUAAUUGAUCAAAUUUGUGUCCUGUUUUUUCGGAGGAGGUUUGUGGUUGUUUAUUUUGACUGAGUCUUGUUUCCUGGUCAUCACCUGGUCAAGGUGGUCUGCUCGAGGUCAUCAAAAUUACCACAUAGUCGAGAUGGUCUGCUCAAGCUCAUAGCACCUGGUCAUCUGCUCAAUCUUAUACCACCUGGUCAUCCGCUCAAGCUCAUACCACCUGGUCGAGGUGAUCUGCUCAAACUCAUAGCACCUGGUCGAGGUGAUCUGUUCAAGCUCAUAUCACCUAGUCAUCUGCUCAAUCUUAUACCACCUGGUCAUCUGCUCAAGCUCAUACCACCUGGUCGAGGUGAUCUGCUCAAACUCAUAGCACCUGGUCGAGGUGAUCUGUUCAAGCUCAUAUCACCUAGUCAUCUGCUCAAUCUUAUACCACCUGGUCAUCUGCUCAAGCUCAUACCACCUGGUCGAGGUGAUCUGCUCAAACUCAUAGCACCUGGUCGAGGUGAUCUGUUCAAGCUCAUAUCACCUAGUCAUCUGCUCAAUCUUAUACCACCUGGUCAUCUGCUCAAGCUCAUACCACCUGGUCGAGGUGAUCUGCUCAAACUCAUAGCACCUGGUCGAGGUGAUCUGUUCAAGCUCAUAUCACCUAGUCAUCUGCUCAAUCUUAUACCACCUGGUCAUCUGCUCAAGCUCAUACCACCUGGUCGAGGUGAUCUGCUCAAACUCAUAGCACCUGGUCGAGGUGGUCUGCUCAACCAUUUGCUCACUUUCACUUGGAGGAGAUCAUAGUCACCCUAUUUAACUCAUAGAUCAUAAACAUCACCUCAGGUCCGCCAUCAUAAACAUCACCUCAGAAGGAUGCUACCUAGAGGUAACCAGAGUCAACUCUUAGUUUUUAGUUUCAACUCGUUUCACUCGUGAUACCAGAAACAAGGGGACUGGUGUUGAGUAAUGAAAAGUACCAGCUCAGCUAUCUCCUCAUCCCUUACCCUGGGGCGAAUCUCCCCAGCUGAAUGGCACGAGUAGAGUCGUGAUAAUACAUCAUGUACGGAGCAUAUGCCAACUAGAAACGACUACCGACCAGAGGUACAUACCGACCAGAGGUACAUACCGACCAGAUACUCAUCACCUAAAGAAAGAGGACACGAUCUCACGAACUCACGACAGGUGCGCCAUGCCUCAAACCGCUGGGGAGAACAUGACGUCCCCGUUUACCCACGAUUCAGUGGUUGGAGACCCAUGAAGGUCCGUCAUCACCCUAAAAUGGGGGGCUUGAAGAAUACUCAGAAAACGUGGGAUGAUUGCCUAUAAAAGGCCAAGAAACCGAUGAAGAAGAGGGACAAAACAUUGAGGGAGAAGGAAAAACUCUGCCAAAUUGAAACCAAAAUUUAUUCUAUACAGAUCUUUGAUACGCAUUGUGUUGAGAAUAUUGUAGUUAGUUUACUCAACUUAAAUCACAUAGUUUUCCCAUAAACACCUUGUACUGACUUAAGCAUCGGAGGGUUUACGUCGGCAAAACCACCGGCGUCUCUGACUUGUUUCUGUGAACGCAGGCUUGGAAAGAAGAGAAAGAGUGAUUUAGAUCCCAAGAGCUUGGGCAAUUUCUAAAGUUGGGAGAGUGCAACCUCUUCUCCGUUGUCGACACAAGCGUUGGUGGAACGAUCUAGUCGGGCAAAGGGCGACUAGAUUUCAGCAUCAAUAUUUGGCGUCGUCUGUGGGGAAUCGAUACAAAAAGCCAACCUUUUGUCUCUAUCUAGGGCAGAAUAUUAUCAUGCACGAAUCGCAGCAAGCUCUCUUUUAUUUUUGGAUUCACGUGAAAAAGAAAUUAAUCGAAUCGGUAAAAAUUAAACCAAUGUUGACAUUCAUGAGCUUGAGAGCGGUAAAAUCUAUCUUACAAUUUUCAUUUCUGCUUGUAUUUUCUAUUAAAUUGAUGUGAUUACUUUCUAUUUACUCAUCGGUACAGUUUGAGUUUGUUUCCCUAUUGGUAAACUUACGUAUUCACAUGACACCGACUUGAGAAUUUUAACUUUCAUAAUAAUUAGAAAUUGGUUGGGAAGCACGAAUUUGAGAAAUGUUGAAUUCUAAUGCUAGUUGCUUUAUAGUCAAACUUCUCUCCAGAUCAUGUGCUUGCCAUAAAAUUCUGCACAUAUUUCAAGCUUAGAAAAAUUAAGAUCUUAGUUACUUUAAACAUGAUGGCACAUGCACAUGAUCUAAUAACUUUAUAAAUGCAAGACUCACAAUUGGAUUGUGUCACGGUUUUAGCAUAGUUGCUAUAGAUUAAUUAUUUUAAAAUAAAGAUUUGACUACUAAUUUAGUGCAGAGAUACAAGAAACCGAUGAAGAAGAGGGACAAAACAUUGAGGGAGAAGGAAAAACUCUGCCAAAUUGAAACCAAAAUUUAUUCUAUACAGAUCUUUGAUACGCAUUGUGUUGAGAAUAUUGUAGUUAGUUUACUCAACUUAAAUCACAUAGUUUUCCCAUAAACACCUUGUACUGACUUAAGCAUCGGAGGGUUUACGUCGGCAAAACCACCGGCGUCUCUGACUUGUUUCUGUGAACGCAGGCUUGGAAAGAAGAGAAAGAGUGAUUUAGAUCCCAAGAGCUUGGGCAAUUUCUAAAGUUGGGAGAGUGCAACCUCUUCUCCGUUGUCGACACAAGCGUUGGUGGAACGAUCUAGUCGGGCAAAGGGCGACUAGAUUUCAGCAUCAAUAUUUGGCGUCGUCUGUGGGGAAUCGAUACAAAAAGCCAACCUUUUGUCUCUAUCUAGGGCAGAAUAUUAUCAUGCACGAAUCGCAGCAAGCUCUCUUUUAUUUUUGGAUUCACGUGAAAAAGAAAUUAAUCGAAUCGGUAAAAAUUAAACCAAUGUUGACAUUCAUGAGCUUGAGAGCGGUAAAAUCUAUCUUACAAUUUUCAUUUCUGCUUGUAUUUUCUAUUAAAUUGAUGUGAUUACUUUCUAUUUACUCAUCGGUACAGUUUGAGUUUGUUUCCCUAUUGGUAAACUUACGUAUUCACAUGACACCGACUUGAGAAUUUUAACUUUCAUAAUAAUUAGAAAUUGGUUGGGAAGCACGAAUUUGAGAAAUGUUGAAUUCUAAUGCUAGUUGCUUUAUAGUCAAACUUCUCUCCAGAUCAUGUGCUUGCCAUAAAAUUCUGCACAUAUUUCAAGCUUAGAAAAAUUAAGAUCUUAGUUACUUUAAACAUGAUGGCACAUGCACAUGAUCUAAUAACUUUAUAAAUGCAAGACUCACAAUUGGAUUGUGUCACGGUUUUAGCAUAGUUGCUAUAGAUUAAUUAUUUUAAAAUAAAGAUUUGACUACUAAUUUAGUGCAGAGAUAUGGUGUUUUACGAUUAUGGAAACAUGUGUCAGAAGAUAUUUGUUAAAAGUGGUGACACGAGAUCACACACAACAGAUGUUCGACGAAAUAACUGACAUAAUUGAAAAAAUUUGGCAGCCUCAAAUUGUAAGGAACAAGCUCAGGAAUCUACAGAAGAACACUCCCGAUGGUGAGAUUAAUUGAAUUGGAAAGCAAAGGUAGCAACUAAAAUUGAAGGGAGUGAUACUCAAAAGAACACUGUCUAGGAACCAAGGACUAAAAUCCAGGUUCUGAUUCAGUUCAUUCAAUAUACUCAUCAAACUAAUUGAGAGCAUGAAUUAUUCUUAAUCAUAGCUCUAUUAUACCUUUGCAUGAGAGAACAUUAGAAAUUAAGCAUAUAUAGCUAUAUGUAAAUAAUGGCUGUCAUCCACAUUGCACAAACUCUUAUAAUCGUUAAUGAGUGUUGGAAGAAGUAUAAUUAGUAUAAUCUGGAUGAGGCCGAGUAUUAGUUAUUUUGGCUCACUUUAAUAAUGCUUUUAAAACAAAACAAAUGCUUAUUGAUGAUGAGAAUUGAAAGGCAUAUUUUCAAGCUUCAAAGCAUUGACAAAGUUGGAUUUUUCUUUCCCAUAAAUUUUAUUCGUUUUAUGCCCGAGUUAUAAUAUUGCAAGAAUACGAAGUCAAGCUUGGAAUUUGCUUGAUAAAAUGCCAAUCAAAUAAUGUAGAGCACAAUCUCAGGUGCACUUGUUCUUUAACCUUAAUUCUAUAUUUAUUCUUUAAAACUAAUUAUUGACUUAAGAUAUAUGUUAGAUCGAGCUCUUGCUGAGCAGGCAUCCCCUUGAUAUAAUGAUAUGAUUUUGUUUAAUGGUUUAAACUACCAUCUCUUUUAUGAUUACGUGUUCUAAAAUGCUAUGCUUUUUUAUGUUUAAAUUUCAAUAUUCAUAGCAAUAAUAAAUGAUAUUAUGGACCUUUAGCAAAGGACUUUUAUCAUAUUGGUAAAUGUAUAUAUUAUUGAUAAUCAUGGAGCAUAAAAGAUGUUAUCCGUUAAAAAACCCAGAUGCAUAAAUAAAUGACCAGAAGCAUCAGUCGUAAAUGGCUACAAGCCCUACUUAUGUGUUUGAUUUUUUGAGCUACUUUUUGGGUAAUUUAUAAGUUGCAGUUUGGUUUGAGAUAUUUCAUAACAAUGACGACUUUAGACACCUGCACACUAGAUUCGUUGUUAUUUAAGCUACGUUUUCGAAUCAUAAUCCUAGUGAAUGAUAUCACAUCUAUAAUUCGUAUAUGAUACUUAUCACUUUUACAAACUCUUAUUUGACUGGCCAAGUCAAUUUUGAUACAUUUGCGAAUGAGGCAAGCUAUGCACCUGGAAGGAGACAUUGAUGCCAAAAGUUGAAUCAGGUCAGAAAUUAUAACAAAUUUAUGUCUUGAUGUCUACAUGAAAACAUGCAUUUGCAGCCUUUAUUUGCAGGUAUAGUAUUUACCUACUAGUAAUUUAGUAAAUGAGGAUAGUUUGUACAUGUCAAUCUGAUGGAGCUCAUAUUAAAGCUAGUGAUAUAACUCAAUCAACUUGAUUUCUUGAAAGUUACUCAAUAUGAGAAUGAUUUAUGAAAGGGCGAGCAAGUAGAAUUCACAAGAAAUUUUCAAAGGCACAGGGUGCCGAAUCCUGUUCAGCCACGUGAUGGCGAGUAGGCAAAAUUGGCAAUAAUUUUUCUAAGGCACAGGGUGCCGAAUCCUGCUUAGCUGCGUGAGGGUGAGCAUGCAAAGUUGGCAAGAAAUUUUUUAAGGCACAGGGUGCCGAAUCCUGCUCAGCCGCGUGAGGGCGAGUAGGGAAAGUUGGCAAGAAAUUUUCUGAGGCACAAGGUGCCGAAUCCUGCUCAGCCGCGUGAGGGCAAGCACGCAAAAUUGACAAGAAUUUUUCUAAGGCACAUGGUGCCGAAUCCUGCUCAGCUGCGUGAGGGCGAGCAUGCAAAGUUGGCAAGAAACUUUCUAAGGCACAGGGUGCUGAAUCCUGCUUAGCUGCGUGAGGGCGAGUAAGCAAAAUUAGCAAGAAAUUUUAUAAAGCACAUGGUGCCGAAUCCUGCUCCGCCGCGUGAGGGCCAGCAGGCAAAAUUGACAAGAAAUUUUUCUAAGGCAAAGGUUUGCCCAAACCUACUCAGUCGCGUGAGGACGAUUGGGCAAAAUUCGCAAAAAAAUAUUCCUAAGGCAUAGGUUUGCCAAAACCUGCUCUGUCGCAUGAAGAUGAGCAGGCAGAAUUCUCAGAAAUUACGCUAAGGAGAAAGUUUGCCAAAAACCUACUCCGUCAACUAAGGACGAGCAAGUGAAAUUCACAGGAAUAUACUAAGGCAAAGGUUUGCCAAAAAUCUGCUCUGUCACAUGAGGACAAGCUGGCAGAAUUUGUAUAAAUUACGCCAAGGCAAAGGUUUGCCAAAAAUCCGCUUUGUCACAUGGACAAGCAGACAGAAUUUGCAUAAAUUACACCAGGGCAAAGGUUUGCCCAAAUCCGCUCUGUCAUGUAUAAAAAAAAAAAAAAAAAUCAUUCAUGAGUGGAUUAAACAAGUGCAAGGUUAGAAGCCUUAAAACCUAUUCUAGGUAAGGCUUAAGACCAUAAAAUUGUUUAAGACAGUAGAAUGUUAAAAGCCUUGAAACUUGCCAUAGAUAAGGUAUAAAACCUUAAACUAACAAUAUAUAUAUAUAUAUUAAAACUUUGUGCUGUUACAGCAGGAAAUAAGCCCAACCGGUUUCACAGGUCAACAUUUUUUAAAUCAAAGAAAAAAAAAUUCAACAAGUUUAUUAUGAAUUUGUUAAUCUGCAUAAAGUACAUAUCUUGUUUUUUUACUGGUUUCAAUUAUAUGCUUCAGAUAACAACAUUUCUUAUCCCUUUAAAGAAUCAAAUCCCAUCUAGUAAGGUCAACCAAUUCUUAGAGAAAUUGGGCUUCUUAUAAAGCCUCGAAGGUUUCUUAUAAGAAAGAUCUUUAGAAUCUUGAAAGGGCUUUCUAUGGCUUUUGGACUUGUAAUGUUUUCUGUAAGAAGCCCAUGCCUAUAUAUAUAUAUAGGGAUGGUCAGCAUGGAAAGCAAAAUGUUGUAAGUGCUUAAGGUUUGAAGUUUGUAAAAUUAUAAACUUUAUAGUUUCCAGUGUUGAUUCGUUUUACUCUCAACACUAGAAACUGGGGGACUGAUGUUUGGGAAAUUAAAUAGGGUGACUAUGAUCUUCUCCAAGUGAAAGUGAGCAAAUGGUUGAGCAGACCACCUCGACCAGGUGCUAUGAAUUUGACCAAAUCACCUUGACCAUGUGGUAUGAGCUUAAGCAGAUGACCAGGUGCUAUGAGCUUGAGCAGACCACCUCCACCAGGUGCUAUGAGUUUGAGCAUAUCACAUUGACCAGGUGGUAUGAGCUUGGGCAGAUGACCAGGUGGUAUAAGAUUGAGCAGAUACCAGGUGUUAUGAGCUUGAGCAAACCACCUCGAUCAGGUGUUAUGAGCUUGAGCAAAUCACCCCAACCAUGUGGUAUGAGAUUGAACAGAUGACCAGGCGCUAUGAGCUUGAGCAGACCACCUCGACCAGGUGGUAUCAGCUUGAGCAGAUGACCUCGACUAGGUGGUAUAAGCUUGAGUAGAUGACCUCGACUAGGUGGUAAUUUUGAUGACGUCGAGCAUACUACCUGGACCAAGUGAUGACCAGGAAACAAGACUCAGUCAAAAUAAACAACCACAAACCUCCUCCGAAAAAUCAAGCCACAAAUUUGAUCAAUUAAUGGUUAUUGUCACGACCUAAGGAAGUGGGUAUGGGGUGUUUAUAAAAACCCCAAGAAAAUCACGCCAGAAGGGACUUUUCUUUUGGGAAUUUUUAUUUUAUUCUUUUAUUACAUUUACUUAAGGUUAUUUUCUUCAUAAAAACGAAAAAGGACAUAUUUUGUUUUUCCUGUAAACCCGAUAAUUGACUUGAGCGUCGGAGGGUUUAUGCCGGAAAAACUUCCGGCGCCUCUGACCAUUCUCUGUAAUUUCAGGUACUUACUGAUCAUCAGCUUGAAGGUUAUCUGCUCAUAAUCAGAAGAUCUUCUUGGAGAUUAACUAGCAGUUUCCCACCAAACAAAUUUAAUGUUGAUGUAGGGAUCUGAGAUCGAGUCACUAACCAACUCAUCCGGAUUUUGUCAUCAACAAUAAUAUUUUAAUGUCGGACAAAAGUGAAAUUGUGAAAUUUAGAUGGAGUCAAAUUUAUAAUCAAAUGUUAUUGAUGCCAAUGUGUUAGUGUACACAAUAAGUAAUAAAGUGAUGAAUAUUCAAGAUCGUCUCCACAGGGAUUGGUGUCACUAGAAAUGCUACAGCCAUCACAAUAGUGCAAUCUAACUUAAGUUCGAAGUUAACAAAUGUAAAAUAGGUUAUAUCGAAAUUGAUAAUUGUGAAAGAAUUAAAUAAAUCAAUGCAGUAAUGAAAUAAACUAAAUUAAAUGUGUCUAAGAUUCAAUUGAGAAUAUGGUAGUCGAAUAAUCAAACUCUCUUUAUGGGCUGACUGCUUUUCAUCAAGUUAACACCAAUUGUUACAGCAAUUGCUACAGCACUGGGUAGAAUUAAUCUGUAUCCUCAGCUGUCGCGUAUUGAAACUCUCACACCCUUAAGUAUAUUAGUAAUGACCAAUUGCUAUUCUACCUAUGGCAUGGCCUUAUGACUCUUUAGUCUCUCCGCCCUACAAGGUGAGUACCUAUGUCUAGUGUGUCACAAAUCUUAACUUCAAGUAUAGCCUUUAUGGGAUUCAAGAUAAACUUAAUCCAAGAAACUUAAAAUUAAGAUCAAGUAUUACUCUAAUAAUAUCCACUACGACAUGUCCUUUUGCGGCUCUAUCUUAACUUGAACUAUUAAAUGAGUGGUCAACCAAAAUAACAGUUAUAAUAAUAGCUACUAGAGUAAAAUGCUACAGUAAUGACAUAACAACUCAUAAGAACAGUCAAGAACCCAUUAGAUUGUUCGUCACUCAAAAACAAGCAAAUUUAGUUCAUAUUCUGAAAGAGAAAAACAAACAUCAACAUAUUGUUCACGGGAUACAUUAAAUCAGACGAAGAAAGAAGAAAGAUAUAAGUUGAGAACGGCAACAAGUAAAUCCAAAUAAUUCUGGCGGAUUUUUUAAUGCUGCUGAAGCCGUCCUCUUGAAUUCUGAUCUUCGUCUUCUUUUUCUCUCUAAAGUCUUUAAUGAUAAUUUCUUGCUGUCUUUUUAUGUGGUGCGCGCCUCUUUUUAUAACUAAAAACUAGGGUAAACAAAGGCCUCGGGCGUGCAUGAGUUAAAUUAGGAAACUGCAGAUCGCAAUUCUGCAGCUGACCCGCGCUAAGUUUUCUCCCUCAGUGCUCCAUGAUUGCUACAGCAAUAGUUGCUCUGAUAACGGCUAGAACACUGCAUUGUUCUCAGUUGUGCUUAACUUCUUUUGUGGCAAUAUUCUUUCCUCCUAUUGCUGGUCUAAUAUCUCAGCAUCCCUUCAUGAAUUAUAAACUUCUGAAAACCUACAAUUAUGCACAUGUUUUGAGUACAAAUUACUUUAAUUCAAGCAAAACUUAUUAAGACUCAACUCAUCCGGAUUUUGUCAUCAACAAUAAUAUUUUAAUGUCGGACAAAAGUGAAAUUGUGAAAUUUAGAUGGAGUCAAAUUUAUAAUCAAAUGUUAUUGAUGCCAAUGUGUUAGUGUACACAAUAAGUAAUAAAGUGAUGAAUAUUCAAGAUCGUCUCCACAGGGAUUGGUGUCACUAGAAAUGCUACAGCCAUCACAAUAGUGCAAUCUAACUUAAGUUCGAAGUUAACAAAUGUAAAAUAGGUUAUAUCGAAAUUGAUAAUUGUGAAAGAAUUAAAUAAAUCAAUGCAGUAAUGAAAUAAACUAAAUUAAAUGUGUCUAAGAUUCAAUUGAGAAUAUGGUAGUCGAAUAAUCAAACUCUCUUUAUGGGCUGACUGCUUUUCAUCAAGUUAACACCAAUUGUUACAGCAAUUGCUACAGCACUGGGUAGAAUUAAUCUGUAUCCUCAGCUGUCGCGUAUUGAAACUCUCACACCCUUAAGUAUAUUAGUAAUGACCAAUUGCUAUUCUACCUAUGGCAUGGCCUUAUGACUCUUUAGUCUCUCCGCCCUACAAGGUGAGUACCUAUGUCUAGUGUGUCACAAAUCUUAACUUCAAGUAUAGCCUUUAUGGGAUUCAAGAUAAACUUAAUCCAAGAAACUUAAAAUUAAGAUCAAGUAUUACUCUAAUAAUAUCCACUACGACAUGUCCUUUUGCGGCUCUAUCUUAACUUGAACUAUUAAAUGAGUGGUCAACCAAAAUAACAGUUAUAAUAAUAGCUACUAGAGUAAAAUGCUACAGUAAUGACAUAACAACUCAUAAGAACAGUCAAGAACCCAUUAGAUUGUUCGUCACUCAAAAACAAGCAAAUUUAGUUCAUAUUCUGAAAGAGAAAAACAAACAUCAACAUAUUGUUCACGGGAUACAUUAAAUCAGACGAAGAAAGAAGAAAGAUAUAAGUUGAGAACGGCAACAAGUAAAUCCAAAUAAUUCUGGCGGAUUUUUUAAUGCUGCUGAAGCCGUCCUCUUGAAUUCUGAUCUUCGUCUUCUUUUUCUCUCUAAAGUCUUUAAUGAUAAUUUCUUGCUGUCUUUUUAUGUGGUGCGCGCCUCUUUUUAUAACUAAAAACUAGGGUAAACAAAGGCCUCGGGCGUGCAUGAGUUAAAUUAGGAAACUGCAGAUCGCAAUUCUGCAGCUGACCCGCGCUAAGUUUUCUCCCUCAGUGCUCCAUGAUUGCUACAGCAAUAGUUGCUCUGAUAACGGCUAGAACACUGCAUUGUUCUCAGUUGUGCUUAACUUCUUUUGUGGCAAUAUUCUUUCCUCCUAUUGCUGGUCUAAUAUCUCAGCAUCCCUUCAUGAAUUAUAAACUUCUGAAAACCUACAAUUAUGCACAUGUUUUGAGUACAAAUUACUUUAAUUCAAGCAAAACUUAUUAAGACUCACUAAAAUAAAUGUUUAUGUAAAAUAUAACCAAAAUAUAAUAAAAACGCCUCAUUUACUCUCUAAGUGAUCUUGAUUUAAGUUUAGAAUUGUUGUAAUAACUCUCAUUUCAUAGAGUUAUCAAUUAUGUCUGGAUCGACACGAUUUUUUCUCGUGUCAGGUUAGGGUUAAAGUUCUUGACCUAUUUACCCGAUCAAUGACCUGAUUAUAUUUUCUAUUUUAAAAUAAUUUGUAAGUUCUUAUUAUCAAAACUCAAAUAUUAGAGAUGAUUCUCUCUUUUAUUUUUAGUUUUUGAAAAGAUGAACAUAAAUAUAGUAUUUUAUUUAUAAAAUUUUAUAUACAUUUAGAGCUUCAAUGAUGUAAAUGUGUAAAGUAUUGUUAGACAUGUAUAUCUUAUAAUAUCGAUAUAUAAUAUUACACACACACACACACACACACACACACACAUAUAUACAUAUAAAAUUAAAACUUCAAUAGUGUAAAUAAGUAAUAUUUUGGUAGAUUUAUACAUUUUAUAAUAUCGAUAAAUUAUGUAUGUACGACAGUGUGUAAAUCUUUGAUGUAAAUUUUGUUUAAUAUAUAAAUAUUAAGCGAGUUAUUGGGUAACCCGAUUAUUUUUCCGUGUCAGGUUUAAGUCUCAAUAUUUUGACACGAUUAUUAAAUGGGUCAGGUUUGGGUCGACCUAAAUUUGACAUGACACAAAGCUGACACGACGCGAACACGACAUGAUGACCCGUUUUGCCAGCUCUAUGUGUUGAUACGAGAUUCUGGUGUCUGCUCGUUCGCGACCAGGAUCUCUCCUCAACUCCCGAACUCACGACCAACCGAGGAUACUUCACGUAACCUUUCUAACCGAGCAGAGCAAUGCCUCGUAUGACUUCUACUUAGCAGACUCUUGCGCACACAUAAACUGGUCAGAGCACGCUGAGAGUUUUCCUGGCCUAAACAUUGCGACGCUCAAGUCAGAAAUUUAGGUUUACUUUUUUAAGAAGCUCGGCCACUGAUCUCGUGGCUUUCUAAUGAUCUCUUAGGCAGUGGAAUACCUAUGGGUUUUUCCCUUUCUUUUCGUAAUUGCUCUUUUCUCUCAAGUUCUAAUGUAAAAAUGUCUAACCCAUUUACCUUCGUUGAUUACCUUUUUAUAGCCUUCCUACGAAUCCGGGCCCCCACGAUCCACAUCCAUCACCUCCCCCAGCUCACGGAAGUGGAUGCUUGAAUGUCGUAGUUGCGGCUGAGUGGGUUUCGUGCCUGGAUUUUCGGAUAGGAGUGCACAUAUCGUUAACUGUUAUGGACUGGGUCUGCCAACCCCGGUCUCUAGCAAAAAAAGUACUCGGCUCCUAGCAGGAGUCCUGCUUGUGCUAUGGUUUAGAAGAGGGCGUCCUCGUGAUUGAGCAGAAAAUUCCUGCUCUUAGAUACAUGCUACCAAACUUCACCUGUCGACUCCUUUAUAAGGAGACCGACUCUUCAUUCAGGGUCAGGCUGGUCAUUUCAUAGUGCACCCUCAAACACUAUGUAUACUAAUUAAUGCUAAAAAUUGUAUGUUUACUAAAUAAUAAAAUAUUUAUUUACACUUUCGUUGUCAUUGACCUUUGUAAUUUUUUGAUUUUUGUAUAUUUAUUAGGUAAAUUAUUAAUUUUAACUAAUUUGAGGAUCCGGAUAUGAAACGGAUGGCAAUUUAGAAUCCGAAAACCUUGAGAUUGGGUCAAAACCGACUUGAAAUUAAGCUUAAAAUAAAAAAUGCCAAGAUUUAUUAGGCUGAAAUCCGGUGUGAUGCGCGCCAGAAUAUUAUGGUGCCAUCACGUUGAUUAUUCGCUGAAUGGAUUACUAUGUCUAUGAGCUUACAAAAGGCACGCAUGCGUUGAAAGGUUGAAUCACUUACCGAACUUUUGCAAAAUCUCAAUCGUUCAAGGUCGCGAUCCCGACGCGUGCCACAAGUUAGCUAAAACGGGUUGGAGGAUCCGCGUUGUUUCUACACGAAUCGACUCCACGAUCCGCCACUUUCCCGCCCAAUCUUAUCCGCUCUUUAAUUCGAUCGGACGUUCAUCCGUUUGCCACGUUUUAUUUGACCUUGACCAAGCUUUUGACAAUUGGAUCCAGCUCUGUAGCAAAUGAAAGGUUUGGAUAUUGAGCGCACAAAGCAUAUUAUAGGAGAAACUGCACAAGAUAAUUUAAAAUAGCAAAUUUAAAGUUCCCUUUAUAUUUGGUGUUUUCUUCAUUUGUAUUCGCCAAUUCAGGGUGCCAUUUUUUUUUCUGCCUUUCUCCUCCAUUUUUCUUUUUUUCGGCCUUUCUCCUCCAUUUUUCUUCUUCCCAAUUCUAAUUUGUAAUUAAUAAAAUUUUUAAUUUAUUUUUAAUUUCGGAUUUAUGUUUAACUUAAUUUUAAUUAUGAGAAACUAAUUUUUACUAGUUAAGGUAAGGUGAAACUUUUGGCAGAAAAAUAUAAUUAAUUAAAUUUUAUUUUUAAUUCAGUAAUGAUAGGCAAAAAAUAAAAUAUCAUCAUUAUAAGUCGUACUUUUUUCCCCGUCUUAUAGAUUUUACACUAAUUUUUGUACUCUUUUCGGUACAUACAUCUUUUUAAUUAUAUAACUUAAAUUGUCUGUUUGGUAACGGAAAAAAGGAGGAAAAAAAGGAGAGUGGGGGCAUUACUUUUACCUCAUCCUUAACUUCCGAAAGUGGGAGAGAACAAGGGGGGAAAGAGGGGAGUGGGGAGGGAGCUAGUGGGGAUUAUUUAUUUAUUUUUUCUCUCUUCUCCAAGGGGGCUUUUUGGCUCUCUUCCUCUCAUGGAAAAUUCUUGCUUUUACACUAUACUUUACUUUCUGUAAAUUACUCGAAAAGCUUUGGGUUUGAAGGCAAUGCUUAUUAAGCCACAUGAGUGGUGGCACAAAUUUUUCCGAAAGGCCUAGAAACUGACUUGAGCGUCGGAGGCUUCACGCUGGAAAAACUUCGGGCGCCUCUGACCGUCUUCUAUGAUUUCAGGUAUUCGCAGAUUAAUCGCCGGUGGUUGCAGGACAUCUAGACGAUUGACCAAUCGAUUCUCUACCAAAUAAAUCUAAAGUUGAUGCGGGAGUUUGGUAUCAAGUCGCUAACCGACUCAAUCGGAUUUCGACAUCAACAUUUGGCGCCGUCUGUGGGGAUCGAUACAAAAAGCCAAUUUGUUAUCUCUAUCAACCAUCAUCUAGCCAAAGCGAAGGCAAAAUAUUAUCAUGUGUGAAUUGAAGCAACCUGUCUUUUAUUUCUGAACUCACGUGAAAGAAGCGAAGCCAAUCGGUAAAAAACUAACCCAAUGUUGGCAUUUAGAAGCUUCAGAUCGGUAAAAUCUGUCACAUAUUCAUCUCCACUUGUAUUUCCAAUUAAAUUACUGCAAUUACUUUCAAUUUAUUUGUCUGUGUGCAUGAUAUAUUGCAUCAAAUGAUCAAUUGUGAUUUGGCUUUCAUGAGCAUGAGAAAUUGAUUAUAGAGGAUAGAUUUAAAAAAAUACAUAUACUGAAUAUAUGAAAUCAUAUCACAAACUAGUGGCCACAUGCUUGUUGGUUUAUAGUCAACUGCUGACCAUGUGCUUACCAUUAAGGUCUUGCACGCAUACAAGUUUAGAUAUUAAGAUUUUAACCACUUUCCCAAUCGGAUUAUGCCAUGGUUUCAGCAUGCAUUUUGAUGGGUUUAAUCAUUUCGAACGAGAUUUAAUUACUAAUUGGAUGCAGAGAUGUGUGAGUUUGUAAUUUCAGAAACAGGUUUCAGAUUAUAUUUAUUAAAAGUGGUGAUACGAGAUCACGCACAGUAAGUGUUCGACAAAAUGAUUGACAGAAUAAAUAAAAAAAUCGCAGCCUCAAAUUGUAAAGAUCAAGCUUAGGACUCUACAGAGGAACAAUCAAGAUGGUGAGAUUAAUUGGACUGGAAAACAAAGGCUGCAACUGAAAUUACAGGGAGUGACGCUCAAUAGAACAUUGCGCAAGAGCCAAGGACUAAAAUCCAGAAUAAUUCUAAGAAGGGAGCAAAGCAGAGUCAAGCUCGGGAUUUGUUUGAUGAGAUUGAUGGAACUUGGGUUAACAUGAGAUCGUAUUUCCUUGAUACAAUGAUAUGACUUUGCUUAAACUUUUAUAUUACCAUUUAUUUGUUGAUUACAUAUUUUAUAUAAUAUGAUUUAUUUUAUAUAUAAAUUCCAAUAUCUAUAGUGUUAGUAAAUGGUGAUAGGCACCUUUAGCAAAGGUCUUUAAUAAUAUUGCCAACCAAAUAUUAUAGAUGGUAAUAAAACACCAAGAAUGUUUAUCCAUCAAAGGCCCAAACAUAUAUAAAUAGCUAAAGCACAAGUUGUAAAUGCUGAGCUAUUUUCUGGACAAUUUAUAAGUUACAGGUCAGAAAUUAAAUUUUUGAUAGUUUAUUACAGCUGAUCAAUUUGCAGAGCAAAUCCAUAUUUAAGGAUUUAAAGCAAAAACCUCAAAUAAGAGCACAUCGAAGGCACACAUUUGUAGGAAUCAGAACAGGUUAGAAGUUAUAUUUUGAGUUACAAGCAGUUUUUUCUAUGAAAAUUUAAUUAUUUCUCUAAAUUCUGCUAUGUGAGAUGAGGAUACCUUAUAUUCAUUAAAUUGAUUGUGCUCAUAUUAGGGCUGACGGUAUAACUUAGUUAACUUGAUUUCUUCAAAGUUACUCAAUAUGAGAAUAAUUUAAGAACUGAGAGCUAGGCUAGUGUUGAGAAGCCAAUCAAAGUUUACUAAUAAGGCAUGCAAAGGCUCACCAAGUCUCAAAGCCUGUUUUAUGGCGAGACCAGAAGCCAAGAGUGCCAGGAUCUGCUCGACCAAGCGAAGGCGAGCAGACUACAAAAGUUUCAGAAAUCUUCUAAGGCAUGCAAAGGCUCCAAAGUCUCAAAGCUUGUUUUAUGGCGGAACAGAAAACGAAGCAUGCCAGGAUCUGCUCGACCAAGCAAAGGCGAGCAGACCACAAAAGUUCCAAAAAUCUCCUAAGGCACGCAAAGGCUCCACAAGUCUGCUGUAGGCGAGCAGACCACAAAAGUUCCAAAAAUCUCCUAAGGCACGCAAAGGCUCCACAAGUCUCAAAACCUCCUCGAUAGCGAGACAGAAAGCCAAGCUCGCCAGAAUCUGCUCGACCAUGUGAAGGCGCGCAGACAAUGAGAAUUUCAAAAAAGUUUCUAAGGCAAGUAAAGGCUCCAAAGUCUCAAAGUCUGCUCGAUGGCGAGAUAAGAAGUCAAGCUUGCUAGAAUCUGCCCGACCAUGUGAAGCCGAGCAGAAAGUAAAAAGAAAAAAAAAGGUACUACAAGUAAAAGGCUUACAGUCUCCAAAACUCCUCGCAGUGAGACGAAGUCAAAGUUUGCCUCUCUUGCCCGACUAAGAUUACGCGAGCAAGAGUUAUAUGAGCGAAAAAUGUUCUAAAGCAGAUAAAUGACUAAGUCUUAAAACUUACUUGAAAUGAGAUAAAUACCUAAACUUAUGAAACCUGCUUUACAUGAUUAUGUGAGUAGGAAAAUGGUAUAUUUAAAGGCAUGUAAAAGUUUAAAACUUGAAACUUUUUUGUUAAGGGCAAGGUUAAUUUAAGCAAUCCCGAGCCGAUUUAUGGCAACCACCUCGAGUUCACUUUAAAAUUUAUAUAGUUAUUUCCGAAAGGCCUAGAAACUGACUUGAGCGUCGGAGGCUUCACGUCGGAAAAACUUCCGGCGCCUCUGACCGUCUUCUAUGAUUUCAGGUAUUCGCAGAUUAAUCGCCGGUGGUUGCAGGACAUCUAGACGAUUGACCAAUCAAUUCUCUACCAAAUAAAUCUAAUGCUGGUGUAGAAGUCUGAUAUUAAAUCGCUAAUAGACUAGAUCAGAUUUUAGGCAUCAACAUUGUCUUCUAUUCAAUUUUAUCCAUCAUAUUUACUAGGUAUUUAAUUCAUAAUAAGAUUAGUUGAAAAAUAAUUACAAUUUAUAUAAUUAACCUUUUAUACAAUAAAUCUAAAUAAAAAUAAUAAAUGAAUUUAUCAAAUUAUAUUUAAAGAGUUGGACUAUUGGCACCCCUCUCAUCUCCUCAUAAAACCCCCUUUUUAGUUAUAUUCAUUUUAUUUUCGAAAAUACCCCUUUUUUUAGAUACACUUUUCUAAGCUCUUAAUUUUCAUUUGAUUUAUUUUAUUGUUAAAACUCAAAGUAUUAUUGUGCUAUUUUUUAAUUAUUUUUAAUUUUAUUAUUAAUCUACAUACAAAUUAAAAAGUUAUAUGGGUGAUAAUUUUUUAGUGUUAAUCAUUAGCUGAAAUAACACAUAUUUCAAAUUAUAAUUUCAAAAUAAUUUUAAGUAUAAAAAUAUUUAAUCAAUAAGAAAUCAAAAGAGAACAAUAGAUUAUUUUAAGUUUAUAUAAUUUAUUUUAGUUAAAUAGGAAGUAACAUACAGAAUUUUUUUUUUUUUUUUGAAAAGGAUUGAUUAUGAAUUAAGUAAUUUGUUGAAAAAAAUCUAUAUGUGUUUAAUUUUCAAUUCCCUUUAAUUGUAAUUUUAUUUAAAGUGGGGUUUUGUAAGAAAAAUAUAGGGGUGCCAAUAGCUCCACUCAUAUUUAAAUCCAAGAGUAGAUUCGUAAGCCCAAUGCUUCGUCAAAUGCAGACCCAUAAGGAUACAACACGGUCCACUCAGUUAAUGAGUCGUGCUGUGCGCUACGCAACUUUUUGGGAGGCCGGCCCAAAAAAUUAUAAAUUUAGCAACCCAGGGUAUUGGGCCCAAGUUCUUUAGCACUUCGAUACUUAACCGUUGACGUAAACCAAUUUACUUUUAAAUAAUGCAAACAAACAUUUAAAUAGGGUAUACAAAAUUCAAUCAUUAAAUUUUUUUAAAAUAAAAAUUAUAAUGAAAAUAAAAAUGAAUCAAAUUAUAAUAUUUUCCAUUAAACUUUAUUAGAGCCGGAUCAUGAUUCAUUGACUUCAAGUAUAUUGAAAGAAAAUUUUUCACAUUUGCAUAACGUAAGAAAACUUAACAAACAAUAUAUUACGGUUAAUUAUAAUAAAAAUUCAAUUAGAAUUUAAUUAAUAACUAAUUAAUUCAUAAAUUAAAAUAACAUAAAGUCAACGGAUAAUAUAAAUUCAACUCAGUUGAAAUGGAACAAAAUAAAUUAAGAUGUAUCGUUGUUCAAUUCAAUCACUAAUAAACUUAUAUUAUUUUUCAUCAUAUGGGUAUUAAUAUGAACAUAUUACCAUCGCACCGACUUGGCUGUCUUCUUCGACCUUUGACAAAUUUUUUCUUACUUUAAACAUGUUGCAUUUAUCAUUGUGUUUUGACUUUCAAAACACAACAUCGACUUUCAGGCAUGCCUGCUUGUUCUUUUGGGAACAAUUAGCGACCAAUCAGAGAUCAGGUGACCGUUUGUGCCGCCUGGAGGUCCAUAUUGAUCUGGUCAAUCGGUUAUUCCUCUAGCUAGCUGAUUCUCUUAAAAAACCAAAUGACGAGAGCAAUAAACCUAUGAAACCUACGAUGUCUCCGGUCGGCUUUAACGAUCCCCUCCAUGCUUUAUCCUUUCAAGAGCUGGAGCAUUAUACCGACAGCAUCAGACCACCUCGUUUGUCUAGUGUGUCGUCCCCUCAUAUUAUCUGACGUUUAUUAGCCUCCAAUAGUAUUUAAGCCCGAUUUGACUUAUAUGUAAUAAUUGCUGACCAAUUUGGAUAGGAUUAAUACAAUUUUCUCCUUUUUAUUUAAAAAAGAAAGGGAUAUUAUCAUUUUCCCACUAAAGGUAUUCUGACACAUCAUGUCAGUACCAUGGUUUGGUAAAACUAUUAAUUUACCACUAAACGUUUAAACUGUUAGUAUUUUCCCACCAUUCCGUUAAAACUCAGUUAAUAUGUAACAGAAAAUUCAUAAAAUGUCAAUUUUACCCCUGGAGCGUAAAAGACUAUGUAAUUAACCUUUUAUGAAUUUUAUAAUUAAAUCAUCAUUUGUUGUUCUUCCUUCUUAAAGGAAAAAAAUUACCCUUUAUAAAUUUUGUAAAAUUGACCGUGUGGUGCUAGGUACUUCAUAAAUUGAUUUAAUUUUUAAAGGGCAAAUUUAUUUAUUAAAUUGACGAGCUAAAGACAAUUUAUUAUACUACUAAAACUCAAUUUAUGAAAGGGCAAAAAAAAAAUGUGCAAAAGAAGCAAUUUAAUCUUUGAUAUGAUGAUAAUAAUUUUACACAAAAAAUUAAAUAAAUAAAUUUGCCCUUUAAAAAUUAAAUCAAUUUAUGAAGUACCUAGCACCACACGGUCAAUUUUACAAAAUUUAUAAAGGGUAAUUUUUGUCCUUUAAGAAGGAAGAACAAUAAAUGAUGAUUUAAUUACAAAAUUCAUAAAAGGUUAAUUACAUGGUCUUUUAUGCUCCAGGGGUAAAAUUGACCUUUUAGAAAUUUUCCAUUACAUAUUAACUAAGUUUUAACGGAAUGGUGGGAAAAUGCUAACAGUUUAAAUGUUUGGUGGUAAAUUGAUAGUUUUACUAAACCGUGGUACUGACAUGAUGUGUCAGAAUACCUUUGGUGGGAAAAUGAUAAUAUCCCAAAAAGAAAAAAAAAAGACCGCCCUUUGUUAAAACAUUUUAAGUUUAUUUUUUUUAGGAAUAUUAUCAUUUUUACACUAAAGAUAUUCUGACACAUCAUGUUAGUAUCACGGUUUGGUAAAAUCAUCAAUUUACCAUCAAACAUUUAAACUGUUAGUAUUUUCUCACCAUUCUGUUAAAACUCAGUUAAUAAGUAACAAAAAAUUCAUAAAAGGUUAAUUUUACCCCUGGAACGUAAAAGACGAUUUUGCCCUUUAAGAAGGAAGAACAGCAAAUGAUGAUUUAAUUACAAAAUUCAUAAAAGUUUAAUUACAUGAUGUUUUAAAAGGUCAAUUUUACAAAAUUCAUAAAGGGUAAUUUUUGCCCUUUAAGAAGGAAGAACAACAAAUGAUGAUUUAAUUAUAAAAUUCAUAAAAGGUUAAUUAUAUGGUCUUUUACGCUCCAGGGGUAAAAUUGACCUUUUAUGAAUUUUCCGUUACUUAUUAACUGAGUUUUAACGUAAUGGUGGGAAAAUGCUAACCGUUUAAACGUUUGGUGGUAAACUGAUGGUUUUACCAAAUCGUGGAACUGACAUGAUAUGUCAGCAUACCUUUAGUGGGAAAAUAAUAAUAUCCUUUUUUUUUAUAAUUAAAACGUCUUAAUUAACAAAGGCUGAAUAGUCUAUCCUUCUUCGGCGAAUUUUUACUUUAUCGGGUCCUUACGGAUUAUAUUUUCGGUCUCGUGGCAUGUACGUAUGGUGUCGGCUUGUUUGAUGUGCAACUUCACUUGUGCUGAGAGUUGUCCUUUCGCCGAAGCUCCUUUGGUCUUGGCAUUUGGCUAAAUUUCAACAACGAUUGCCUAUUUGUGCUCUUGCUUGGAAGCUGAGGGAUUACGGUAAUUACUGCUGUCAAUUAUAGUCCCUAUAUGUUAAUACCGACGGCCUUUCAGAGGGUAAGCCAGGUGCCUCAGCUCGUGGUGGGGUAUAUCCAGAGAUCAUUCGGGUUCCGAAUUGGGUGGUUUUGUUCUUGCUGUGGCUCUCAAUGUCAAACAGCUUAAGCCCCGUUUGGAGAGCUGCGCUGUCACAGUGCGGCUGUCCCUAUCCCAAAUGGGCUCUUAUUAUGCUAAAGCAAUGGCAGCUGUUCUUGUCAUCGAGCUGGCUUCGUCUGGACUCUCGAGGAUGGAAUUAUUUGUGGCGGGAGUGCGAUUCCAUGCUUCUCUCCUAUUUAUUUUCUAAUCCGAGUCUUUGGCCUCCUUAGAAGUUGGAAGCUUCGUAAUAGAUGGGCUAAUUGUCGUCUUUUUAUUACUGACACGAAUUAUCCUCUUAUAAAUUUCUCUUCUUUUUAAUAGAGAAUUAGAUUGUCAUGUGAUAGACUGUUUGUAUACAUUCUAUAGGUGUGAAAAGGAAAAUAAAACAUUUCAUCAAUACGAAAUUUAGUGUAAUUUUGGCAUUUGGAAGCGUGUGUAAAAUAAAAAUUAAUUUUCAAAAUUAAUCGUAUAGUGUCCAAAGUAAGACGGUAUUUUAAAAGUAUAAUUUAAGAUAAAAAUAACCUCACCUCAUAUUUAACAUGUCCUCGUUUUGGAACACAUAAAGAAAUAGUCCAUCACACACACACGCACACGCACACACACACGCACACACACACACACACAUAUACAUACAUACAUAUAUAUAUAUAUACAAGGCGGAUGUACGGGGUAACCAUCAUGUGUUAGAAAACAAAAACAAAAAAAAUGGAGAGAAAUAGAUGAAACAUAAUCUUGUUGGCUUUAAAGAAUUUCUUCUUUUUAAAUUUCUUCCUAUAUUUAUAGGUUUUAUCUGAAAUCCAAAUUUUGGUGCAUCUUCUAACUUAGAACAUCAUAAUCCUCAAUUUUGCUUUUUCAUAAGUCUUCUAUCUCUUAUUUCAUCACACCAUUCAUUGAUUCUAUUUCGAGCAAAUCUGAUCAUAUUUCCUAGGGUAUCAAUUUUUGUUGUAUCUCCAUAUUCUUUGUUAUAUUCUAACAUAAUCUUUUGCCUCCAUGCGUCUGGUAUCUUCAUAAAAUAUAGAUCAUUGUAAUAGCAUACGGUGUUUUCAUCUUUAACAAAUUCACAUUUAUAAUAUAAUUCUUCGAAGCUACAUGUAUAUUCUUCUAGACAACAUAUAUUACAUAUUUCAAGCCUUGUUAGCUUCAUUACAUUUUCCAUCCUUUUCCUUUUUAUUUCCUGUUGAAAAUCAUUCUCCCAAUCUUCUCCUAAAAAUUCUUUUCUUAUUUCACUUUCAAAUCUAUUUAAAACUUGAUCCAUGCUUUCAUUCUAAUCAUAAUUUUCUCCAUAUAAUAUUUUCUUUUUAUCGGCAUCCCUUAGUCCCAUAAACCAAUGUGACAUUAUUCCUAUAAAUGAAGUUUUAAGGAAUUCUAUACCAUUAUUUCUAUAUAUUUUGUUAAAUGCAAAUGACAUUUUCAUAGAUUUUACGCAAACGGUAAUCGUUUUAUCUCUAUAUUUGACACAGUCUAAAUCUAACCAUACUCUAUCAUGAUUGAUUGGUAUUUCUCUAUAUUCUCCUGAAGUUUUAUAUUCUUUUUCAGGUUUGUUAACCUUAAAAUAUUGACUUGGUAAUCUUUCAUGAGUUGGUAUUUCUUCCCUAGUAUCGAAAGCUCUAUUACUAGAUUCUCCUUGUUCAAAAACCCUUAGCUUUGAUUCAUUUAUUUUUAGAUGUUCUAUUAUUUUUUCAAUAUCUUGUAAAUUAAUAAAUACCUCUUCUUCCUCCUCGGAUUCAGAUUCUUCAUCGGAUAUUUUUGGAUUAGAUAAUUCUUUUAUACAUUCUCUUAGCAUCCUUAAACUUAUUAAUUUUUUUAUCUUCAUUUAUUUUGUUAAAAAUUGGUCUUGAUAUUGCUAGUAUUUCUUUAUUUUUCUUUUCAUUGUAGUAGAUUAUGGUAUCUUGUAAAAUUUUAUUUUGUUAUUGAAUUACCAUGAGUAAUUCUUCCAUAUUGUUACUAAUCUAUUGUACUUCAAUCCUUUUGUAAUUUUCCAUUUAUACUUAUUACAAACUUAUUGCCAAGUUGUUCGACGAUUUUUUCGAUUCUAUGUAUUUGAAUUUCUAUCUUAUUUAAUUUAUCUUCAAUUAAAUUUUUGUUUAUGAUAUUAACAAUUUCUCGUUUCAAUUUAUCUUGAUCUUCAAUUUUGAAGUCUUUUAUUAAUUGUUUGAUUGUAUCAAAUUCUUCACUCAUUUGAUCUCCUAACAGUUUAACUUGUCUUAUAUUUUCAGCAUUAAAACUUUUAAUUUCAAGUAUUUCAUUUACACUUUCUACACUUAUAGUUAGAUAAGGGUUUCCUAAUUUAUUUAAUAAAAAUAAAGAAAUCCAGUUCAACCGAUUAUUUCCCCGCAUAUCAGAAUCAUUUACUAAAUCAAAUGGUUGAAAUCUUCCAUAAGUAUAUCCUCUAUGCUUAUAAUUAAAAGGUGAUAAUCUAUUAGUUUCUAUAUUUUGAGAAAUUAUCAAUGGUUUUGGUGAUUUAUUCAAAGUACCAUCUGCAUAAUAUUUCAUUAUAUUCUAACAAGUAUUUGUGACAUAUGAUAUUUCUUAUAUCCUUUGGAAUAUUGUUUUCCUCUAAUCCUUUAUCUAUGUAGCAAAGUAUAUGCAUAAUUAAAUUUUUGUAUCCGAUCAGCAUGUUGCUAGAAGGAUAAUAGUUUCUUCCAUACCCUUUUAUUAUUCCAAUUGUAUUCAUCUCUUUGCUUAAUAGUUAAAAAUCCAUUAUAAUCAAUCACAAGUUCGUAUGUAUAAUUUUCAACAGAAUUAAUUUUCCAUUGUUUCUAUGAAAAAUUAUUUCUAUACACCUCUCUCCUAAUCCUAAAUAGAAGAAUAUGAUUGAUGUUUAAAUUUCUAUUCUUUAUUAUUUGAGUUCUCCAAUUCUAAAUUAAUGAGCUCGGGAUAAAUAAAAUUGUUCUAAUUAUUUAUCAUCUAAUCUAUUUUGUUCUAAAUAAUAGUAUUGUCUAUGUUUAGUUAAGUUAUCCUCUAUUGUAUUACUAUCUAUCAUUAGAUUAUAUCCUCCAUUAUUUAUAAAAUAAACAAUUGUUUCUUCCAUUUUUUUGUUUUGAACCUAAAACUUGCCCCUGAUACCAUUUUUGCAGACAUUUUUCAAUACAAAAUCCAAGUAAGGAUGUCAAAUUUUUAUGAAUAUUUUGCAAUUUUGUUUAUCAAAACACACAGUUUCGUGGUAAGUGUUGUGCAAUCUUUUGUAAGAAUGUCUUUUUCGUAUUAACAGAAUCCCAUUCGCAAUAAUCUUUGAGAUCCAAAUCAAAAUCAGGCGUAGCAAUUUGAAAAUGUCUCUUUAAGUAAUCUCAGAAAUGCUAACUGAUAACAAAUUGAGAUCAUCGUUAUGUUUAUGAAAAGCUAGUAAUAUAGAGAUUAACAGAAGCAAAAUUUAGGACCAAUUUAAACGUAAUGCACAAAUAAACAGACUUAAUAAGUUUCCCGUCAGUAUAUCACCAAAUCACACCACAUCUCUGAACCAAAGCAGAAAAACAAUACCACACCUGUUGGUUUUAAUACACAUCAUUUAUUAUUUGCUAUACUACCAUAACCGGUAGUUCGCAACUACGAAAUUAUUUUUGGCACCCUCUGGAGAGCAUCAGGUGGUCAGGACUGGGGGCAUAUAAUCUGAUUUGGUACCGAGAACACGAGCCUUGGUGUCGGGGAAGAACUCAGUUCCUGGCAACUCCGUGACAUCUCCUUCACCAGAAACACCAAUAGGGUAGCGGAGCAAGUGACCGGGCAAGUCAUGCUCAAGAGACUCACUGGAGUACAGGUCCCAAUACCGUUCGGCAAUCUGGUUAACCUUCUUAACACAUUCGCUACUUUCUGGCUGGAGGAAGGUGUCAUCGAGCAUGCCUAGGUGCUCGUACCAUAGUGACAUACGGAAGCCGUGUAUCUGGCCUCGUGCUGGCACCCUGGUUGACAAAUGAUAUGGUUGGUAGCCUCCCAUGGCUAUCUCAGUGUCCCUAGCACCCUCCAUUGAUCGCUGGUUGAUGUUGGCAGAUCCAAUUAUAAUGUAUUCGUCAUCAACUGCAAAGCAAAGACUUUUUAAUGAAUCCUACAAAUAUAGCAACAAGGAAAAUAAGACAUAUCUUUAGAAUUAAGCAAACUUUUUUCCUGUUCAAAGAGACUCGACUAAACAAUCACUCAUGCAAGAAUAUUUUACUAGAUAGGUCAAAAGAAAAUCAAUAUCUUUCAACUAAUGCCUUCUAUCAGUUAAUUUACAUAUUUUACAUAGAUUUUUUAACAAGAAAUCUCUUCAACUUCUACUCAAUAUUUAGAAAACUGAAAAAUAUCACUCCUUAUUAUAUAAUUAUCCUGGACCAACAACCAGACAAGAAAAGGAACACAAUGUUUUGUAUUUAACUAUCUGCCAGUUAAAAAUUAAAGAAAGAAAUACAGAAAAAUUAGCAAAAGACUAAAAAAAGAAAAAUAAUCGAAAGACAAAUCUGUAUCUAAAAAAAGUUACCAAUCAUCAUCUUGGCAUGAACGUAGAUCAUGAAGCGUCGAGCUUCCUGAGCUCUAAGAAAGUCUGAAUCAUCCUCUGGCCUUUCUGCAGGUUCAUAUUCACCACUCCUCUUCACCUCCCGAUUCCCAAGGCAGAAGAAUGUCAAAUAGUUCCUGGGAUCUUCCAUAAUGCCCUUUGCUCUAAGAGCCUGAACAACAUCCUUAUACAUCAUAUCCAUUGUCCUUCUCUGCCAAUCUAAUAUUGCCUGAACUGAACCAGACUCUGGAAACCCCUCUGGCCACAUUGGGACAACAAUAUAUACGGUAAAUCUCUCCCCAGCCUCAAUCUUACUAACAAUCUUAAGUGAGAGCUCCUUUGGAAUCAGAUGCAAAGCAUUAAUUUCCUCAGGCUUAAUGCCAUCAGCACUCCAAGCAAAAGAGCUUCCAAGGAAAUACUGAUUUUCAAUAUAGAUGAAAUUCUUUGCACGCCGGAUAGCAUGGAUAUAAGCAUCCUGAAUGCUGCGGUCAAUGAUAUUAUCCUUCCCACUAACAAGCCCAGCUCUAGCUGCAUCUUCAGGCGUCUCUGGGAAGCCAAAUGCAGCCCCACCAUCAAUGGAUCUAAACAAUUGCACAUUCCAUGUGUCAUGGUCAUCGGGGUACAUAACUGGAGAUGGGGGAAUAAUGAUGUCUCCAAGUUCUCUCAGAUGCACGAGAACAUCCUUUCCACCCUGCUUUCUCCAUCUCUGCUCAAAAUUAAAUAACACGUCCCAAGCAAUGGGACCCUCAAGGCGAGAGUGAAUGUCAUGCCAAGGUUCCCUUGGACCACCUUUUUCAAUUGAAGCACCCGGGAAGUUUGGCUGAUGGAAAUCAUCAUGGUGUGCUGUGUCUAACGUCCUGAAAAGAGAGUGGAAUGGAGUAUCAUAUCUCCCAUCACAAAGGUCAAUACCUCCAACAAAACUCAUGAUUCUCCUCCUCUCUGGAUCCCCAUUGGGCAUUGGGCUGUCAACAACCACAAUCUUCUGGUGAUGAGUGAACAUGGCAGAGAUUUGUAUAUCCUGAAUAAAGCUACCACCAUCAUCAGGAUUACGUGGGCAUAAGAUGCAAUGCACAUCAGUACCUUGGAAGAAUUUUUCAGUUUCCUCAUCGUGAGUGGCCAUGAGACCAUCCCUUUUAAGUAAACUAACAGAAGUUCUGUCAUCCCAAACAAGCAUACAUACCCUAACACCUUCACUUGCCUUCUUCUUAAGUAGCUCACCUAACAUUAUGUCUCCUCCAGGCUUUGGCCUCCUGGAAUCCCUUACCAAAGAUAUUUCAGUAUACACAGACCAGCCAGUGAUAUAAAUCAUAUGCCUUGCAUUGGUGAUUGCAUCAAAAAUAUCUUCCCAACAUCUGUGAGGCUCAUAGUACUUGCCUCCAGCAAGAGGAAUUUCAGGAACAAAAUUAUCAGGGACAUGAGCAUCUUGGUAGAGAGAAACCUUGCAACCUUUUCUCUGCGGGUAGAAUGUAAAUGGAACCCCGGGGUACUUAGCACUUCUAAUGCCCCGAGCCCAGCUUCUGUCUUUUGUUACGUCAAAAUAUUGGAGCUUCACAUGAAUCUUUGAGCCUGAAGAUAUGGGAUUUCGAUCUUCAUCUAAGAUCUCAACCCAUUUAUCAACUUCUUCCCCACCUAAAACUUCUUCAACAGGUACGUAAGCCCUCCCAAUUAAAGUAGCUCCAAUAGGAUUAUCAUCCUUGACAGUGAAUAUGAUAUUUGAAGCCAUAUGGGCACAGUAUAUGUGAAAGGACUCGUACCACCUAGGAUUAGAUUGCUCUUUCUUUAACAUUCUGGUCCUCCCAACUCUAGCCUUUUCAAGAUCGAUAGUUGCAUAGAGUUCACUACCUCCUUUGCCUAAACCACCAAGAAGCUACAAGUAAUAUUUAAGUUAGAAACUGAAGUUAAGUAAAUGUGGUUAAAUACGUGGAUAAUUUAGAAAAUAAACAAAGAUUGCAUUAUAAAGCACAUCCAUCACAAUGAAAAAGGAAAUGCUGGGGCAUGUUCAGGAUAGAAAUUCAAGCCCAUGAGAAAGAAUUAAUCCAAAAAUCUGCUGUUGAAUUAUGGAGAUAUCUCUUGAGAUUAAAAUUUAAAAUGGAAAAGGAACACAGAAAAGCAAUUGUGUAGAACUUGUUCAUCUGGUAAGAUCUCUAAAAGUGGCACAAAAGUCUUGAAAUCAAAUUUAGCUCACAUCCACAAUGGUUUGUAAUGUAAAUAACUGGGGAAAAAGGAGAAGAAAAGGAAAGAAUUGAUAAACAGGCAUCAGGUAGCCGCAACCCUAGACAUACAAGAUGAGAACAAUUGAAAUACAAAAUAUUCUGUAACAAAUAUGCAAACUUUGUCAAAACCAUAUAUUAAAAGUAGAUAGGUAUCAACAUGAUACAAAAGAGAAAGAAAAGAAAACACAAGUCCAUAUUUGAGAGCAUUGCACUGCAGAAAAACUCGCAAAUUACUUGAAAAGCAAAUAAAUAAAAGCCAUUUCAGUGGCUCUUUAAGUCCUGCUGAGACAUGUUCAUUGUCUCUUACCAGAUUUGAAAAUAAAUGAGUUUUCUCAUGAAUAAAGCUGGCCAUAGAAUGCAUUUUAGCAUUUCCUAUGGCUAGAUUGGAUCCCUUCGGGACAUUAAGAUUCGACUUUACAGAAUACAAAAGAAAAAGCUUUUAAAACUGGCCACAUAUUGUUUCUAAAGAGCUUAAGAAGGCUAAUUCUCUUCAUAUAUCAACCAGAGUAUUGCUACACUUUCAUGAAAGCAGAAUAACUUGUGCAAGUGCAAGAUCCAGCUACAGAACAUGAAUAAGAAAAGAAAUCCAGUUUCCAUGUGUAGAAUAAUUGACCAUAGGAGUCAAGAUGAGGUUAAAAUGCUAUUCAGAACAAAUGUUUCCAAUUGAUAUUUUCCGGCAGCAUGUGAAUAGCAUGGAAGUGGUUAAUUGUAAAGAAAUAAGCAUUUAGAGGGAACAUAAGCACAGUUCAAAUCAAAGGAGAGAGAAAUGUGACAAGUGAAGAUCCCAGAUCACUAUAUAUUCAGGAAGUGAAAAUGAAACCAUCAAUUCGGAUUGAUUAUUUUCCUUCUUGGAAAAUAGCAGAUAAACUUCAAACAAACUUAUAUUUUGAAUUGCACUACAAAUCAACUAUUAAAAGCAGUUCUGAAUCAGUCCAUAGCAAUGAGAUCACUUCAAAAAAUACAAACUACAUUUCUAAUUCACUCGAUUUUAUCUUUUUUUUUUUCCACUGAUCACUACACAAAAGCAAGAAUAGAAUUGCACAGAUCAGUCAACUUGUCUACUAAAUCCUGAAAGACACCCCAAAAAAAAUUAGCACUCACAAAAUUUUUGCAACUGUUAGAAAUCAAGAUCCAAAUAGAAAACACUCAUAUCACCAUUAAAAAUAAAAAUAAAAAUUACAGAUCAAUAAAAAAAGAGAGAGAAACUACAAUAUCAUAUAAUUCACCUUAGUGAAAAAGUUGCCGCCACCUCCACUUUCAAGCUGAUCCACUUCAUAGAUCGUAACAUGUAAAGUACCAUGUAGCAAAAUCUGCGCCAUUUUUCACCUGUAACAGUCAUUCCCAAAAAAAAAAAAAAAUCAAAAUCAAGAUCAAAAUUCAAUCUUAAUAACAAAGAUCACUGCUUUUUCAUUUUUCAUUUUUCCAAAUGGGUCACUGCUUUUUUUUUUUUUUUUUCCAAAUGGGUAGAAAUCAAACUCACACAAUUGACACCCCUCUAACAAUUACAAUCCCCCGCGCCCCCCCAAAACCACAAAAAAAAAAAAACACAGUAAUAAUGACAUAAAAUAAAAAUUCAAACUUUAAAACAAAGAUCACAGCUUUUUCAUUUUAUCCAAAUGGGUAAUCAAAAUCACACCAUUGAAAGUCAUUCAGCAGGCUUAAAAAUUUAAAAAAUAAAAAACUAACUUGGAGUAAAAUGGAUAUGUGAAAAUCUAAUUUGGUCGGGAAAGGGAAGAAUUUGAGAUCGGAUUAAAACUUUGUAGUGACUGUGAUUAGUGUGUGAUGUGAAUGUGCUAAGAAUAUGAAUAUGAUGAACAACUUACAGAGGGAGUGAUGAAAGAGAAGCCAAGAAAAAAGACUGGUGAAAAAUAUCCGCAAAUUCAGAUCUUAUUCAUUUGCUUGUGGAGGCAAUGACUCUGGAGUGAGUCACAUUUAUAUUUUUGGAAACAAAAUUAUGUGUAAUUCUCUAAUGGCUCUUUACUUCUUGGUUUUGAAACUAUGCCACUUUUUUUUUUUACCUUUAAUUCAAUGAAUUUGCUUAGUCGAGAACUGUAAAUUUCCAAUAAUUUUUUGUGCUAUAAGUACGACGUUUUAUAUUAUAAAUAUGAAGUUAUAUACUAUAAGACAUUAUAUCAAGACUGUUUAUAUUUUAGUAUUUUAGUAAAGAAAAAGAAUUAUUGAGUAAGUUGAUGAUGUUUGAAUAAAUUGAAUGUAAAUUUACUUAAAAUUAUAUUUAUAUGAGUUGAAGAUAAUUUACAAUAAAAAAAUAGAACAUCAACCCUUAAAUUAAUAAUUGUUGGUAUAAUUAUUAUUAAAAAAAAGUUCAUUUUAUGACAAGUGCUAGGUAACAGUGAUAGAUAAGUAUUAUCUUCGAUAAAGCUUAAAUACAAUUAUCAACUUAUUUACUUGUAAAUUUUAAAAAUAUUAUUAAUUGAUUUGGAGAUGUUUGGCAUUAGUUGUCAAUAAUUUUUUUUUAACAUAAUAGUACAUAUUAUGGAUCAGGAUAUUAUAAUUUGUUUAAUAUGGGAACAUAAACAAAUUUCAAAAUUUUGGGGGGAGUUUUCAUAAAAAUAAAAAAGUUGAAAAAGGUAAUGAUGGGGGCAUAAAAGAAGAAUUUGUAAAGUAUAGCAGAGUUUUCUGAAAGUAAAUAUCAUGCGAAGGUAUCAUUCUUGGCGAGGCAACUCGCUGGUCCCUUUGUAUUUUAUUUUCUCUUUUUUGCCUUUUCAUAUAUUAAGAGCUUCGCAUUUUCAAUUCUUUCUUUUCUCUAGAAGCGUUUCUUUGACAAGGUGAGCAGGAAAAGAGAUAAAAUUCAGACUUUUAAAUCAUGAUUUUUUAAAUAAUUAUUCAUAACGUAUUUUUCACGGAUAUAUGACUGAUGGAUAAACAUACUUAAUAAUAAAAAAAUACGUUCAAUUUCAAUGAAAAUGGGUGUAAUAUUGGCAACAAAUGACAGAAAAUCAUCGGGUGUUUCUUUAAUGUUUUUAAAUUUUGAUAUUUAAAAUCUUUUCAUAAUUAAAUACCUCUGUUAACUUUAUGAUCGAUGUCAAAAUUUCAACAUAAAAAUUCAUUCAAGUACUAUAACAAUCAUCAAUAAGUAUCAAUUUUGCUAAUGAAUGACCCUAGGUAUUAUGAAAUCUAUAGAAAAAUAAAUGUUAAAAGCUGAAAAUAUUACGGAGAAAGUGACAUUCAACAAUCUAAAUAAUAGAUAAUUGAAGCAUAUGUUAUUUGUAUAUGUGCGUAAGAACAUUUACUGUGGUAAAAGUAAAUUUUUGAAUGCUUUUCUUACUUACUGUGCUUUAGGUAAAUGUUUAACUUGCUAGAUCCAAUGAAAGAAUUACUAUGAUUUCCAAAAAGUAAUGUGUCGUUGUCCUUUAAUGGUAAAAUAAUUGAUGAUACAUGUGAUUUUGAAUUUUUAAUUAUCGUUUAAUACUAAAUUCCAUCACAAUAAAAGAAGUGUCCAUCCAUUGACCUCGAGGCACGUUAAAGUUUGUCUAAAGAUGAUAAUGAAUUCAAAAACUUAAAUGAUUAAAAGCUUAGUGAUUCUUGUUCACAUUCCUCCACUAAUUUAUUUUCAUAAUAAUUAGUGAACACAUGGUAAAAUCAUUGAUAAGCAAAUCUCUCCUUUAACUAACUAAAUUGGUGUACUCCUUAAAUUGAUUAAUUUCAUUUUUCUUGUAAUGUAAAUUUUAUUAUCUACUUUGGUGAUGGUCUAUGAGGGAUUAUUAGACUAAACUCGAUAAUUAAAUUCAAACUCGAAAUCGAGUUUUUAUGAACACUUUUCUAUGACUGUAAUCUGCAUGAAUUAAGAUGGGCAUGUGUUUGAUCAACAAAUCUAGAACAAAUUAGCAUACCAAUCAAAUAUUUGAUUAUCAACGUUAAUAACGAUUGAAAAAAUAUACACAGAGUGGUGGACCAUUGGAUUCCCACGUGAAAAGUCUAAAAAAAUUAUUCUAACUCGAAGACAAAAGGUGAUUGAUUGGGCUUGAAAUUUUGGAUCGGUUGAUGAUUAAGUAGGGUGUCUUUAAAUUACAUUUCUUUAAUAACUUAAGAUUAGAUAAAAUUCACGUAUGAAUUCACUUAAUUUCAUUUUUUUUUACAUAAUUUUAUAUUGUAAAUUACAAUAAAUAUAACUUAAAUGAGUCUAAUUUGUUAAGAUUUUGGUAAGAUUGUUGAUAACAUGUGUCAAAUUUCAUAUCGCAUAGAUUACCGAUGAGUGGGGUCGUAUAAUUUAUUUUUGAUGAAAGAAUAAUGACUACGCCAAUGACUUGACGAGUCCCUGUUAGUGAGGCCAUUGAGUGGAUGCCUGGCUCAAUCCACGUAAUACAAUUAUUAAUUGCCGGAAAGGUACAAGUUUUUUUUUUAAUAUUUUUUUGGGUACAAAUAUAAUACCACAAUGAAUUUGGAUCCCUACUUAGAUGAGCCUUUGCUAAGCUUCUUAUGACAUGUGUCAUAAUUAUUUUCGACAGGUAAGAUUUAUUUUUUAAUUAAAAACUGCUCUAUUAUUCCCUUUAAUUCUUGAUUUGGUAAGGAUUAUUAUAAUUUAUAAGAUUGGCUGAACCUUUCCCAAUCUCAUCUAACUCUUUCCCUUCUUCUUCUUCGGUUCUUCCGAUCUCAUGAAAAUAUGGCCAUUCCAAACCUUGAUUUAUUUGAAGAAAAUAGAAGCUAAAAUUCUCCGGACAACUAAAAAAAAAAAGAAGAAAAUAUAAAAAGGUAAAUCAAGAUUUCACUAUAAAAAUCGAAUCCAACAAAUCUAAAUCAGAUUCCUUGCAUAUAUAUGAAAUUUAAUACCCUCAUGAUUCAGUUCCAAGAAUUGAAAUAAAAAAUUAGUUUACAAAUCCACAUGUUUUUAUUUCUUUAUAUUUUUUAUUAAAAGGGACUCUUAACAGAGCUAAAAAAUAACAAAGCGAGGGUAGACUACCCCAUAACUGUAACGAAAAAUAAACUGGAGCACCCCAGUAGACGGAUAGCUAAAAACAUGAAGGCCUAAAGGAAUAGAACAAGUCAAAGUGGCCAAAUAAUCAGCAGCAAAAUUUGCAUCCCUGUAAACGUGGGUAAGCUCCACACUCCAGUUUCGUCUAAAGAGUUCCUGAAUAGCACGAAUUAUGGGCGCAAGCUCAUUGGGAGUUCCCAUAUUGUUCAUCACAAGUUGAGUAACGCAACGACUAUCAACCUCAGCACAAAGCCAUCGAAUCCCUUUAUUCCACGCAAGAAGUAAGCAUUGAUAAAGACCCCAUAGUUCUGCCAUAGUCACUGAACAUGUCCCUAAAUUCAUCCCAAAGCUAGCAAUCCAAUGACCAUUAUGAUCACAAAUUAGACCCCCUGCAGCAGCUACACCCGAAGCCUUACAUGCACCAUAUGAGUUUAGCUUGCACCAUGGCCAAUUCAGAACCAACCAACCAAUCUAUUUGCUGACUUUUCUAGUUGUCGAGAUAAAAAAAGA